rnacentral:lncRNA from 1 species
GCUCUAUCAUGACUAGUUCUCAAAAUUGAAAUCUCUCACAAGUUUAGGCAUCACUGUUAUUAAUUAAGAUUUGCUCUAAACCUGAACUUGUGGGAAGAGUACUUGAUCUGAAGUCUAAGUCGUUAACGGAUAUGAUAUGGGAAGGUUGAGCUGCUGUUAAUCUGUUCCUAGAGAUGCUAGAAUUCUGGAAAAUUUUAUCUUUAAAAAUCUUUAAAAUAUCACAUGAUGAGUUCCUGUAUGAUGAGAGUUUAAAUUCCUACCACAGCCAUAUAUACAUGCUUGCUAAACUUUGAGCAACACAUUUACUUUACUGCUUAUGAGCAUUUAGUGUGGUCAAGCUGUGUAGACCCUUAGGAGCUUGUCAUGUGGUUAAGUCAAGAUUCACUUGCACGUUCACUCAUACAUGCUACUUCUACUCUGGAAGUACCAUCCACAUAUACCCAUUUUCAUCUCCAGAACCACCCAAAAAUAUUCUACUCCUAAUCCGGGAGAGAAUAGCCAAAAAUAUUUCUAUUUUUUUCCCUGUGAAAUAAAUGCUCAAGUUAUCUUGUUACUACCACUUGCUAUAUUAUCUCAUGAGAUGAGUGCUCUAAAGAAAAAAAGAGAAAAAAAGAAGAAUACGAGGAAAUAAAAAGGGGCAAGUGCCCGGAACCUCGAAAGAAAAAAAAAGAAGAAAAAGUGAGACGAGAGGUAAAAAUGGACAAGUGUCCGACAGUAGAAUUAGGGGUACAAGAUACCCACCUGAGAGAAAAGAAAAAAAAAAGAGAAAAAGAAAGAAAAAGAAAAUACAGAGCAUCUCAUUCUCCCUGAAAGUUUCAAAAGAGCAAGAAAGGUAUGUAUCCCCUCAAAAGAGCACAAGUAGAAUUAGACUUUCACCAUUGUUAUCACCAUCAUUACCAUGCACCAUUCAUUCGCCACACAUGCACAUCUUGAUUUGACUUAUUGACUUGUUCUUCUGGAUCCAUGGUUUGACUAUGCAAUAAAUGUCUUGUAAGUAUGUAUUAGCUGUCUCCCACCUAUGAGCUCCAGAUAUCAAAAGCCUUAUUAGAGUAGGGUGAGAGAGAAGGCAAUGUCACUAUGCCUUAUACCAAAAAUACCACAUACUUUGAGAGAAGGCAUACACCUUUACUGCUUUGGUAAGGAUCCAGAAAUACCACAAAUGAGAGACUAGAUAGAGUCAUACAAGGAAUCUCUGAGUUUUAUUUGAAAAUCUGCAAAAAACUCCAGAGCUAUAGUUAAAUCGAAGAACAAGAGACAUGGUGCUUGACUAGACCGUUCUAUCUUUUAACUACUCAAGACAGAAGUGACAGUUACAAGUCCCAUGGUGAAAGGUAAAUGAGUAAGUUUUAAGUCUUAACAGUUUACCCUAACCCAGAGAUGAGUUCUUGUAUAAACGCAUGUGUAUCUUUAAGUUAUGAAACCACUGCAGAAACUCUUGAGUCAAUCUUUGCUCAGGGACGAGCAAAGGUUAAGCUUGGGGGAGCUUGUUGACGGUCCUUAAUGCUCAUAUUUAACCAUCAAUUAAUCAUAGAAAAGGAUCCAAAUGCAACCAACACCUAGACUUAGGGUUUUAUCUGACAGAAUUCCACAAGUUUUGGUGUUUGUCUAUUUCUGCAGGGGGUUAUCAGGAAAUAUGGAAGAAAGGCCCACACGUCGGGUUUACAUAGAGAUAUUAACGUGCCGCGCAAUUUUCUAUCAUCUAGAAGACUCCAGAAGCCACAGGACCGAAGCGGAAGCCGAGAGGCCUCAGGGACAGGGCGCCCGCCCUCCCCCCUGGACCAAUCAGGGUGAAGUUCGGGGAUUAUGCUCCACCGACCUAAUACUUCAAGGAAAACCACACGAUCAAUGUCGGUUUGAUCCGACGGCCCAGAUUCACUUGAAGGGACUAUAAAACCAGACCCCCUGGCCCCUGGAGAUCAUACCUCUUCUACAGAAUCAAAGUUACGGUUUCAAUUCUUCAUCCAAGUAGAGAGGAUCCCUCUAGUUCUUCUAGUUCUACCUCUAGUUCAUCUAGAUCUUGUUCUAGUUCAUCUAGUUCUAGUUCUAGUUCCUCUAGUUCUAGUUCUAGUUAGUUCUAGUUGUAAUCUAGAAAAUAGGGAGAGAGAAGAGGAGAGCGGAGGAGGAGCCGGAUCUGUCGGAUCUUCCUCAACAUUAUAUUUUUGCAGCAUCUGGUUCGUUCUUCAUCGUUCUCCAGGUUCUUCAAUUCAUAAUUCCUGAGUUCUUUAAUUACUUUUAUUUACAUUCAAGUUAUUUAUUGGAUUCCCGCUUGCAUCAAGUGCCCUAGUCUUUAUAACGCUAGAGUAGUAAUUAAUAGAUUAGACGUGGUGUUUAGUCUUGCAAUUACCUGGAAUUGCACCCAAUCCUGCGGAUUGUUGUGGUAGCCUUAGGGUAGUGACAGCCCAAACGGUCGACGUAUUCCACCACGUUCGGAUCGGUGUUUGUAGGACCGUAGUCAGACCUUCCUAGCCCCCUUCUCAUCUCUUUCUGUGGUUAGUGCUCUGAUGUCCCGAUAUAAAUAAUCUUGAAGUAAUUCUUGAUUCUUAGAUCAACUAGAGAACUCUCAGGAAACUUCCUCUCUUCCCACCAAAAAUAAUUAUAUAGUUAUCCUUAGGCGAUCUUGGAUCUUAAUUAGUACACUCACGUUCUCUGUGGAAAAUCGAUACUCUGGAAUACUCCCGGGUGAAAGCUACAUCGGUAUCCGUGCGCUUGCGGAUUUUUUCUGUUUGCGUUUAAAAUACCCAACACCCACACGCCGAGCCGACACGUGUUGGAGAGACAGGAGCAGCGGCGGUGGCUGGUAGGACCAGGAGAAGUUUCUUCACAGGAACGAACAGGCGCUCCGAUCUGUAAGUUGCUCAAUCUCACUUUUACGCUUGAUCCUAUUUUUGUUAUGGCUACUUUUGACAUUGGUUAAAUGUCAUAUUUUUGUUAGCACGGCAUCGAACGUCAACCCUGACCACAUCGCUGGCCAGAGGACGGCCGAGCCCGUGGCUGUCGUUGGAGACGCCGUGCCACAGACCACCCAGGAGCAUGCCGAGGAGCAGCCCGCGACGACGACUGCGGCUGAGAGUACCGAGGAGCCUCCGGCCCCCGCAAGGGCCAGAGCGGGCACCCCUACAAGGGACGGAGAGGCUACGAGGACGCCUCCCCCAAGCAACGUUGCAGAGGAAGAAGGCAGAGCUCCGACUCCCCCGCCAGCUAAAGAAGGGAGAGUCCCAACCCCGCCCCGAGCGGGCGCUUCUUCACCAGUAGGCUCCCCUGGCCUGGAUCAGGGUCCAGUGAUGCCUGCGACCACGGCCGGGGGUAGUGCGGAGGGCGAGGAAGCCCGGACGGCCUCCGACGAUGAAGUGGAGGAGAUCCAAGGUCGUCCCCAAGAUGACCGUCAGCACGUGUACGUGUGGCGCCAACGCGGAGACCACUUCAUCGGUCAUGAGGAACUCGCGGAGAUGGAGGAGGCUGCAAGGGUAGAGCACGCAGCGAAGCGGCUUGUGGACGAGGUUAAGGUAAGUGGUCUUUUGCGCUGCUCAAAGUUUAUAUGCAUUGUUUCUGGAUUCAGUAUGUAUUCUUGUAGGGCGCAAUGACAACGGCGAAGUACUGGAAAAGGUGCUUUGACCAGAUUGAGGGCAUCGUGGCCGAGAACAAGGCCCUGUCCGCGGAGGUGGACCGGCUUCGGUCGGAGGCCGAGGAGAAGACGGCUGAUAUGGGUGCUCAGGAAGAGCGCCUGCUCAACCUCAUUCGGCGAUUAGCCGACAAGGAUCGGGAGAGAAAAGGUUAGUCAUGCAUUCCGAGCAGUUGUAUAUAACUGUGUAGUCGUUUUUUUAUUGACCAAAAAUUGCCCCUGCAGACUUGGAGGAGGAGGUUGCACGCCUCCGACAAGAGAAGGAGCGGCUCGACCAGGAGCUUGCCGGGGCGCUGGAGACCGGGCGCCGAGCUGGCGAGGAGCUAAGCAACAAGAAUAGGGAGUUGUCUGGUGAGAACCGUGCUACCCCUUUUUUCUUAUUUGUAAACUGACAUCCUGCUUGGUUUGUAGUGCUCAAAGUGAAUACCAAGAAGCACUUUGACGAGCUGAUCAAGGACCGGGACUCCUGGAAGGCCAACUGCAUCAAGCUUUGGAAAGGAGUGGCCCCAGUUCUUGAUUUGAUCAGCCCCGAGCUCCCUGAAGACCAGCCUUGCGCGCUGAAGCUGACGCCAGUCGAGAAGGCACAACGGGCGUGGGACUGGCUCCAGGAGUUCGUCAAGGACGCCGGGGAAUUCGCUGGUGCGCACGUCCUUAGCAUGGUGCGCGCCCACUAUCCUCUGGUCUAACUGUCCUGACUGGAAAGGGGGUACCCCAAGGAGGUUGGUCCGCAGGAGGCAGACAACCUUCGUGCUGGUCUGCUUGACCUGUCGUCGACGGUGAUCGGCGACAUCAACCUCUGCGGGACGGAAACUCCCCCCGACCAGUCCGGGUCAGAUAGGUCGGCCAGGGAGUUGUCGGGAGCGUCCAUUGCCGGAGAUGGGCGGUCGACGCCUGCGGUCUCGACCAGCCAGGCGCCGGUGGCCCCGACCCCUUCGACCGGGCAGCAAGGCCGAGCGGGUGAUCAGCCCGAGCAGUAGGCCUGUAGAGUAGUCUGUAGAAAUAGACUAGGGACCACCCAGAGGGGUGUUUAUUGUAAACUCUAUACAUAACGUUUGUAAUAAAGUUUGAUUUGUCAUGACCAUGGUUUUGAGCGCUGUAAUAUUGUCUGAGUGAUGUAUCACUGAGUUGGGUUAAUAACUCUUAAGGACUUUCGUCCUAAAGGUGGUUGUUGCGCUUUGUCGAAAGCUCUGCAUAUAAAAGAAGUACAUAGGAAGAAAGAGAAAAUUUAUUAAUGCUGAUCAUAAGAGAUUUACAAAUAAAAUGUUCUAGAACUUAUGGGUAAAAAUGCCGCAGGUUGUUUAUGUGCCAAGAGUUAGGCAGGCGUGUUCCGUCUGGGUACGCCAGUCUGUAAGAUGUAGGGCGCGUGACUUUUGCGACCACAAAGGAUCCUUCCCAAGGUGUGGAUAACUUGUGCGUUCCUUCUUGGCUUGUUUUACACUUUAGAACAAGAUCACUGACCACGAAGGAACGGUCUUUGACGUUCCUGUUGUGAUACCUCCUAAUGGCUUCGAGAUAUUUUGCUGUUCGAAGGCACGAGAGUAGGCGCUUUUCUUCCAUGCAGUUGAUUUCAAGCUCCCUGGCGAUGUCAGCCGAAGGCUGGUCGAAGUUUUCGACUCUUGGAGAUCCAAAAGUUACGUCCGAUGGAAGCAUUGCCUUGGUGCCGUAAACCAUGAAGUAGGGUGACACGCCCGUGUUGCGACUAGCCUGUGUUCGGAGGCCCUAGACUACGGGCGGUAACUCUUUCAUCCAACCUCCUGGUGCUCUAUCGUUCUCUGUGUACAGCCUUUUCUUCAAAGCAUCGAUAAUCAUUCCAUUUGCUCGCUCUACUUGACCGUUGGCCCGUGGGUGAGCUACUGACACAUACUUUACGACUAUGCCCUUGUCAUCGCAGAAGUCCCAAAAUGCAAUGCCAGUGAACUGAGUGCCCAGGUCGGUGAUUAUGCUGUUGGGAACCCCAUAUCUGUGUAUGAUUUGGUUGAGGAAUUCCAUAGCCUUCUCGGAGGUUGCUUUGACCAGUGGCAUGUACUCGAUCCACUUUGAGAAUUUGUCGAUUAACACGAAGACGAACUUGAAGUUACCGAGGGCCGGCUUAAAUGGCCCGAUCAUAUCCAGGCCCCAACAGGCGAAAGGCCAGGAUGAUGGGAUAGUUUGAAUCUCGUCAGCAGGCACGUGAGUCCUCUUGGCAAAGAACUGGCAUCCUUCACAAUGUCGGACCAGUUUCUCGGCGUCGGCGACAGCAGUUGCCCAGUAAAAGCCUGCUCGGAAAGCCUUCCCGACGAGUGUUCUAGAGGCGGCAUGGUUGCCACAGGAUCCGGCGUGUAUGUCAUCUAAAAGCUUGAUGCCGUCACCUUGGGAUAUGCAUUUGAGCAGUACUUCGGAGCUUGCAUUUUUUCACAUAAGCUUUCCAUCCACGCGUAUGUAGUUCAUGGAUCGCCGGAUGAGAGGCUCGUUUUCCGUUUUAUCUUGGAGACCCAAUCCGUCCGACAUGUACCUGAUGAAAGGGGCGCGCCAAUCAUGGCUGCUGGUUGCCGGAGCGGAGUCGUCUAUGAUCAUUGCCUCAUUGGGUUGUUUUUCGACCAGGUAUGUGCCCACACUUGGUGCGUGGAUGUCCUGAACGAAAAUGCCUUGCGGGAUCUUGGCCCGAGAUGAUCCUAUCUUUGACAGCGCAUCCACUGCCUGGUUCCUAUCCCAGACCACGUGGAUGUAUUCUAUGCCAUAGAAAUUGGACUCCCAUUUGCGAAUUUCUUUGCAGUAGAGGUCCAUCUUUUCGUACGUUAGCCCCACCGACGUGGUCCACUCCAUUUUCGGGGGCAAGGUCUCCACUGAGUCCAAGCGAGAAAGAAAGCUGUUAAAGAGAGCCUGCCUCAACAUAGACAGCACGGACGGGCUGAUCGCAGAUCCGAAAUUUCCCGCCUGGUCCCACAGGGAGAUCUCGUUCAGCAGGAAGGACCAGUGGGCCGCUAUCCCAGAGCCGGGUCGUUUCCCACUGAUUCUUGAUCCCUGCGUCAAUAGCAUCAGAUUCGAGCGCGUGCUCGUGGACGGGGGAAGCUCCAUCGACAUCCUUUUCCGCAACAGCCUGCCCGCCCUCAAUAUAUCACCGGCACAACUAAAACCUUACGACGCCCAAUUCUGGGGGGUUUUGCCAGGUCAAAGUUCGGUGCUCCUCGGACAGAUAACAUUGCCUGUACAAUUUGGCACACCCGAUCACUUCCGGACGGAGUUCAUCAACUUCGUAGUUGCGGAUUUCGACGGGACCUACCACGCCAUACUGGGCCGCCCAUCGCUGACAAAGUUCAUGGCAGUCCCGCACUACUCAUAUCUAGUCCUUAAGAUGCCCACGGAGAAGGGUGUCCUAACCAUCAGAGGCAACGUCUACACUGCGUACACCUGCGAAGAAGAAAGCUUCAAGAUCACCGAGGCAAUGGACCUCUCAAUCCGCAUGGCGGAAACAGCAAACCAAGCCGCACAGCUGCCUCCCGACCAGCUCCGAUUACCUGAGCAGGAGACAGCCAGAAAAAAUUCGAAAUCCAAGGAGCACAAAGAAGUGCAGCUGGUCGAAGGCAACCCCGAGAAGACAGCCCUCAUCGGGGCUAACCUGGAUCCAAAAUAGGAAGACGCGCUCGUCAGGUUUCUAAGGGACAACGUGAGCGUUUUCGCAUGGAAACCCGCAGACAUGCCCGGUGUCCCACGAAACCUGAUCGAGCACUCCUUAAACGUCUCGAAGACCGCAAGACCAAUCAAGCAAAAACUGCGACGGUUCGCUCGUGACAAAAAGGAGGCUAUUAGGACAGAAAUAACACGGCUUCUAGUAGCCGGAUUCAUAAAAGAAGUGUAUCAUCCCGAUUGGCUCGCCAAUCCGGUUCUUGUACGCAAAAAGAAUAAUGAAUGGAGAAUGUGCGUUGAUUACACCGAUCUCAACAAACACUGUCCUAAAGAUCCUUUUGGUCUUCCUCGCAUCGACGAGGUGGUCGACUCAACGGCCGGAUGCGAACUCCUCUCCUUUCUAGAUUGCUACUCUGGUUAUCACCAGAUCUCGUUAAAGGAAGAAGAUCAGAUCAAAACAUCCUUCAUCACACCCUUCGGCGCAUACUGUUACACUACCAUGUCUUUCGGACUUAAAAACGCCGGGGCCACUUAUCAAAGGGCCAUCCAGCAAUGCCUCCACGACGAGAUUCGCGAUGACCUCGUCGAGGCCUAUGUGGACGACGUGGUCGUAAAAACAAGGGACGCGAGCACCCUAAUCGACAACUUAGACCGAACCUUCAAGGCACUCAAUAGGUACAAGUGGAAGCUCAACCCCAAGAAAUGCAUUUUCGGCGUUCCUUCCGGUCUACUGCUCGGCAACGUCGUCAGUCGUGACGGCAUACGACCAAACCCUUCAAAAGUCAAAGCCGUACUCGACAUGCGACCACCGAAGAACGUCAAGGAUAUUCAGAAGCUAACCGGAUGCAUGGCCGCCCUCAGUCGUUUCAUCUCAAGGCUAGGAGAAAAAGGCCUCCCUUUCUUCAAACUACUGAAAGCGUCAGAAAAAUUCUCUUGGACAGAGGAAGCCGACGCUGCAUUCACUCAGCUUAAGACCUUCCUCACUUCACCGCCUGUCCUCACAGCGCCUCAGCCCAAUGAAGACCUACUCCUUUACAUUGCUGCAACCGACAGGGUUGUUUCCACGGCAAUAGUGGUCGAGCGAGAUGAACCAGUCACGUCUUCAAGGUCCAGAGACCCGUUUACUUCAUAAGCGAAGUUUUAAACGAAUCCAAGGCCAGGUACCCACAAAUACAGAAGCUUAUAUACGCCAUCCUGAUAAGGUCAAGAAAGCUGAAGCACUACUUCGACGGCUAUCGAGUCCUGGUGACAACCAGCUUUCCUCUCGGGGACAUCCUGCGCAAUAAAGACGCCAAUGGCAGAAUCGUGAAAUGGGCAAUGGAAUUAUGUCCAUUUUCCCUAGAGUUCCAGAGUCGCACCACUGUCAAGUCUCAAGCCCUGGUCGAUUUCAUUGCCGAAUGGACGGAUCUCAACGAGCCUUCCGUUCCAGACGUCUCAGACCACUGGUCAAUGUUCUUCGAUGGGUCCUUGAACAUCAACGGUGCAGGCGCUAGGAUAUUGUUCGUAUCACCCAACAAGGACAAACUCCGCUACGUCCUUCGGAUCCUUUUUCCGGCGUCAAACAAUGUCGCCGAAUACGAAGCAUGCUUACAUGGCGUACGACUAGCCGUCGAACUGGGGGUCAAGCGCCUCUAUGUCUACGGCGACUCCGCUUUGGUCAUCAACCAGCUCAACAAGGAGUGGGACGCAACCCACGAGAAGAUGGAUCUCUACUGCAAAGAAAUUCGCAAAUGGGAAACUAACUUCUAUGGCAUAGAGUACAUCCACGUGGUCCGGGAUAAGAACCAAGCAGCAGAUGCGUUGUCAAAGUUAGGCUCAUCUCGGGCCCAAAUCCCGCGGGGUAUUUUCGUCCAGGACAUCCAUGAGCCGAGCGUAAGCUCCCCCCUGGUCGACAAGCAACCCACCGAGGCAAUGCUCAUAGAUGACGCCACUCCGACAACCGGUGGGCGUGACUGGCGUACCCCGUUCAUCAAAUACAUAUCAGACGGGACAGGCUUUCAGGACAAAACAGAGAACGAGCGUCUCAUCCGACGAUCAAAGAACUACAUCCUGGUCGACGGAAAACUCAUGCGGAAAAACGCAAGCUCCGAAGUACUGCUCAAGUGCAUACCCCAAGAUGAUGGUAUCAAGCUCUUGGAGGACAUACACGCCGGAUCCUGCGGCAACCACGCCGCAUCUAGAACGCUGGUCGGAAAGGCUUUCCGAGCAGGUUUUUAUUGGCCAACCGCGGUCGGCGACGCAGAAAAACUGGUUCGGCAUUGCGAAGGAUGUCAGUUUUUCGCUAAGAGGACCCACGUACUUGCCCAUGAAAUUCAAACCAUCCCGUCGUCUUGGCCCUUUGCUUGCUGGGGGCUUGACAUGAUCGGACCAUUUAAACCAGCCCCGGGCAAUUUCAAGUUUGUCUUCGUGUUAAUCGACAAGUUCUCCAAGUGGAUUGAAUACAUGCCCCUGGUCAAGGCAACCUCCGAGAAGGCUGUGGAGUUCCUCAAUCAAAUCAUACACAGAUUCGGCAUCCCGAACAGCAUAAUCACCGACCUGGGCACUCAGUUUACUGGCACCACUUUUUGGGAUUUCUGCGAUGACAGAGGCAUAGUCAUAAAAUAUGUGUCAGUGGCACAUCCACGUGCCAACGGUCAAGUUGAACGUGCUAACGGAAUGAUUGUCGACGCCCUAAAGAAAAGGUUGUACAAAGAAAACGACAGAGCACCCGGUCGAUGGAUGAAAGAAUUGCCGGCAGUGGUCUGGGGCCUCCGAACUCAGACCAGUCGAAACACAGGGGUGUCUCCCUACUUCAUGGUGUACGGUGCAAAGGCGGUCUUGCCGUCUGACAUACACUUCGGAUCUCCUAGAAUCGAGCACUUCGAUCAGGCGACCGCCGACAACGCCAGAGGACUCGAAAUCAAUUGCAUGGAGGAAAAGCGUUUAGUUUCGUGUCUCCGAACAGCAAAAUAUCUCGCAGCAGUCAGGCGAUACUACAACAGGAAUGUCAAGGACCGUUCUUUCGUGGUCGGCGAUCUGGUGCUUCGAUGGAAAACAAGCCAGGAGGGAAUGCACAAGCUAUCCACUCCCUGGGAAGGACCCUUCGUGGUGACCGAGGUCACACGACCUACGUCCUACAGAUUGGCAUACCCAGACGGAACACGAGUGCCUAACUCUUGGCACAUCGACAAACUGCGACGUUUCUAUCCAUAAAGUUUUAAUGACUUUCUUUUGUAAGUAUCUUAUAAUUUUUGAUAAUGAAAUUCUCUAUUUUUGGCCCAUACCUUGUCACACACAGCACUCGGCAAAACUCCUGCAACGGAUGCUCUUAGCGACAACCAAGACAAAUACGGUGACACGUCACUCAGACAUUCUUACAGCGCUCAAAACAACAGUCAUGACAAAAAGCAAACUUUAUUACAAACUUUACAUACAAAGUUUACAAUAAAUACCCUGACGGGCAAACACUAGUCUAUUCCUACAGACUACUUUAUUGGCCUAGCUGCUCGGGCUGAUCACCCGCCUGGCCCUGCUGCCCGGACGAAGGAGUCGGGGCCACCGGCGCCUGGCUGGUCGAGACCGCAGGCGUCGACCGCCCAUCUCCCGCAACGGACGCGCCCGACAACUCCCUGGCCGACCUAUCUGAGCUCGGCUGGUCUGGAGGAGUGGCCGUUCCGCACAGAUUGAUGUCGCCGAUCACUGUCGACGACAAGUCCAGCAGAUUACCCCGAAGUUCGUCCGCUUCCUGUGGGCCGACUUCCUUCGGGUACCCCUUCUCCAGCCUGCUCAAGUCGACCAGGGGGUAGUGGGCGCGCACCAUGCUGAGGACGUGCGCGCCGGCAAACUCCCCGGCGUCCUUCACAAACUGCUGGAGCCAGUCCCACGCCCGUUGCGCCUUCUCGACCGGGGUCAACUGCGGCGCGCGGGGCUGGCUCUCCGGGAGCUCGGGACUGAUCAGGUCUAGGACCGGGGACACUCCUUUCCAGAUCCUACAACAGUUGACCUUCCAGGAGUCCCGGUCCUUGAUCAGGUCAUCCAGGUGCUUUUUGGUGUUCACCUUGAGCACUGCAAACGAAACGAAACGUUACUUUCGGCAUACCAGACAAAUAAAGGGGCAGGCAGCAACCAACAAGGCGGCACCCAUUACCAGAUAGCUCCCGGUCUUUUCGACCCAAUUCCUCUUCUGCUCGUCGCCCGGACUCCAGCGCACCGGCGAGCUGUUGGCUGAGCUGCUCCUUCUCUUGUCGGAGGCUCGCCACCUCCUCCUCCAAGUCUGCGUGAAUCCUAAACUGGUCAGCAAAGCAAACUAUACAAGUACGCGAAGCUGCUCGGAGCGUGUGACUAACCUUCUUGCAGCCGGUACUGGUCGGCCAAACGACGAGCGAGGUCGAGACGACGCUCCUUUUCGGCACUCACCUCGACCACCUUCUCCCCGACCUCCGCCCGCAACCGGUCUACCUCCGCGGCAAGGGCCUUGUUCUCGGCCAUGACGCCUUCUAUCUGGUCAAAGCACCGUUUCCGGUACUUCACCGUUUUCAUUACGUCCUACAAAGCAAGCAUAUAACGACCAUGCAAGACAAGGCAAAAGAAUGCGCAGCAGCACAAAAAGCCGCUUACCUUGACUUCAUCGACGAGGCGCUUGGCUGCGCGCUCCACCCUGGCGGCCUCUUUGGUCUCGGCGAGCUCCUCAUGCCCGAUAAAGUGAUCCCCGCGUUGGCGCCACACAUACACGUGUUGGCGGCCAUCACGGGGACGACCCUCGAUCUCUUCCACCUCGUCAUCGGAGGCCGCCCGGGUUUCCUCCUCCUGUGCUGCGUCACCCUCGGUGGUGGUCCCAGGCAUUACUGGCCCUUGGACCAGACCUGGGGAGCCCGCAGCCGAAGAGGCUCCUGCUCGGGGCGGCGGGGGGACUUCACUCCCCCCGGCAGGAGGAGCGGUCGGAGAUCUUCCCUUCUUUGAGGAGUCAGUUGGGGGAGCCUCUCCAGCCCUGGUCGGGCUGCUUGUUGUAGUCGGCACCGCGCUUGGGAGCCCCUCGGUGCUCCCAGGCGCGACUGCAGCUGUUGGCUGCUCUGUGGUCUGGGGGGCCGCAUCCCCAGAACCGCGGGCAGGCUCGCCCGUUCCCUGGCUGGCAGUUUGGCCAGGGUCGACAUCCGAUGCCGCACUACAGGAACAAAAGUUAAAAAAAAAGAGGAGUCCAAAAUACGUAAGUCGAACACUUACAGGUCUGACCGACGGUGGGUCGCGGUGAACCUCCUCCUCGCCCGGCCGGUCGGCACCUGUGCCCCCAUCUCGACAACUUGCGGGGCAGCGGCGCCGCUGGCCACUCGAUCAGUGGCGACCGGCGCAGUGUCUGGGCGGCUUCGAGGCCGUCGGACCAACGACGGCGCAGCCUCCUCGUCGUCGUCGUCGUCGACGAUCCGCACGAGCCGACGACGCUUCGGUGCUUGGCUGCUCUCCGCCGGUAGAUCUGCCGGCAGCUCCGGUGUCGGCAAGGGAUCUGCCGGCAAUGGCCUUUCCCCGCUACCCUCUCCUCGGAGGUCGGGAUGGGGCGGGCUCGGUCUUCCUCACUGCUGGUGUAAUGGGUACACCGAGCAGCGUCCUCCUCUGGCGGGACCUCUCCCACAGGAUUUUCCAUCCCCGGUGCCAGUGAUACAUACACUGCGCACCGGUCGACAUCACCGACCUGCAAAAGCAACAGAGAUGAGUCAACUGCAGACGAUAUAUGAAUGAUCAAACAGAAUCUGCUACAUACCUUUGGUGCUGGUCGUCCUAACUUGAAGGCUUGCACCCGGUCACUGCCACGGAUGAAGCCCCCAUCCGCGAAGUUAAACAGCUCGUUCAACAGCUGUUGUACCUCCGCUUUCUCCAAGAUCUCCGACCGCAUCCUGGUCGGGUCUGCGCUUCCGGCAUACUCGUACGCCGAGUGCACCCUCUUCUGGCAGGGCAUCACCCGGCGGCAAAUGAAGUUGUCGACCACGCCAAGCCCGUCUAGGCGCGACCAGUCGAUCAGCUUCAUGAGAUCCGCCACUGGACCGUCGAACUCCGGGCGGUCGGUCCAGCUCGCCCUCUUCUCGGGAAUGUAUCCCACGUCGCAGAACGUGGAGCUGCCCGGUUCCUCCCUGAUGUAGAACCACUUCCUGUACCAUUCGGUUAAGGAAGUGUUCCAUGGGCAGUGCAGGUAGCGAUUCUUCAUCCCAUCACGAAGGUUGAGGUAUACUCCACCUGCAACCUUGGAGCCUCCAACUGCUCCCUUCUUCCUCAGGCAGAAAAGAUACCGGAAAAGAUCGAAGUGCGGCUCUAUGCCAACAUAGGCCUCGCACAGGUGGAUGAAGGUGGAAAUAAGGAGAAUUGAGUUCGGGUGCAGAUUGCAAAUCCCGAUCUCAUAGUACAAAAGAAGACCUUGAAGAAAAGGAUGAACAGGAACACCAAAGCCUCUCUUAACGAAAUCUUCAAAAACGACGAUCUCACCGGCGCGAGGGUCGGGGUAGCUCUCCCCCUCCGGCGCCCUCCAGCCGCCGAGCUCUGCGCCGUGCAGAAGCCCCAUAUCGACGAGGUCACCAAGAGAUUUUGUGGUGCUGCGAGACUUCUUCCAUUCCUUGGCCAUCAGUUCGGCCCUCUUCCUGGAGUCGCUCUUCGCCAUUAGAGGUGCGAAUGUGGGCUGGAGUUAGGAAGAUGCAGGAGAUUGGAGAAGAUGAGAGCGGAAGGUUUGAAGGCAAUGGCAGGCGAAGCGGUACAGGCGGACCUAUUAGGCCCUUAUAAACCCGUGACUCCACCUCUCCCACUUCCUGUAUUCUCGGGAAGUGGGUAGGCCGCGCGGCGGACGCGGCGUUUCGGUUUACAAUGAUUAUAGACAAUUAAUGCGGCGGAGUUUUCGUACCAAUUAAUGGUUUCCUUUCUCAAACCAUGCAAAGAGCGGUUGUACAGUUGCCAGGUGCAACUUUUCAUGCAUCCGUCUGACAUAUCGUCAGGAGACCUCGUCACGUCAACUUUAACUGGAAAGAUCUUUUCAAAAGUAAGAAGACACAUACGCCAGUGAGUCAACAAUCCGGGGACUGCACCGACCACCGAGCACUCGACGCUCGGGGACUGGUCGCCCAGUCUAUCAUCUCGGAACUUCAAGGACUGCACCGACCACCGAGCACUCGACGCUCGGGGACUGGUCGCCCAGUCUAUCAGCUGGGAACUUCAAGGACUGCACCGACCACCGAGCACUCGACGCUCGGGGACUGGUCGCUCAGUCUAUCAGCUCAAAGCUUUAAAGCAUGCACCGACCACUGAGCACUCCACGCUCGGGGACUGGUCGUACAGUAUAGCAACAUAUAAUUCCAAGAAGCACACUAAGUGCUUGGGGACUGGUCGAUUGGUCUUUUCAAUUGCAGGCGAGCAUGACAUGCUCGGGGACUGGUAAAUUCACUUUAGACCUUGCUACAAGGCUCAUAAUUCGCCUUCCAGCAAGCUCGGGGACUACAUCGGUACGAUGCAUCUAGCGAUGCAUCUCAGUCUCAAAACUACUUUGGGGAAUUUUCUUUUGACCCUGGCACCACGUGCCUACGUCACCUACUACCAGGCUCGGGGACUAAGUGGGCACACUUCACCUAGCGGUGAAUUUGUUUGCUUUUUUGAUGCUUUUACCUUUCAAAAAGGUAAAGUGGGCACACUUCACCAGGAAAGAAAUUUUUUUUAAGAGCACCAUGCAUUCUUCGAACAACCUGCCUCUUCGAUGUCAAUGUUGAUCAACUGUCUUUCGAGUUGGUCAAGGAACCGUUGCAACUGCUUGGGCGAUCUUCCCACUCAUUGAAGACGCCAAGCCUUGCUGAUCGAAGAAGCUCAAGACGGCGUGUUGCAUCACAAUACAUGGUGCUCGGGGACUAGCUGUGGGGGUAUAAACCCCUAUACCCUUACGGCUAGACUUCAGCCACGAAGCUUGGCCCACUACGAGACGAGUUCAAGGCUUGAUCCGACAGCUCGGAGUUUCGCGCAAGGAAACAAGACGUGGAGAUCAAGCAAGAUUCUAGUCGGUUAGAAUAGGAAUUGAUAUCAAAUUAUCUAUGGCAAUUGUAACCGACUAGGAUUAGUUUCCAGAUCUGUAACCCUGCCCUCCAGACUAUAUAAGGAGGGGCAAGGGACCCCCCUAGGACAUCAUAUUCUCUCAACACAAAUCAAUACAACCAGACGCAGGACGUAGGUAUUACGCCAACUCGGCGGCCGAACCUGGAUAAAAAGCUUGUCCGUGUCUUGCGUCACCAUCGAGUUCGUAGUUUGCGCACCGUCUACCGAUAAACUACUACCGUGGGUAUACCCCAAGGUAGACUGCCGACUAGCUUUCGUCGACAGGUACCUAGUCUUGGACUCGUUUAAGACUUCACUUAUGAAGUAAACUGGUCUCUGAACUUUGUAUACAUGGCCUGGCUCAUCCCGCUCGACCACCAUUGCCGUGGAGACAACCCUGUCAGUUGCUGCUAUGUAAAGGAGCAGGUCCUCGUUGGGUUGAGGCGCUGUGAGAACGGGUGGCAAAGUGAGAAAGGUUUUGAGCUGGGUGAACGCAGCGUCGGCUUCCUCUGUCCAGGAGAAUUUUUCUGAUGCCUUUAGGAGCUUGACGAAGGGGAGGCCUUUUUCUCCUAGUCUAGAGAUAAAACAGCGGAGAGCAGCCAUACAUCCAGUGAGCUUUUGAAUGUCCUUGACAUUCUUUGGUGGUCGCAUAUCGAGCACUGCUUUUACUUUUGAGGGAUUCGGUCGUAUGCCGUCGCGGCUAACGACGUUGUCGAGUAGUAGACCAGAGGGGACCCCGAAGAUACAUUUCUUGGGGUUAAGCUUCCACUUGUAUUUAUUAAGUGCCUUGAAAGUUCGGUCUAGGUUGUUGAUUAGAGUGCUCGCGUUCUUUGUUUUGACGACGACAUCAUCUACAUAAGCCUCGACGAGGUCAUCACAAAUCUCGUCGUGGAGGCAUUGCUGAAUGGCCCGUUGAUAGGUGGCUCCAGCGUUUUUGAGUCCGAAGGACAUGGUCGUGUAGCAAUACGCGCCGAAAGGAGUGAUAAAAUAUGUUUUGAUCUGGUCAUCUUCCUUUAGCGAGAUCUGGUGAUAACCAGAGUAGCAGUCUAGAAAAGAGAGGAGUUCGCAUCCGGCCGUUGAGUCGACCAACUCAUCGAUGCGAGGGAGACCAAAAGGAUCUUUAGGACAGUGCUUAUUGAGAUCAGUGUAAUCUACGCACAUUCUCCAUUCAUUAUUCUUUUUUCAUAAAAGAACCGGAUUGGUGAGCCAAUCGGGAUGAUACAGUUCUUUAAUGAAUCCGGCUGCUAGAAGCCGUGUUAUUUCUGUCCUAACAGCCUCCUUUUUGUCACGAGCAAACCGUCGCAGUUUCUACUUGAUAGGUCUUGCGGUCUUCGAGACGUUUAAGGAGUGCUCGAUCAGGUUUCGCGGGACACUGGGCAUGUCCGCGGGUUUCCACGCAAAAACGCUUACAUUGUCCCUGAGAAACCUCACAAGCGCGUCUUCCUAUUUGGGAUCCAGAUUGGCCCCGAUAAGGGCCGUCUUCUCGGGGCUGCCGUCGACCAGCUGUACUUCCUUGUGCUCUUUGGAUUUUGAAUUUUUCCUUGGAGUCUCCUGCUCGAGUAGUCGAAGCAGGUCGGGUGGAAGCUGCGUGGCUUGGGUCACGGUUUCUGCCAUGCGGAUUGAGAGGUCGAUUGCCUCGGUGAUCUUGAAACUUUCCUCCUCUCAAGUGUAUGCGGUAUAAACGUUGCCUCUGAGAGUUAGGACGCCUUUCUCUGUUGGCAUUUUAAGGACCAGGUAUGAGUAGUGCGGAACAGCCAUGAACUUUGUCAACGAUGGUCGGCCCAAGAUGGCAUGAUAAGUUCUGUCAAAGUCGGCGACCACAAAGUUGACGAACUCUGUUCGGAAGUGGUCGGGCGUUCCGAACUGGACAGGCAGCGUUAUCUAUCCGAGGGGUACUGAACUUUGACCUGGCUGGACUCCCCAGAAUUGUGCGUCAUAUGGCUUUAGUUGUGUCGGGGUUAUCUUGAGAGCAGGCAAACUGUUGCGAAAGAGGAUGUCAAUGGAGCUUCCCCCGUCGACGAGGACACACUCGAAUCUGAUGCUCUUGAUGCAAGGAUCCAGGAUUAGAGGGAAACAUCCUGGCUCUGGGAUGGCGGCCCAUUGAUCCUUCCUGCUGAAGGAGAUUUCCCUAUGCGACCAGGGAGGAAAUUUCGGAUCGGCGAUCAAACCGUCUGUGCUGUCCACGUUGAUGCACGCUCUCUUUAGGAGCUUUCUUUCGCGCUUGGAUUCGAUGGAAACUUUGCCUCUGAAGAUAGAGUGGACCACGUCGGUAGGAUUGACAUACUGGUGUCGUGGGUCCCUAUCCUGGUCCUCGCCUUCGUCUUCGUGAACGCGCCCGUCCUGCUUCCCGUUUUUCUUGGCGGACUCAUCUUGAGCGGCCCGCCGCAUGUAGAUGCUUUUGAGGACAUGACAUUCUUCCAUCGUGUGGUUAGACUUGGGGUGGAGUUGGCACGGUCCCUUCAACGUCUUGUUGUAAUCUUCCUGGUAGUCCCGCCGUCCGUUGGGGCGUUUGACUGUAUUCACCUCGUGGUCGUGGUCGUGGUCGCGAGGGCGCUUGCUCCUGAAAUCAUCACGAUUAUCACGCCGCCUAUCCCAACCUUCUCUAUGGUCACGGUUGUCGAGGCGACAGUGGUUCCUGUUAUCAAAACGACUACGACUGUCGUCCCAUCGAGGAGGCUGGUCAGUACCUCUCGCAUCCUCUCGGAUGAGUUUUUCUGCGUCGUCGGUGUCGGUGUAGUUUUUUGCCGUGGUAAGGAGCUCAGCCACCGUGGUUGGCCUUUUGCAUAGUAGCUUGUUCCUUAGUGCCUUGUGGAAGCGUAGCCCUUUGAUGAAGGCGGAUAUGGCCUCGUCGUGAGAGAUUUUUGGGAUUUUAAGGCGCAUAUCCGAGAAUCGUCAGAUGUAAUCGCGCAAAGGCUCGUUUUUCCUGUCCCUUAUUCUCUCGAGGUCGUAUUUGUUCCUGGGCUGGUCGCAGGUAGUGAUAAAAUUGUCGAUAAAAGCUUGGCGCAAUUCUUCCCAGGAAUCAAAGGAGUCCUCGGGCAGGCCCAGGAGCCACUGAUGACCAGCCUGGUCGAGGAUGAUUGGGAAGUAGUUGGCCAUGACGUGCUCAUCGCCUGCUGCUGAACGGACUGCAAUCUCAUAGAGAGUGAUCCAGUUUUCUAGGUUUUCCUUGCCGUCAUAUUUUUUGAUCUUCUCGAGUUUGAAGUUGCAGGGCCAUACGACUUGGCGAAGGUGUGAGAAAAACUGUCUCAGGCCGGGAGGACCGUGCGUGGCGUCGUACUCAAUACGCCGCAGGUUCUCGUGCACCGCUCUUUCCGUAGCACGCCUGUUGAUGCGGUCCCGGGCGUCUUUGGGAGGGAUGUUGUUUCGUAGAUCCCUGUCCUGGUUUACCUCCUGACCACGCCCGCGAUUCUGCUCGCGGUAGCCGCCGGUGUCCCGACCACCGUUGCCACGCCGUGAAUCCUUCCGAUGAUUAUUGGGGGAGCGGCUACGGUGGUGCUCGCUGGGUCGUGGUGAGGUCCGGCUGCGAUGAUUCUGGUCGGAGGAGACCUCUGUGUAGGAGAUAGCUUGGACCCUUUUAAGUAAGGUAGCUGUCUGUCCCAUCGCGGUGAUCGGAUGCGCGCGUACGCUGGAUCGGACACCCUGGCACUCGGGAGUAUCAGGGAGUCGGUCUAGGUUUGCCAUAGCAACAGCCACGUUAGCACAUGGCGUUUUGUAGACUUGUUGAUCUCCGACCAUGUCGAAAGCGUCGCUGAGGUUAUGCGGCGGGAGUUGUUGUUCCUCGUCCGCACGUCGCCGAGCACGGUCGGCAUUGCGCUGUUCACGGAGCUGCCUCUGAUCGUCUGUCUCCCCCUCGACAACCGGUUCGUCGUUGCUGACAUUGAAGAUGAGAUCUCCCCGCCAGGGUGGAAAGAUCGGGAAGCGAGAGAAACCCAGAGGGUACGGUGGUAAUUCCAGGUCGUAAUCUUCGUCCUCAGAGUUUAUAACCUCGGUGGGGACGGAUCCAGUGCUGGAGUUUGUGCUGGAAGCCUGGUCAUUUGGUAGUUCUCGGAUUGUCACCAUGUUGAAGUAGUGACGAGCCGGUCGACUGUUCCGUUUUGGCACGCAACCCGCCCUGUUGAAAAGGGAUUGGAUGUGCCGUGAGUAGUAAACGGCUGAGUUGUUUAGCCCAUAAGGAGGACUCUGAUCUGGGUCCACCUUGAGCUUGACGGACCGCCCCGCGGGGAUGGAUGUUAUCGCCAAAGACAUCCCCAGAUGUUCGUGCGUGAUGACACGAGUUGGCUGGCAGGAGUCGAAAAAAUCUGUUGACGCGAUUCGAUCAGACUGGCGCGAGAUCCCAUCUAUCAGUCGGGAAGCUUCGAGGAGCCUGAGAUCGGCGCGAUCAAGGGCCCGAAAAAGAUCCGAGUUGUCGACCUUCUUUCCCCUGUAACGAGGGAGCAGUGGUCGAGUGGUCGGUGUCGGCGUGAUCGGAGUCGACGCCGUUGUCGCCCCAGAUUGGAUCUGGGUUUCUUCCGAAGUCGUGGUCGUGAGGCCGCCGCCACAAGUCGUCCACGUGAUCUGGCCGACGGUGAGCGUGAGGCCUUCGGGCACAGCCGCGGAAGCUGGAACGAUGACCAUCUUGUUCGUCGGGAGAGCUGUACGCACACCCCCUACCUAGCGCGCCACUGUCGACGAAAGCUGGUCGGCAGUCUACCUUGGGGUAUACCCACGGUAGUAGUUUAUCGAUAGACGGUGCGCAAGCUACGAACUCGAUGGUGACGCAAGACACGGACAAGCUUUUUAUCCAGGUUCGGCCGCCGAGAGGGCGUAAUACCUACGUCAUGCGUCUUGUUGUAUUGAUUUGUGUCGAGAGAAUAAUGUGUCCUAGGGGGGUCCCUUGCCCCUCCUUAUAUAGUUCGGAGGGCAGGGUUACAGAUCUGGAAACAAAUCUAGUCGGUUACAAUUGUCGUGGAUAGUUUGAUAUCAAUUCCUAUUCUAACCGACUAGAAUCCUACUUGAUCUCUACGUCCUGUUUCCUUGCGCGAAACUCCGAGUAGUCGAAUCAAGCCUCAAACUUGUCUCUUAAUGGGCGAAGCCUCCGGGCCCAAGUCUUGCCGUAAGGGUAUAGGGGUUUAUACCCCCACAGAGAUAGUGCUAAUCUUGAUGCAAGAUAGAUGCACGGUUUGCAUGGAACAUACGAUAUGCACAGAAAUCAAUUAGGACGCACCUAAUAUAACUCCUUGAUGAUGUGUGUCAUAUGGAACCUUGCCUUAGUUCGUUUAGAGAUAGUGUUAGUUUUGGUAGAAGAUAUGUGCACGGUUUACGCCUAAUGCGCCAUAGGCUAAGAAACCAUUUUAGACACACCCGAUGGUACUCGUAGUUGAAGAGGCUCAAGUGGAGGCUCGAUUUGGUCUGUUUGGAUAUAGUGCUAAUCUUGAGGCAAGAUAGUUGCACAGUUUGCAUGGAACAUACCAUAUAUUAAGAAAUCAAUUUGGACGCACCCAAUGGAACUCCUAGAUGACGUGUGUCAUAUGGAAUCUUGCUUCGGUGUAUUUAGAGACAAUGUUAGUUUCGGUGCAAGAAAGGUGCAUAGUUUGUGCCUAAUGCACCAUAGUCUAAGAAACCAUUUUUGAAGCAUCUGUUUGUACUCCUUGAUGAAGAGGCUCAAGUGGAAGCUUGGUUUGGUCUGUUUGGAGAUAGUGCUAAUCUUGAUGCAAGAUAGGUGCACGGUUUGCAUGGAACAUGUCAUAUGCUUGGAAAUCAAUUUGGAUGCACCCGAUGGAACUCCUUGAUGACGUGUGUCAUAUGGAAUCUCGGUUUGUUCUGUUUAGAAAUAGUGUUAGUUUCGGUGCAAGAUAUGUGCAUGGUUUGCGCCUAAUGCACCAUAGUCUAAGAAACCAUUUUGGAAGCACCUGUUGGUACUUCUGUGAAGAGGCUCAAGUGGAAGCUCGGUUUGAUCUGUUUCAAGAUAGUGUUAAUCUUGAUGCAAGAUAGGUGCAUGAUUUGCAAGGAACAUACCAUAUGCUUAGAUAUCAAUUUGGACGCACCUAAUGGAACUCCUAGAUGACGUGUGUCAUAUGGAAUCUUGCUUCGGUCCGUUUGUAGACAUUGUAAGUUUUAGUGCAAGAUAGAUGCAGAGUUUGCGCCUAAUGCACCAUAGUCUUAGAAACCAUUUUGGAUGCAAUAUUUGGAACUCCUGGGUGUAGAGGCUCAAGUGGAAGCUUGGUUCAGUCAGUUUGCAGAUAGUGCUAAUCCUUAUGCAAGGUAGGUGCAUGGUUCACAUGGAACAUGCCAAAUGCUUGGAAAUCAAUUUGGAUGCACCCGAUGGAACUCCUUGAUGACGUGUGUCAUAUGUAGUCUCGCUUCGUUCUAUUUGGAGACAUUGUUAGUUUCAGUGCAAGAUAGGUGCACAGUUUGCACCUAAUACACCACAGUCUAAGAAACUAUUUUGGACGCACUUGUUGGUACUCCUAGGUGAAGGGGCUCAAGUUGAUGCUCGGUUCGGUCUGUUUGGAGAUAGUGCUAAUGUUGAUGCAAGAUAGGUGCACGGUUUGUAUGGAACAUACCAAAUGCUUGGAAAUCAAUCCGGACGCACAUGAUGGAACUCCUAGAUGAUGUGUGUCAUACGAAAUCUUGCUUCGGUCUAUUUGGAGAUAGUGUUAGUUUCGGUGCAAGAUAGGUGCAACGUUUGCACAUAAUGCAGCAUAGGCUAAGAAACCAUUUUGGACGCACCCGAUGGUAUUCCUAGGUAAAAGGCUCAGGUGAAAGCUCGGUUUGGUCAAUUUGGAGAUAGUGCUAAUCUUGAUGCAAGAUAGAUGCACGGUCUAUUUGGAACGUACCAUAUGCUUAGAAAUUAAUUUGGACACACCCGACAGAACUCAUUGAUGACGUGUGUCAUAUUGAAUCUCGCUUUGGUGUGCUUAGAGACGGUAUUAGUUUUGGUGCAAGAUAUGUGCAUGGUUUGCGAAUAAUGCACCAAAAGCUAAGAAACCAUUCUAGAAGUACCUGUUGGUACUCCUAGAUGAAGAGGCUCAAGUGGAGGCUCGGUUCGUUCUAUUUGGAGAUAGUCCUAAUCUUGAUGGAAGGUAGGUGCACGGUUUGCAUGGAACAUACCAAAUGUUUGGAAAACAAUCUGGACGCACAUGAUGGAACUCCUAGAUGACGUGUGUCAUACAAAAUCUUGCUUCAGUCUGUUUGGAGAUAGUGUUAGUUUCGGUGCAAGAUAGGUGCAAGGUUUGCACAGCAUGCAGCAUAGGCUAAGAAACCAUUUUGGACGCACCCGAUGGUACUCCUAGGUAAAAGGCUUAAGUGAAAGCUCGGUUUGGUCUAUUUGGAGAUAGUGCUAAUCUUGAUGCAAGAUAGAUGCACGGUCUGCAUGGAACGUACCAUAUGCUUAGAAAUUAAUUUGGACACACCCGAUAGAACUCCUUGAUGACGUGUGUCAUAUGGAAUCUCGCUUUGGUGUGCUUAGAAACAAUAUUAGUUUCGGUGCAAGAUUUGUGCACGGUUUGCGCCUAAUGCUCCAAAGUCUAAGAAACCAUUUUGGACGCUCUUGUUGGUACUCCUAGGUGAAGAGGCUCAAGUUGAUGCUCGGUUCGGUCUGUUUGGAGAUAGUGCUAAUCUUGAUGCAAGAUAGGUGCACAGUUUGCAUGGAACAUACCAAAUGCUUGGAAAUCAAUCCGGACGCACAUGAUGGAACUCCUAGAUGACGUGUGUCAUACGAAAUAUUGCUUUGGUCUGUUUGGAGACUAUGUUAGUUUCGGUGCAAGAUAGGUGCAUGGUUUGCACCUAAUGUACCAUAGGAUACGAAACCAUUUUGGACGCACCCGAUGGUACUCCUAGGUCAAGGGGCUCAAGAGAAAGCUCGGUUUGGUCUGUUUGGAGAUAGUGCUAAUCUUGAUGCAAGAUAGAUACACGGUUUGCAUGGAACAUAUGAUAUGCUCAGAAAUCAAUUAGGACACACCUAAUAUAACUCCUUGAUGAUGUGUGUCAUAUGGAAUCUUGUUUUGUUUCGUUUAGAGAUAGUGUUAGUUUGGGUAGAAGAUAUGUGCAUGGUUUACGCCUAUUGCACCAUAGGCUAUGAAACCAUUUUAGACGCACCCGAUGGUACUCAUAGUUGAAGAGGCUCAAGUGGAGGCUCGAUUUGGUCUGUUCGGAUAUAGUGCUAAUCUUGAUGCAAGAUAGUUGCACAGUUUGCAUAGAACGUACCAUAUGUUAAGAAAUCAAUUUGCACGCACCCAAUGGAACUUCUAGAUGACGUGUGUCAUAUGAAAUCUCGCUUCGGUCUGUUUGGAGACAAUGUUAGUUUUGGUGCAAGAUAGGUGCAUAGUUUGUGCCUAAUGCACCAUAGUCUAAGAAACCAUUUCUGAUGCACCUGUUUGUACUCCUAGAUGAAGAGGCUCAAGUGGAAGCUUGGUUUGAUGUGUUUGGAGAUAGUGCUAAUCUUGAUGCAAGAUAGGUGCAUGAUUUGCAAGGAACAUACCGUAUGCUUAGAAAUCAAUUUGGACGCACCCAAUGGAACUACUAGAUGACGUGUGUCAUAUGGAAUCUUGCUUCGGUCCAUUUGUAGACAUUGUAAGUUUUAGUGCAAGAUAGGUGCAUAGUUUGCGCCUAAUGCACCAUAGUCUAAGAAACCAUUUUGGACACACUAUUUGGUACUCCUGGGUGAAGAGGCUCAAGUGGAAGCUUGGUUCGGUCAGUUUGGAGAUAGUGCUAAUCCUUAAGCAAGGUAGGUGCAUGGUUUGCAUGGAACAUAUCAUAUCCUUCGAAAUCAAUUUGGAUGCACCCAAUGGAACACCUUGAUGACGUGUGUCAUAUGGAAUCUCGCUUCGGUCCAUUUAGAGACAUUGUUAGUUUCGGUGCAAGAUAUGUGCACAGGUUGCACCUAAUGCACCAUAGUCUAAGAAACCAUUUUGGACGCACUUGUUGGUACUCCUAGGUGAAGGGGCUCAAGUGGAUGCUCGGUUCAGUCUGUUUGGAGAUAGUGCUAAUCUUGAUGCAAGAUAGGUGCACGGUUUGCAUGGAACAAAACAACUGCUUGGAAAUCAAUCUGGACGCACAUGAUGGAACUCCUAGAUGACGUGUGUCAUACGAAAUCUUGCUUCGGUCUAUUUGGAGAGAGUGUUAGUUUCGGUGCAAGAUAGGUGAAAGGUCUACACAUAAUGCAGCAUAGGCUAAGAAACCAUUUUGGACGCACCCGAUGGUACUCCUAGGUAAAAGGCUCAAGUGAAAGCUCGGUUUGGUCUAUUUGGAGAUAGUGCUAAUCUUGAUGCAAGAUAGAUGCACGGUCUGCAUGGAACGUACCAUAUGGUUAGAAAUUAAUUUGGACACACCUGAUAGAACUCCUUGAUGAUGUGUUUAUAUAGAAUCUCACUUUGGUGUGCUUAGAGACAAUAUUAGUUUUGGUGCAAGAUAUCUGCACAGUUUGCGCCUAAUGCACCAAAGUCUAAGAAACCAUUUUAGCACUUGUUGGUACUCCUAAGUGAAGAGGCUCAAGUGGAGGCUCGGUUCGGUCUGUUUAGAGAUAGUGCUAAUCUUGAUGCAAGAUAGGUGCACGAUUUACAUGGAACAUACCAUAUGCUCAGAAAUCAAUUUGGACGCACCAGAUCGAACUCCUAGAUGACAUGUGUCAUAUGGAAUCUCACUUCGGUCCGUUUAGAGACAGUGUUAGUUUCCAUGCAAGAUAAGUGCACAGUUUGCACCUAAUGCACCAUAGGAUAAGAAACCAUUUUGAAAGCACCCGAUGGUACUCCUAAGUCAAGGGGCUCAAGUGAAAGCUCGGUUUGGUCUGUUUGGAGAUAGUGCUAAUCUUGAUGCAAGAUAGAUGCACAGUUUGCAUAGAACAUACGAUAUGCUUAGAAAUCAAUUAGGACACACCUGAUAUAACUCCUUGAUGAUGUGUUAUAUGGAAUCUUGCUUCGGUUCAUUUAGAGACAGUGUUAGUUUUGGUAUAAUAUAUGUGCAUGGUUUACGCCUAAUGCACCAUAGGCUAAGAAACCAUUUUAGACGCACCCGAUGGUACACGUAGUUGAAGAGGCUCAGGUGGAGGCUCCAUUUGGUCUGUUCGGAUAUAGUGCUAAUCUUGAUUCAAGAUAGUUGCACAGUUUGCAUGGAACAUACCAUAUGUUAAGAAAUCAAUUUGGACGCACCCAAUGGAACUUCUAGAUGACGUGUGUCAUAUGGAAUCUCGCUUCGGUCUGUUUGGAGACAAUGUUAGCUUUGGUGCAAGAUAGGUGCAUAGUUUGUGCCUAAUGCACCAUAGUCUAAGAAACCAUUUUUGAUGCACCUGUUUGUACUCCUAGAUGAAGAGGCUCAAGUGGAAGCUAGCCGGUUUGAUCUGUUUGGAGAUAGUGAUAAUCUUGAUGCAAGAUAGGUGCAUGAUUUGCAAGGAACAUACCAUAUGCUUAGAAAUCAAUUUAGACGCACCCAAUAGAACUCCUAGAUGACGUGUGUCAUAUGGAAUCUUGCUUCGGUCCGUUUGUAGACAUUAUAAGUUUUAGUGCAAGAUAGGUGCACAGUUUGCGCCUAAUGCACCAUAGUCUAAGAAACAAUUUUGGACACACUAUUUGGUACUCCUAGGUGAAUAGGCUCAAGUGGAAGCUUGGUUCGGUCAGUUUGGAGAUAGUGCUAAUCCUUAAGCAAGGUAGGUGCAUGGUUUCCAUGGAACAUACCAUAUGCUUGGAAAUCAAUUUGGAUGCACCCAAUGAAACUCCUUGAUGACGUGUGUCAUAUGGAAUCUCGCUUCGGUCCAUUUGGAGAUAUUGUUAGUUUCGGUGCAAGAUAUGUGCACAGUUUGCACCUAAUGCACCAUAGUCUAUGAAACUGUUUUGGACGCACUUGUUGGUACUCCUAGGUGAAGGGGCUCAAGUGGAUGCUCGCUUCAGUCUGUUUGGAGAUAGUGCUAAUCUUGAUGCAAGAUAGGUGCACGGUUUGCAUGAAACAUACCAAAUGCUUGGAAAUCAAUCUGGACGCACAUGAUGGAACUCCUAGAUGACGUGUGUCAUACGAAAUCUUGCUUCGGUCUGAUUGGAGACAGUGUUAGUUUCGGUGCAAGAUAGGUGCAAGGUUUGCACAUAAUGCAGCAUAGGCUAAGAAACUAUUUUGGACGCAACCGAUGGUACUCCUAGGUAAAACGCUCAAGUCAAAGCUCGGUUUGGUCUAUUUGGAGAUUGUGCUAAUCUUGAUGCAAGAUAGAUGCACGGUCUGCAUGGAAUGUACCAUAUGCUUAGAAAUUAAUUUGGACACACCCGAUAGAACUCCUUAAUGAUGUGUAUCAUAUGGAAUCUCGCUUUGGUGUGCUUAGAGACAGUAUUAGUUUCGGUGCAAGAUAUCUGCACAGUUUGCGCCUAAUGCACCAAAGUCUAAGAAACCAUUUUUUAGCACCUGUUGGUACUCCUAGGUGAAGAGGCUCAAAUAGAGGCUCAGUUCGGUCUGUUUAGAGAUAGUGCUAAUCUUGAUGCAAGAUAGGUGCACGAUUUUCAUGGAAAGUACCAUAUGCUCAGAAAUCAAUUUGGACGCACCAGAUCGAACUCCUAGAUGACAUGUGUUAUAUGGAAUCUCACUUCGGUCCCUUUAGAGACUGUUAGUUUCCAUGCAAGAUAGGUGCACGGUUUGCACCUAAUGCACCAUAGGAUAAGAAACCAUUUUGGACGCACCCGAUGGUACUCCUAGGUCAAGGGGCUUAAGUGAAAGCUCGGUUUGGUCUGUUUGGAGAUAGUGCUAAUCUUGAUGCAAGAUAGAUGCACGGUUUGCAUGGAACAUACGAUAUGCUAUGAAAUCAAUUAGGACGCACCUAAUAUAACUCCAUGAUGAUGUGUCAUAUGGAAUUUUGCUUCGGUUCUUUUAGAGACAGUGUUAGUUUUGGUAGAAGAUAUGUGCAUGGUUUAUGCCUAAUGCACCAUAGGCUAAGAAACCAUAUGCUUAGAAAUCAAUUUGAUUGCACCACGUGGAACUCCUAGAUGACAUGUGUCAUAUGGAAUCUCACUUCUAUUUGUUUAGAGACAGUGUUAGUUUCGGUGCAAGAUAGGUGCAUGGUUUGCACCUAAUGCACCAUAGGAUAAGAAACCAUUUUGGACACACUCGAUGGUACUCCUAGGUCAAGGGGCUCAAGUGAAAGCUCGGUUUGGUCUAUUUGGAGACAGUGCUAAUCUUGAUGCAAGAUAGAUGCACGGUUUGCAUGGAACAUACGAUAUGCUCAGAAAUCAAUUAGGACGCACCUGAUAUAACUCCUUGAUGAUGUGUGUUAUAUAGAAUCUUGCUUCGGUUUGUUUAGAGACAAUGUUAGUUUUGGUAGAAGAUAUGUGCAUGGUUUAUGCCUAAUGCAGCAUUGGCCAAGAAACCAUUUUAGACGCACCCUAUGGUACUCAUAGUUGAAGAGGUUCAAGUACCAUAGUGCUAAUCUUGGUGCAAGAUAGAUGCACGGUUUGCAUGGAACAUAUGAUAUGCUCAGAAAUCAAUUAGGACGCACCUGAUAUAACUCCUUGAUGAUGUGUGUUAUAUGGAAUCUUGCUUCGGUUUCUUCUAGACAGUGUUAGUUUUGGUAGAAGAUAUGUGCACGGUUUAUGCCUAAUGCUCCAUAGGCUAAGAAACCAUUUUAGACGCACCUGAUGGUACUCAUAGUUGAAGAGGUUCAAGUACCAUAGUGCUAAUCUUGAAUUCUUGAUGCAAGAUAGUUGCACAGUUUGCAUGGAACGUACCAUACAUUAAGAAAUCAAUUUUGACGCACCCAGUGGAACUCCUAGAUGACAUGUGUCAUAUGGAAUCUCGCUUAAGUGUGUUUGGAGACAAUGUUAGUUUCGGUGCAAGAUAGGUGCAUAGUUUGCGCCUAAUGCACCAUAGUCUAAGAAACCAUUUUGGACACACUAUUUGGUACUCCUAGGUGAAGAGGCUCAAGUGGAAGCUCCGUUUGGCCUGUUUGGAGAUAGUGCUAAUCCUUAAGCAAGGUAGGUGCAUGGUUUGCAUGGAACAUACCAUAUGCUUCGAAAUCAAUUUGGAUGCACCCAAUGAAACUCCUUGAUGACGUGUGUCAUAUGGAAUCUCGCUUCGGUCCAUUUGGAGACAUUGUUAGUUUCGGUGCAAGAUAUGUGCAGAGUUUGCACCUAAUGCACCAUAGUCUAAGAAACCGUUUUGGACGCACUUGUUGGUACUCCUAGGUGAAGGGGCUCAAGUGGAUGCUUGGUUCAGUCUGUUUGGAGAUAGUGCUAAUCUUGAUGCAAGAUAGGUGCACGGUUUGCAUGGAACAUACCAAAUUCUUGGAAAUCAAUCUGGACGCACAUGAUGAUACUCCUAGAUGACGUGUGUCAUAGGAAAUCUUACAUCGGUCUGUUUGGAGACAUUGUUAGUUUUGGUGCAAGAUAGGUGCAAGGUUUGCACAUAAUGCAGCAUAGGCUAAGAAACCAUUUUGGACGCACCCGAUGGUACUCCUAGGUAAAAGGCUCAAGUGAAAGCUCGGUUUGGUCUAUUUGGAGAUAGUGCUAAUCUUGAUGCAAGAUAGAUGCACGCUCUGCAUGGAAUGUACCAUAUGCUUAGAAAUUAAUUUGGACACACUCAAUAGAACUCCUUUAUGAUGUGUGUCGUAUGGAAGCUUGCUUUGGUGUGCUUAGAGACAGUAUUAGUUUUGGUGCAAGAUAUCUGCACGGUUUGCGCCUAAUGCACCAAAGUUUAAGAAACCAUUUUUUAGCACCAGUUGGUAAUCCUAGGUGAGGAGGCUCAAGUGGAGGCUCGGUUCGGUCUGUUUAGAGAUAGUGCUAAUCUUGAUGCAAGAUAGGUGCACGAUUUCCAUUGAACAUACCAUAUGGGCAGAAAUCAAUUUGGACACACCAAAUCGAACUCCUAGAUUACAUGUGUUAUAUGGAAUCUCACUUCGGUCCCUUUAGAGACAGUGUUAGUUUCCAUGCAAGAUAGGUGCACGGUUUGCACCUAAUACACCAUAGGAUAAGAAACCAUUUUGGACGCACCCGAUGGUACUCCUAGGUCAAGGGGCUUAAGUGAAAGCUCGUUUUGGUCUGUUUGGAGAUAGUGCUAAUCUUGAUGCAAGAUAGAUGCACGGUUUGCAUGGAACAUACGAUAUGCUAAGAAAUCAAUUAGGACGCACCUAAUAUAACUCCAUGAUGAUGUGUCAUAUGGAAUCUUGCUUCGGUUCUUUUAGAGACAGUGUUAGUUUUGGUAGAAGAUAUGUGCAUGGUUUAUGCCUAAUGCACCAUAGGCUAAGAAACCAUAUGCUUAGAAAUCAAUUUGAUUGCACCACGUGGAACUCCUAGAUGACAUGUGUCAUAUGGAAUCUCACUUCUAUUUGUUUAGAGACAGUGUUAGUUUCGGUGCAAGAUAGGUGCACGGUUUGCACCUAAUGCACCAUAGGAUAAGAAACCAUUUUGGACACACCCGAUGGUACUCCUAGGUCAAGGGGCUCAAGUGAAAGCUCGGUUUGGUCUGUUUGGAGACAGUGCUAAUCUUGAUGCAAGAUAGAUGCACGGUUUGCAUGGAACAUACGAUAUGCUCAAAAAUCAAUUAGGACGCACCUGAUAUAACUCCUUGAUGAUGUGUGUUAUAUGGAAUCUUGCUUCGGUUUGUUUAGAGACAAUGUUAGUUUUGGUAGAAGAUAUGUGCACGGUUUAUGCCUAAUGCAGCAUUGGCCAAGAAACCAUUUUAGACGCACCCUAUGGUACUCAUAGUUGAAGAGGUUCAAGUACCAUAGUGCUAAUCUUGGUGCAAGAUAGUUGCACAGUUUGCAUGGAACGUACCAUAUAUUAAGAAAUCAAUUUUGAUGCACCCAAUGGAACUCCUAGAUGACAUGUGUCAUAUGGAAUCUCGCUUCGGUCUGUUUGGAGCCAAUGUUAGUUUUGGUGCAAGAUAGGUGCAUAGUUUGCGCCUAAUGCACCAUAGUCUAAGAAACCAUUUUGGACACACUAUUUGGUACUCCUAGGUGAAGAGGCUCAAGUGGAUGCUCGGUUCGGCCUGUUUGGAGAUAGUGCUAAUCCUUAAGCAAGAUAGUUGCACAGUUUGCAUGGAACGUACCAUAUAUUAAGAAAUCAAUUUUGACGCACCCAAUGGAACUCCUAGAUGACAUGUGUCAUAUGGAAUCUCACUUCAGCGUGUUUGGAGACAAUGUUAGUUUCGGUGCAAGAUAGGUGCAUAGUUUGCGCCUAAUGCACCAUAGUCUAAGAAACCGUUUUGGACACACUAUUUGGUACUCCUAGGUGAAGAGGCUCAAGUGGAAGCUCGGUUUGGCCUGUUUGGAGAUAGUGCUAAUCCUUAAGCAAGGUAGGUGCAUGGUUUGCAUGGAACAUAUCAUAUGCUUCGAAAUCAAUUUGGAUGCACCCAAUGAAACUCCUUGAUGACGUGUGUCAUAUGGAAUCACGCUUCGGUCCAUUUGGAGACAUUGUUAGUUUCGGUGCAAGAUAUGUGCACAGUUUGCACCUAAUGCACCAUAGUCUAAGAAACCGUUUUGGACGCACUUGUUGGUACUCCUAGGUGAAGGGGCUCAAGUGGAUGCUUGGUUCAGUCUGUUUGGAGAUAGUGCUAAUCUUGAUGCAAGAUAGGUGCACGGUUUGCAUGGAACAUACCAAAUGCUUGGAAAGCAAUCUGGACGCACAUGAUGAUACUCCUAGAUGACGUGUGUCAUACGAAAUCUUUCUUCGGUCUGUUUGGAGACAUUGUUAGUUUUGGUGCAAGAUAGGUGCAAGGUUUGCACAUAAUGCAGCAUAGGCUAAGAAACUAUUUUGGACGCACCCGAUGGUACUCCUAGGUAAAAGGCUCAAGUGAAAGCUCGGUUUGGUCUAUUUGGAGAUAGUGCUAAUCUUGAUGCAAGAUAGAUGCACGGUCUGCAUGGAAUGUACCAUAUGCUUAGAAAUUAAUUUGGACACACUUGAUAGAACUCCUUUAUGAUGUGUGUCAUAUGGAAGCUUGCUUUGGUGUGCUUAGAGACAGUAUUAGUUUUGGUGCAAGAUAUCUGCACGGUUUGCGCCUAAUGCACCAAAGUCUAAGAAACCAUUUUUUAGCACCAGUUGGUAAUCCUAGGUGAGGAGGCUCAAGUGGAGGCUCGGUUCGGUCUGUUUAGAGAUAGUGCUAAUCUUGAUGCAAGAUAGGUGCACGAUUUCCAUUGAACAUACCAUAUGGGCAGAAAUCAAUUUGGACGCACCAGAUCGAACUCCUAGAUUACAUGUGUUAUAUGGAAUCUCACUUCGGUCCCUUUAGAGACAGUGUUAGUUUCCAUGCAAGAUAGGUGCACGGUUUGCACCUAAUACACCAUAGGAUAAGAAACCAUUUUGGACGCACCCGAUGGUACUCCUAGGUCAAGGGGCUUAAGUGAAAGCUCGGUUUGGUCUGUUUGGAGAUAGUGCUAAUCUUGAUGCAAGAUAGAUGCACGGUUUGCAUGGAACAUACGAUAUGCUAAGAAAUCAAUUAGGACGCACCUAAUAUAACUCCAUGAUGAUGUGUCAUAUGGAAUCUUGCUUCGGUUCUUUUAGAGACAGUGUUAGUUUUGGUAGAAGAUAUGUGCAUGGUUUAUGCCUAAUGCACCAUAGGCUAAGAAACCAUAUGCUUAGAAAUCAAUUUGAUUGCACCACGUGGAACUCCUAGAUGACAUGUGUCAUAUGGAAUCUCACUUCUAUUUGUUUAGAGACAGUGUUAGUUUCGGUGCAAGAUAGGUGCACGGUUUGCACCUAAUGCACCAUAGGAUAAGAAACCAUUUUGGACACACCCGAUGGUACUCCUAGGUCAAGGGGCUCAAGUGAAAGCUCGGUUUGGUCUGUUUGGAGACAGUACUAAUCUUGAUGCAAGAUAGAUGCACGGUUUGCAUGGAACAUACGAUAUGCUCAAAAAUCAAUUAGGACGCACCUGAUAUAACUCCUUGAUGAUGUGUGUUAUAUGGAAUCUUGCUUCGGUUUGUUUAGAGACAAUGUUAGUUUUGGUAGAAGAUAUGUGCACGGUUUAUGCCUAAUGCAGCAUUGGCCAAGAAACCAUUUUAGACGCACCCGAUGGUACUCAUAGUUGAAGAGGUUCAAGUACCAUAGUGCUAAUCUUGGUGCAAGAUAGUUGCACAGUUUGCAUGGAACGUACCAUAUAUUGAGAAAUCAAUUUUGACGCACCCAAUGGAACUCCUAGAUGACAUGUGUCAUAUGGAAUCUCGCUUCGGUCUGUUUGAAGACAAUGUUAGUUUUGGUGCAAGAUAGGUGCAUAGUUUGCGCCCAAUGCACCAUAGUCUAAGAAACCAUUUUGGACACACUAUUUGGUACUCCUAGGUGAAGAGGCUCAAGUGGAAGCUCGGUUCGGCCUGUUUGGAGAUAGUGCUAAUCCUUAAGCAAGGUAGGUGCAUGGUUUGCAUGGAACAUACCAUAUGGUUCAAAAUCAAUUUGGAUGCACCCAAUGAAACUCCUUGAUGACGUGUGUCAUAUGGAAUCUCACUUCGGUCCAUUUGGAGACAUUGUUAGUUUCGGUGCAAGAUAUGUGCACAGCUUGCACCUAAUGCACCGUAGUCUAAGAACCGUUUUGGACGCACUUGUUGGUACUCCUAGGUGAAGGGGCUCAAGUGGAUGCUCGGUUUAGUCUGUUUGGAGAUAGUGCUAAUCUUGAUGCAAGAUAGGUGCACGGUUUGCAUAGAACAUACCAAAUGCUUAGAAAUCAAUCUGGACACACAUGAUGGAACUCCUAGAUGACAUGUGUCAUACGAAAUCUUGCUUUGGUCUGAAUGGAGACAGUGUUAGUUUUGGUGCAAGAUAGGUGCAAGGUUUGCACAUAAUGCAGCAUAGGCUAAGAAACCAUUUUGGACGCACCCGAUGGUACUCCUAGGUAAAAGGCUCAAGUGAAAGCUCGGUUUGGUCUAUUUGGAGAUAGUACUAAUCUUGAUGCAAGAUAGAUGCACGGUCUGCAUGGAAUGGACCAUGUGCUUAGAAAUUAAUUUGGACACACCCGAUAGAACUCCUUGAUGAUGUGUAUCAUAUGGAAUCUCGCUUUGGUGUGCUUAGAGACAGUAUUAGUUUCGGUGCAACAUAUCUGCACAGUUUGCGCCUAAUGCACCAAAGUCUAAGAAACCAUUUUUUAGCACCAGUUGGUAAUCCUAGGUGAGGAGGCUCAAAUGGAGGCUCGGUUCGGUCUGUUUAGAGAUAGUGAUAAUCUUGAUGCAAGAUAGGUGCACGAUUUUCAUUGAACAUACCAUAUGCUCAGAAAUCAAUUUGGACGCACCAGAUCGAACUCCCAGAUGACAUGUGUUAUAUGGAAUCUCACUUCGGUCCCUUUAGAGACUGUUAGUUUCCAUGCAAGAUAGGUGCACGGUUUGCACCUAAUGCACCAUAGGAUAAGAAACCAUUUUGGACGCACCCGAUGGUACUCCUAGGUCAAGGGGCUCAAGUGAAAGCUUAGUUUGGUCUGUUUGGAAAUAGUUCUAAUCUUGAUGCUGGAUAGAUGCACGGUUUGCAUGGAACAUACGAUAUGCUCAGAAAUCAAUUAGGACGCACCUGAUAUAACUCCUUGUUGAUGUGUCAUAUGUAAUCUUGCUUUGGUUCAUUUAGAGACAGUGUUAGUUUUGGUAGAAGAUAUGUGCAUAGUUUACGCCUAAUGCACCAUAGGCUAACAAACCAUUUUAGACGCACCUAUUUGUACUCCUAGAUGAAGAGGCUCAUGUGGAAGCUCGGUUCGGUCUGUUUGGAGAUAGUGCUAAUCUUGUUGCAAGAUAGGUGCACGGUUUGCAUGGAACAUACCAUAUGCUUAGAAAUCAAUUUGGAUGCACCCGAUGGAACUCCUUGAUGACGUGUGUCAUAUGGAAGCUCGCUUCGGUCUAUUUGGAGACAAUGUCAGUUUCAGUGCAAGAUAUGUGCAUGGUUUGAGCCUAAUGCACUAUAGUCUAAGAAACCAUUUUGGAAGCACCUGUUGCUACUUUGGUGAAGAGGAUCAAGUGGAAGCUCGGUUUGAUCUGUUUGGAGAUAGUGCUAAUCUUGAUGCAAGAUAGGUGCAAGGUUUGCACAUAAUGCAGCAUAGGCUAAGAAACCAUUUUAGACGCACCCGAUGGUACUCCUAGGUAUAAGGCUCAAGUGAAAGCUUGGUUUGGUCUAUUUGGAGAUAGUGCUAAUCUUGAUGCAAGAUAGAUGCACGGUCUGCAUGGAAUGUACCAUAUGCUUAGAAAUUAAUUUGGACACACCCGAUAGAACUCCUUGAUGAUGCGUGUCAUAUGGAAUCUCGCUUUGGUGAGCUUAGAGACAGUAUUAGUUUCGGUGCAAGAUAUCUGCUCGGUUUGCGCCUAAUGCACCAAAGUCUAAGAAACCAUUUUUAGCACCUGUUGGUACUUCUAGGUGAAGAGGCUCAAGUGGUGGCUCGAUUCGGUCUGUUUAGAGAUAGUGCUAAUCUUGAUGCAAGAUAGGUGCACGAUUUUCAUGGAACAUACCAAAUGCUUAGAAAUCAAUUUGGACGCACUAGAUCUAACUCCUAGAUGACAUGUGUCAUACGGAAUCUCACUUCGGUCCGUUUAGAGACAGUGUUAGUUUCCAUGCAAGAUAGGUGCACGGUUUGCACCUAAUACACCAUAGGAUAAUAAACCAUUUUGGACGCACCCGAUCGUACUCCUAGGUCAAGGGGCUCAAGUGAAAGCUCGGUUUGGUCUGUUUGGAGAUAGUGCUAAUCUUGAUGCAAGAUAGAUGCACGGUUUGCACGAUAUGCUCAGAAAUCAAUUAGGACGCACCUGAUAUAACUCCUUGAUGAUGUGUCAUAUGGAAUCUUGCUUCGGUUCAUUUAGAGAUAGUGUUAGGUUUGGUAGAAGAUAUGUGCAUGGUUUACGCCUAAUGCACCAUAGGCAAAGAAACCAUUUUAGACGCACCCGAUGGUACUCAUAGUUGAGAGGCUCAAGUGGAGGCUCCAUUUGGUCUGUGCGGAUAUAGUGCUAAUCCUGAUGCAAGAUAGUUGCACAGUUUGCAUGGAACGUACCAUAUGUUAAGAAAUCAAUUUGGACGCACCCAAUGGAACUUCUAGAUGACGUGUGUCAUAUAGAAUCUCGCUUCGAUCUGUUUGGAGACAAUGUUAGUUUUGGUGCAAGAUAGGUGCGUAGUUUGUGCCUAAUGCACCAUAGUCUAAGAAACCAUUUUUGACGCACCUGUUUGUAGUCCUAGAUGAAGAGGCUCAAGUCGAAGCUCGGUUCGAUCUGUUUGGAGAUAGUGCUAAUCUUGAUGCAAGAUAGGUGCAUGAUUUGCAAGGAACAUACCAUAUGCUUAGGAAUCAAUUUAGACGGACCCAAUGGAACUCCUAGAUGACGUGUGUCGUAUGGAAUCUUGAUUCGGUCCAUUUGUAGACAUUGUAAGUUUUAGUGCAAGAUAGCUGCACAGUUUGCGCCUAAUGCACCGUAGUAUAUGAAACGAUUUUGGACACACUAUUUGGUACUCCUAGGUGAUGAUGCUCUAGUGGAAGCUUGGUUCGAUCAGUUUGGAGAUAGUGCUAAUCCUUAAGCAAGGUAGGUGCAUGGUUUGCAUGGAACAUACCAUAUGCUUGGAAAUCCAAUUGGAUGCAUCCAAUGGAACUCCUUGAUGACGUGUGUCAUAUGGAAUCUCGCUUCGGUCCAUUUGAAGACAUUGUUAGUUUUGGCGCAAGAUAGGUGCACAGUUUGCACCUAAUGCACCAAAGUCUAAGAAACUGUUUUGGACGCACUUGUUGGUACUCCUAAGUGAAGGGGCUCAAGUGGAUGCUCGGUUCAGUCUGUUUGGAGAUAGUGCUAAUCUUGUUGCAAGAUAGGUGCACAGUUUGCAUGGAACAUACCAAAUGCUUGAAAAUCAAUCUGAACGCACACGAUGGAACUCCUAGAUAACGUGUGUCAUACGAAAUCUUGUUUCGGUCUAUUUGGAGACUGUUAGUUUUUGUGCAAGAUAGGUGCAAGGUUUGCACAUAAUGCAGCAUAGGCUAAGAAACCAUUUUGGACGCACCCGAUGGUAGUCCUAGGUAAAAGGCUCAAGUGAAAGCUCGGUUUGGUCUAUUUGGAGAUAGUGCUAAGCUUGAUGCGAGAUAGAUGCACGGUCUGCAUGGAACGUACCAUAUAUUUAGAAAUUAAUUUGGACACACUCGAUAGAACUCCUUGAUGACGUGUGUCAUAUGGAAUCUCACUUUGGUGUGCUUAGAGACAGUAUUAGUUUCGGUGCAAUAUAUGUGCACGGUUUGCACCUAAUGCACCAAAGUCUAAGAAACUAUUUUGGAAGCACCUGUUGGUACUCCUAGGUGAAGAGGCUCAAGUGGAGGCUCGGUUCGGUCUGUUUGGAGAUAGUGCUAAUCUUGAUUCAAGAUAGGUGCACGAUUUGCAUGGAACAUACCACAUGCUCAGAAAUCAAUUUGGACGCACUAGAUGGAACUCCUAGAUGACAGGUAUCAUAUGGAAUCUCACUUCGGUCUGUUUAGAGACAGUGUUUGUUUCGGUGCAAGAUAGGAGCACGGUUUGCACCUAAUGCACCAUAGGAUAAGAAACCAUUUUGGACGCACCUGAUGGUACUCCUAGGUCAAGGGGCUCAAGUGAAAGCUCGGUUUGGUCUGUUUGGAGAUAGUGCUAAUCUUGAUGCAAGAUAGAUGUACGGUUUGCAUGGAACAUACGAUAUGCUCAGAAAUCAAUUAGGACGCACCUAGUAUAACUCCUUCAUGAUGUGUGUCAUAUGGAAUCAUGCUUUGGUUCGUUUAUAGAUAGUGUUAGUUUUGGUAGAAGAUAUGUGCACGGUUUACGCCUAAUGCACCAUAGGCUAAGAAACCAUUUUAGACACACCCGAUGGUACUCGUAGUUGAAGAGGCUCAACUGGAGGCUCGAUUUGGUCUGUUUGGAUAUAGUGCAAAUCUUGAAGCAAGAUAGUUGCACAGUUUGCAUGGAACGUACCAAUUGUUAAGAAAUCAAUUUGGACGGACCCAUUAGAACUCCUAGAUGAUGUGUGUCAUAUAGAAUCUUGCUUCGGUCUGUUUGGAGACAAUGUUAGUUUCGGUGCAAGAUAGAUGCAUAGUUUGUGCCUAAUGCACCAUAGUCUAAGAAACCAUUUUUGACACACAUGUUUGUACUCCUAGAUGAAGAGGCUCAAGUGGAAGCUCGGUUCGGUCUAUUCGAGAUAGUGCUAAUCUUGAUGCAAGAUAGGUGCAUAGUUUGUAUGGAACAUACCAUAUGCUUGGAAAUCAAUUUGGAUGCACCCGAUGGAACUCCUUGAUGACUUGUGUCAUAUGGAAUCUCGCUUUGGUCUAUUUAGAAAUUGUGUUAGUUUCGGUGCAAGAUAUGUGCAUGGUUGGCGCCUAAUACACCAUAGUAUAAGAAAGCAUUUUGGUAGCACUUGUUGGUACUUCCGUGAAGAGGCUCAAGUGGAAGCUUGUUUGAUCUGUUUGGACAUAGUGCUAAUCUUGAUCCAUGAUAGGUGCAUGAUUUGCAAGGAAUAUACCAUAUGCUUAGAAAUCAAUUUGGACGCACCCAAUGGAAUUCCUAGAUGACGUGUGUCAUAUGGAAUCUUGCUUCGGUCCGUUUGUAGACAUUGAAGUUUUAUUGCAAGAUAGGUGCACAGUUUACGCAUAAUGCACCAUAGUCUAAGAAACCAGUUUAGACGCACUAUUUGGUACUCCUGGGUGAAGAGGCUCAAGUGGAAGCUUGGUUCGGUCAGUUUGGAGAUGGUGCUAAUCCUUAUGCAACGUAGGUGCAUGGUUUGUAUGGAACGUACCAUAUGCUUGAAAAUUAAUUUGGAUGCACCCGAUGGAACUCCUUGAUGACGUGUGUCAUAUGGAAUCUUGCUUCGGUCCAUUUGGAGACAUUGUUAGUUUCGGUGUAAGAUAGGUGCACAAUUUGCACCUAAUGCACCUGAUGGUGGGGAAACGGGCGGCUAUGACCCGACUCCGUGUCAACAGAGACAAAUAUAAAUUUAAAUGGGACAAUAUGAAAAGAACAGGUAUUGCGAGUCCAUACUUCCAUAAUUCUUAUAUUUAUAUAAAAAUUAUGUUAAUUACAUCUCUGAAGAGAACACCCCUGAUUAAGAGUUCCAACAUGAGUACAUAAAACAUAAGAUUACAUCAUAUGGCUUGCUAUUACAAACUACAAAAGAAAAUAAAAUCUUCAGUCUUGUAGUCGCGGAUGGAUGCAUACAUAGGCCUCGCAUAAACUUGAAUUUGAUAUUCGUCAUUUCUUUUGAGCAUGACAUUUCAUUUCUUGAGCAGGUAAUAUAUAUUUGUAUGAUUGGUCGCUAGCAUGUUUAGCUUUUUAGGAACUCAUAAUGACGACAUGAAUGUGUUUAAUCCAUGCAAACUUUUUGAGAAUAUCACAUUAUUUAUUUAGGCCUUGAUGUGGUUAAAUUUUAAUAACUCAAUAUAUAGCCUUUGUUUAAUUAUUUGGACAUGUAUGCAUUUCGCUGCAUGGAUUUUGACAUAUAUGCAUGCCCAUGGAGGAACAUUAAUUUAUUUAUAUAAUAAACAUUUAUUUGGUGCAUUUUAUCAUGUAUGCGUGCACGUAAUUUACUUGGAGACAUGCAAGAUUAUGGAUUGACAUGCUUUGGCAUAUAUGAUGCAAUAUUUUAUUUGGGGCUGAGCUAGGACCUCUAUUUUGCCAUGGUCUAGAAAGAUAUGUUGGAUCACCAGACCUGGUCGUGAUGCAUGUAGUGAACUUAUUUUAUGAAAGUUAACAUGCAUGCUCCUAGCAUGGUAUUUGGCCACAGAUUAGCACGUAUUAUGCAAUUUAAUUUAAUUUAAUUUGAUGUGGUUUGUUUACAACUCAGCUAGGCCUGGUGAUUUAUGAAUGGGAUAUAGCUGAGGUGCAAUAUUUAUUUAUACAUGAUGCACGGAAUUUGGAGGAACUAUGCUCGGUAUGAUGAACAUGACAAGGCCAGUUUAAUUUGAGCCAUUCCAUCUUAUUCUUAUAUAAUUUAUGAGAUAUGAAUGCACCCAUGUUGAUUUUGAUGCAAAGACUAAAUUGACUGCGUCUAUAUGGUAUAAGCGGUUUGAUCAUCACCGUUCAUGCAAGAUGCAGUAGCAUAUAAGAUUUAUGAACAUGAGCUUUUAUUACGUGCCCAAACAGAGGAUUUUGAUAAUUUUGGCCAUGAUACGGGCGUACAGUAUAAGAUGGAUGAUUUUUAUCAUUAUUUAUCUUUGCUGACGUGAGCCAGACAGGUGCAUGAUGUAUGCAUAAAUAUUCUAAUUUUGGAUAUGCAUGGUCUUUGGCAGUUCGGGUGUAUGAAAGGCUAAUUUGAUUUGUCUCAUGGCAAUGCAAACUUUAAUGUUUCUUGCAACUACCAAUGAAAUGCACGGCACUGAAUAUAGCAUACAGAUGUUAGUGCUCGCUAAAUCAAAUUUGCAUCAAAGGCGCUAACUGCCACGACCAAGGAAAAAUAUGCAUAGACUGAAUAUGUAGCACAUGGAUUUCUUUAUAUAUAUAUAGCAUAAGCAAUGAUAACAUUUAGCAUGAAAUUUGGGUCUCUCUCGUACAUCUCACGGCAAGUGUUCUGGUUGAUUUAAACACAUGCGUGGAGUGCAGCGAGGAGUAUUUCUCCUACAACUAAAAAGAGUAAAAGAUGGACACCAGUUUCGUGCGACGUUCGUCCAUCGGGUCUUUCGUCCUGCCUCCUGCGAUGAGGAAACCCGCCCGGCUCUCUCUUCCGCAGCAAAAAAAAAGGAAAGCACCCGCUAUCUCCUCCACGAAUCCUCCUCGGCGCCGCCUCGACGAAUCCUCCUCCACGCAGAGCGCCCACCUCCUCCUCGACGAAUCCUCCUCGGCGCCCCCUCGACGAAUCCUCCUCCACGCAGAGCGCCCGCCUCCUCCUCGACGAAUCGGCGACCGCCUCCUCGGCGCCCCGCUCCCAGAUUUCGGUGCCCGCGCGAACUCCGGUGCGCAUAUUUCGGUGGCCGCGUCCCGCUGUCCGCGCAGCGACCCGCCGUUGGGAAUCUCGGCGAUCUCCGGUGGCCGAACAACCGGUCCGGACCCGUGCGGACUCUGGUGGCCACGCUGCCCGUGCACCGUGCACGCCGGUGGCUGCGCCCCUCNNNNNNNNNNNNNNNNNNNNNNNNNNNNNNNNNNNNNNNNNNNNNNNNNNNNNNNNNNNNNNNNNNNNNNNNNNNNNNNNNNNNNNNNNNNNNNNNNNNNNNNNNNNNNNNNNNNNAUUUUGCACAACUCUUCUCUUUCGUUCUUGCUGUGCGAGAUUGGCACCCAAACCCUGUCUAUCUGUAUCCCGAUCUGAUCUGAUCUAGGUACAAGUGUUGAUACAUGUACUAUGCCUACAAUCUUUUUCUGUUUUGUUUUUGCGAAAAAAAUUGGUUUACAUGUGGACGAGCAUGUUCUUUACUCGGUUCGACCCUGCCUCAAAGUUUACCCAAGAAAAAGAUUGGGUUUACAAGUACUCCUGUUGUUUUUGUUCAGAGUUGCAUCCACCUGUACCGAACCAAAUGUCCAAAUGCCAAGAAACGAUUAUAUAUUAGUUCUUGGAUCAGCUAUAAUGUUCCGUAGAAGCUAAUAGAUCUUUGGUUAGUUGCUUUUAUACUCUGCCUAAUUCUUUAGUACUCAAUGCGAGAAUGAUUCCAGUAUAAACUGUUGGCAGCAUGGCUUCCUAAUUUCUUGCAAUAGUGUCUGUGAAUUGUAAUUAGUUGCUUCAUUUUAUUUCUUGAGAGCCAAAACCAUGUAGGUUUGAACAUAUGGUUCAUAGUUCUGAAUAAAAUAUUUUGUGACAUGCUUGUUUGCUUAAUAUUGCAUUUCUUACAUUCUUGCUAUUGUCGGUAUUGUACCUUUAUGAAUAUAUGAUAACCGAAGAUCAUUAUACUGCAUACCCUAUAUUCUUCAGCUUUUUUGCUAUAUGCAACGCCUGAUCGAAGCGAGCAACUUUUCUUCGUGCUUUCUGCAUCAAUUUGACAUCAGUUGAAUUUUAUAUAGGAGGAUGUGAUUCUUUAAAGAAGAAAAACUCAGGAGGAUGUGAGCUCUGGUUUUAGUUUAAAUCUGAAUCUCCUUGUGAUAACUUGUCUGCGAUGCCAUGUCUAUACCUGCAUAUCGUUCCCAAUUUCUUGUUGACAUCUUUUUUUUCCAAUUCCAUGUGUCUGUCCAACUUGAGUUACUUAACAGCUCGAUGUGCUUGUCAAGACCGUAAAACUUUGUCUACUGUGAAACUAUGUUUCUUGGACUUUUUGCAAUUUACCAGGUUCAGUUAAUGGCAAGUGCAAUAGUUGAUUUGGCAAGUGCAAUAGUUGUCGUGCCUCUGUGGCACACUGACAUUACAGAUUCUCAUAUGUUAACAUCUAAAAUAUGUGAGAAAUGUUUUAUGCCUCUUAAGCAUUGAGAGAGAACACUACAUUAAUGUUCUAAAGCAAUGGCAGGUUUGCUGGACUGACAUUAUCCGCUAGAUGUGGGCACUCUUUAAAGAAAUUUGGGCAUCAUGGAGAAAUAUUGUUUUUACAGUGAGUAUUAUCUAUAAUUGUUUUUGUUUGUAUGCUUUAGAGAACAGGUCAGUGCUUUGUGUAGUCCUAUUCCCAAUAUGCUUUAGUAGUCCAAUUGAAUUAGUCUAAUAAAUUUCUAACAUAGGUCUGUCACAUAAAUAGCAUAGAGAACAGGUCAUUGCUUUGUGUAGCUCUGAAGCCCUUCUAUUUUCUACAUAGAAAAAACAUACUAAGUUGAAGUGAGCAAAGAUUUUCUUAAAGAUGCAUGGAUGUGCAGCUGAAUUUUUGCCCCUGUGUCAUUAAGCAAUAACCAUGUGGAAUAGCACACCACUGAAGUUGGAAGUUAAAUUGCAGUUUCCUUUGCUGCAUUCCAAUUAGAACUAGGAAUAGUACUUUGCCAUUCCACCUAAGGAGAUCCAUGCCUCACCAUUCCAUCAUGUAUCAUGAAUCCUGUUACUUAUCUAGCUAUAUGAAGUUUUGCUUCAGAAAUAGUUUGCAAUUCCAAACCCUGACUGCACACCACCCUGCUCUCUUCCUUGCAGCAGAUGUGAGGUGAGAAAUUUCUCUCAUCACCAUGCAGCUACACUUGGUUUGCCUUUUUUUUUCUAUUUUUCACAUGCUAAUUUGUUCCUGCACUAAAUGAAUCUCAUAAAAAAGAUGAAGUUGUAUAAAAGAUGACAAUUAUUAUUUAUUUUCUUUUGUUCAUGACACCACACACCAGACUUGGUGAUUAAUGUUUUCUCCUUCAAAACUUAUUUACUUGUCAAAUAUCAUCUACGUUUUAUAAUAAAUUGUCAAAUAUUUCUUGUGCUUUGAUGACAUUUUGUGCCUUGAAUCAGGCCCAAGAAAAGGACCUUUUCGAUGCACUUGCUAAGCUUUCUGAAGUAUCAUAUGAUGGUACGUUAUUUUGUAGAAUCUUUUAAUUUAUGUUAAAUAAAGUAAACUCUAGAUUCCCAGAAAUGAAAGAUAUUAUAAUCAUGUCUUGAAGCAAUGCCAUAAAUGCAUAAACAUGCCUAACAAAAUCUACACUCUGAAGAUUUUAGUUAUCCUUUUCUUUAAAAAAAAGCAAUAAUUUUUCUUUAAACGAAAGAAAGAAUGAAAGGCAGCAGUGAGUUUACUAAUUAGACUAAUGAGUGAUUGGAACUGUCCCCUGGGAUUAGCAAGAAAGAAAAAGCUUGCAUAAUUUAAGGUUUCGUGAGUACUUUGAAGAUGAGUGGAUUGUGGACAUGACAGAUUUUGGCACUUUGUUAACUGCAUUUUUUUUACUAUUUCAUAUAUUGUUUUUGACCAUAUACACACACACACACUAGAUAUGGAGAUUGUUGUCUUUUGCCAUUUUCAUCACCAUUUAACCCAUUCUCACCUACACCUACCUAAAGUUGAUUACUUGACCCGUUUUACCCUUGUGCGUUGCAGUUGUUUAUUUCGGUGCUGACCAUAACCAUCGGUCGGUCAACCUCAAUGAGCACGACAAUGGCAAGGGCGAUGAGGCAGUGCUGUUAAAGCUUGUGAGUUCAAGUGACGAGAUGUCAUCUGAGAUUAACAAGGUAAAGAUCCAGGGCGUUGCUUCCGUCCCCCUCAGCUGUGACCCUCACCGGUGGCACUGCCAGCUUAUCUCCGCUCCUCCUAGCGCCGCCACUGCUCGUGGCUGCGUCUUCCGCCUCUGGCCCACUGAUGGCCGUGGGGUUGACCUUCGUGCCCUCGGCUCUGUGCAAGAAGCGGUCCUUAAUUGACCAAGCUCACGGCGGAGAGGAGAGGAUGCUGGAGUUCGCUCGACACUUUAGGUGGCGCAUCCACAAGGCCAGUGCGGAAGCUAUUGACGCCUUUUGCGCCCAUAUUGGUGUCCCCGGAACCGGAUGAGCAAAAACAUGCACCUCGCCUCCACGCUGAUCGUGCCCGUGCGUGGGAGGUUCCAACGCCUAAAGCUCACGGCGGACCAAGCCUAAAGUUCAGAGUACAAAAAUUUGGGAACAGGAGGUUCCAACGCCUCAACAAGCUAUUUGAUUGUUGUACUGUCCAAUCAUUUUUUAAUAUCUAACAUUAUCUUUAUUAGUUGUUUUUUGAAUCUCUAAUGGUGUGUGAUCUACUGCGUUCAAAUAAUUUGCCCUCAAAUCCAAUUGAUAGCCUAAUCCAACCGCUCUGCGGGAUGGUAUGGAGAUAUGGUGAAACUUAUUCAUGGAUUUACUGACGCAUGAAAAAAUAAAUAUUGGAGAUUUCAUAUUACUAAUGUAAAAUAUUAUCUUAGCUGCAUCAUAAAAAAGUCUAUAUACCUGCGACACCAUGUUCUACGUGACUGUGUUAACUUCAUAAAGUUUACUUUUUGAUUAAAUAACACUUUAACAUUGAUAUUUAAUUUUUACACUAUUAUUAUCUUAUCAUGAGAUCUGUGUGUUUUAAGUAUAAAAUAUUAGCUAUCCCGUAGCAACGCACGGGCACGCUACCUAGUGAUAUUUAAGUUUGGGAACUGACUUGUGAUCACCGAGUUGGAAAACAAACACAUGUAACUGUAAACAAUACCAUUAACACAUCCAAUCAAACAAAGGCUGCUGCAAUCCAAUUACAUUACCUGAGGAUGAACCAAACGCUAUCAUAGUUCAAUUACGAACCUAACACUAUCAUAGUUCAAUUAGAUGCAGCAUUCGCAGUUUCUUCUUGCAACAGGUUCGGCAACAGAGGGGGCACGUAUGGCUCAAAGAGUGUCAUGCUGGGGUUCGGAUCAAACUGUAAUAUAUUAGCUGCUCGCUCGAAUUCCUCCCUGAGUAUUUUGAUGCUGAACUUGUCAACUACGCGGCCGAGAUCAUGGGAGAUCUCAAAUGGAUCUUCAAUGCAUAUGAGAUGCCUGUCAUUUCCAACUCGUCUAGUCCAGUCCUUCCGUUCCUUACUGAAAUUUGUGUCAAGAGGACAAGGGAAAGUUAUAUCUUUUAACAAAUUGGUGUCCACAACACAAUAAAGAAAAUUGGAAACUGCUUUGGUUGUAUCAUCAAUUGUUUAUAAUUUACUAGGUGGGACUAAUAACAAUGGAUAAUAUACCUACAGUGAAACAGCUACAAACAUAUUAUACACGCACCAUCUAACCAUCAUCACAUAAAGAGAGCCUAAUGAAAAGAAAUGAUGCCUCAGCAAGGUAUAUGUCAUACCUGAUAAUCCUUCCAGUACGAAUUGAUAUGACAUCUCUUGUGUAAUCGUGCUCAUAUGCCCAAUAAUGGAAAAAAGCCCAGAGCAGCCUUGAUAUUGUAUCUCUGUUGUGAGCACCAUAAUUAUUUAGCUUCUCCACUUGGUCAAAGUAUGCACAGUUAUUUUCAUCCACCUUGACAUAAUAAGUGGCCUCCAUUUCCUGGCAAUGCAUGACACUGUCAGUUAGUUCACAAAGUAAAAAGUAGUACAAAGGACAGAGAUGACCAACGAAAAAUAUUUACAAAGGUGAAUUUUUCAAAUGAAAGCAUAUGUUAUCAAGAUGUAAUAAUAAAAUCAAUAAGCAUGCAUAUUCUUCUACAAUAUUGCAGCUUCCAUUCACCUUUCUAAAUUGAAACAAAAAACCAUCUGCCCUGUCACCUACCUAUCUGGUUUUUUGUUUCAAUUUAGAAGGUGUCAACAAAUAUGAAACCAUUUAAUUUGCAUCCCAACUCUGGUGACAUGGGGAAAGAAACCAUACACCAUUAUUUUUUUCCCUUUUUGAUGCAAGAAGAAAACACAGGGCUAGAUGCUGGAUAAAAAGUGCAUAUUGCAACUUGAAAGUUGAAACCAAAAGCACGAUCCUUGGUAGCUACUAAACAAAUCAUUAGCCAUGCAAUAAACUAAAAUUAUCUAACAUCACCAAUGCUCUCGACACAUUCAUAAGGAAAAAAGAAAUGGUGUGCUAAACUCAACCAAUGACAAGCCUCAGAUCCAUGCAAGCACUAAAUUAAGCAGGAAUCCCACAGCAUGCCAGCAUUUGCUUCGGUUCCUUCCAUCACGCAUGUCUACCAUGCACCAGCUCAUCUAAAUUUGUUCCUCAUUUGACUACAACCCAUCAUUGCUGGUUAGGAAUUUGGGCCAUCUAGAUAGGCAGCAGAACUGGGCAAGUGAGGGGCAUCAAAAUGGAGCUCACACUGUUUCUAAAACAUGCCGACCAAAACCAUCAGCACUAAGCCUGGAUGGCACAUCAUCAAAAAAACCAUAGCAGAACAGUUAGGGGGCGUUUUGGAAGGUCUUAAGAGUUAGGGAAUACAAACUAAAUAGUUCCAUCUCUUAUAGUUGCUAUAGAUGUGCUCAUAGUUGAGAGAACAAAAGUGGAAUUAUUCUAAACUGCGUACUACAAAUAAUAUGAAUAACAUAAGAUAUUUAAAAAAACAAAUUUUAUUGGAAAAGCAAUCAAUGCAGAACAAUAGUAAUACAGCAACAAAAAUUUAGUGCAUCCAACAAAAAAAAGUUAUUUUGCUGGAUCAUUUUUUAGCACUUUAUGAAGGAUGGGAAGAUGAUGAUCUAGUCAAAUUUAGUUAGGGUGAGAAGCUUAAGAUCUAUUAAAUUUUAGUUAUGCCAUGCAGGGGAAAGACUGCCCUCACGGAUUGCACUAAGAAGCAGCUUCUAUCUAGCGCAUAGACCGAGAAACAACCCGAAGGCCAGCUGCCCUGAAUGUGCCACUGAGUGCCCUGUAUCUUGCUGAAAGUAUCUCAGGUGGUUACAUGUAUAACUCAGGACUACAGCCGACAAGGGUUGCUUUUUAACCCAUGUUUAAAUGUGCCCCCAGUAGUCAACUCAGGACCUAUGGUGUUACUUGAGCCAUGCUGACCAGUUUAGAUAGCAGACCCGUUCACAACAUAUGCAAAACAAUAGCAAAAGGUGUUACUUGAGCAAUGCUAACCAGUUAGACAGCAGGCCCAUUCACAACAUAUACAAAACAAUAGCAAAAAUGUAUAAUAAAUACAAAACCUCCACACAUAUUUGUUUCAGAUCUAGCCUACCCAACUUGUUUGGGACUAAAUUUUGUUGUCAUUAUCUGUGUAACAAUAAUACACAGUUAGAACCUAAAUACCAAGAAUUCUUCACAGAUGCAAUGUACAAGAAAUGCACUACAAUCCAGGAACCUGUAGACAUGGGAGUAUUCUUCGCAGCUGUAGGAGGUGAAUGCACAUUAUCACAUAGCUGAAAGUCAAGAAAAUAAUGAAAUUCAGACCAUUGCCACGUAAAGAUGAGAAAUAUUGGUAAUAAUGUGAGACAGACAACUUACGCAUAGCUAGAAAGUGUUCCUUGGUAAGUUUCAUUUACACGUCGAAUUUUAGCCCAAUGCUUCACAAUGAAUGCCAACUGCCUUAACCUUCUAUCUAUUUGUGCAUAAUCUCGCAAAAGUUUUGUGUUAACAACUGCUAAAAGAUUAUUGACACAUAUAUCACAGGAAAGCCCUGUUUCCGGAUCCAUAAGCUUCACUAUUGGGACCCUUGCUCGAGUUAAUGGCUGCAAAAUUUCAUUAGUUUGGGUCAAAAAUUCAGUAUACCAUUUCAAAUUCCUUACCUAUAUUGGAUCCCAACACAAUAGUACUUCAAUACAAAAAUUUAUAUAGUAGAGUGAUAAGAAUGUUGUCGGUGUUUAGACCCGCGGUCCCGACACUAACUAGUGAAUUUGUAUCUGUGUGUCCUAAUCCGAGGAGAUUUAUACCAGUUUAGGCCAAGAAUGCCCUACGUCCAGUGUGAGGAGAGAGUCUUGUAUUAUCAUGUACCGAGGUACUCGUAGUAGGGGUUUACAAGCAAGGCAUGAGAGAGGGAAUGAAUUCAAAGUCUCAGCUCUGUGUGUGGGAGAGGUGUGCCUAUGAGUUGUGCUCGUUGUGUGCGUCGUGAUCUUGUUCGUGUCCCUUGAAUGGGACCCUGCCUCCUUUUAUAGUUCACAAGGGGAGGCAGUGGCGGGGCGGAAGCUUUCCCUAGCCUUCACGAGGCUCCGAGGUCAGGUCGGGCAAAUCGGAGAUGGCCUGAUCUCGUCCGAUGCCUGGUUGGGUCUCGGGCGAGACAGAACCGGUAGGCCAAGCUAUCGGUCUUACCGAGGCUCGACGAUCGGGUCUCGGGUGAAGUGAGGGGUGACUGUUUAGCCUUUCUAACUUAUCAUUAUUUUGUUUUUAAAAAAGGAGAAUGGGGUUCUAAGCUCUUUGCUUGGGGUACUCUGGGUUACGAUACCCGACAAAUGUUGGCCAUGUUAAUUCUCAACUUGCCCUAGCGCGAGAAAUUCUACAUCAGCUCGAAAUUGUCAACGAUGUGCUCUUUCACCACAAGUAUGGCUCAAAAAUAACCUCAAGAAGCAUAGUCUUGCCCUGGCCACUCUCAAGCAGGCAAUCGCUCGGUCACGCUCUCGCAUUGGGUGGUUACGUGAGAGAUGCCAAUACGAGGCUCUUUCAUUUACAUUCGCAUCAUCGCAAGAGGAAGAACUUUAUUGGCAGGCUUAUCUCAGAAAAUCAUAUCUAUACAGCACAUGAGGACAAGGCAUGAGUUGUGGAUGAUUUCUAUGACAAAUUGCUUGGGACAAGUGAACCUAGAGAGCAUACCAUCAAUCUGCUUGAAUUGGGGAUUCCUACACACACACACACACACGACCUAGCCGAUCUUGAUUCACCUUUCAUGGAGGAAGAAGUGUGGUUGACAAUCAAGCAACUACCCUCAGAUAAAGCAUUGGAUCCAGAUGGGUUCACAGGGCAUUUCUACAAAGCUUGUUGGUCGAUAAUAAAAAAUGACAUUAUGGUAGCUAUCUCUGCUGUUUGGAGUAGAAAGCUGAGGGGUCUCGGCCCUCUUAACACUACAUAUAUCACACUGAUUACGAAAAAAGAAAAUGCCGAGUAGCCCAAGGAUUUUAGGCCAAUAAGCCUAGUACACAGCUUUGCCAAGCUCAUAACCAAAUUGUUGGCUAAUCAAUUGGCAGGUCACUUAAACCAAAUGGUAUCUCCUAAUCAAAGUGCCUUCAUCAAAGGGCGCUUCGUACACGAUAAUUUCAUUUUAGUGCAGCAGACGGCGUGAUUUCUGCAUCAACAAAAACAGCCCCGUAUUUUACUGAAACUUCACAUUUCAGAGGCUUUUGAUUCGGUUGCUUGGCCCUUCUUACUUGAGGUCAUGCAACACUUGGGUUUCGGACAAAUAUGGAGGGACAUCAUCAGUGGACUGCUAUGCUCUUCCUCUACUCAAGUGUUUUUGAAUGGGAUCCCCGGUGAGUGAAUAACUCAUCGGUGAGGAUUGAGACAAGGUGACCCCUAUCUCCAAUGUUAUUCAUUUUGGUCAUGGAUGUGUUGAGGCAUAUGAUUUCAAAAGCCAUUGAGCUAGGCUUGUUGCAACCAUUGUCAAGACGUGCUUUGCAACAUCGCAUCUCAAUGCAUGCGGAUGAUGUGGUUUUAUUUCUUCAUCCAGAUGCCGCUGAUAUUGCUGUUACUAUGGACAUCCUUCAACUGUUUGGUGCAGCAUCUGGGCUCAAGACUAAUCUACAAAAAAGUAAUUGUUUGACCUAGGGAGGUUGCGUAGGGGAUAGGAAUGGAACGCCGGAGGGCGAGGCUUGUAGACACGGCAGUAGAGGCUGUGAUACCAUGCUCGGCGUCGAGGGAAUGAGACGAGAACGAGAGCUAGGGCACCAAAGAGCGAGAGAGACUUACUCAAUCUCUGGCUAAUCUUCUAUUAAGCAAAGUGUUCCAUACUUAUACAAGAAUCCUAACACUGCUAACAUUAAUUAAGGAACAAAAAACCAAGAUAAUUUUCUUUCCUAAACACUCGGCUCAAAUAAGCAAAUGCUGAACUAUGGGCAACGCCGUUUGGCGCGCUUCAGCUGGUGACCGCGCUCCGGCGUUCCCCGACGCGGUCCACUCCUUAGCCACUGGCCAUGCCACGACGCUGGUAGACAUUGACCACCAUAACAUCUCUCCCUCCCCCCCCCCCCCCCCUUGAGCAACAGCUCGUCCUCAAGCUAGAAGUCAGGGAAGAGGACCUUGAACUCCUCGACGGGCUCCCAGGUUGCCUCCGCUUCAGCCAUGUCCGCCCAGUGAAUGAGCACAUGCCAAACGCCCCUGCGGAGCACAACCUGGCAAUGUAGAAGAUGCCAUUGUGUAGUGGUGGUAGAGCCAGCAACUAGGGCGGCAGUGUACCUCGGAACGGCUUGAGGACGCCAACAUGGAAGACAUCGUGGAUGCAGGCGCCAUAGGGGACGCGCAAACUAUAGGCGAUGGGGCCGACGCGCUCGAUCACCUCGAAUGGCCCGGCGAACCAUGGGUUAAGAUUGUCGCAUGGCCCAAGCACCAAAGACUGAGCCGACUGGUUAAGAAUCCGGAGCCAAACCCAAUUGAGUGCUUCUUGGCAUAUGCUAGAGCUUGGAGCAGGUGGUCCUGGACUGUCAGGAACGUGUCGCAAUCUUUGAGGAGAGCAUCCACCGUAUCUGUGUGGGCAGCUCCUGCAGUAUAGGGCAACAAGGCAAGCGGAGGGCGCCCAUAUACUACCUCAAAUGGCGUCGUCAAGAGCACGGAGUGGUAGGAUGUGUUAAAACGGUACUCCGCCAAGAGCCUUUUUCCAGCCAGUAGCCUGUCACCAAUGAUGGAUCGCAGAUACAUGACAAUGGUCUUGUUCACAAGCUCAGACUGGCCAUCGGUCUGCCGGUGGAACACCGUGCUCAUCCAUAGCCGGAUGCCGGCGAGCUUGAAGAUGUCGCACCAAACGUGGCCCCUGAAGACUAGAUCACGGUCACUCACAAUGGAGCUCAGGAAGCCAUGAAGUCGGACAAUGGCAUCGAAGAAAGCUUUCGCCAUGGUGGUCGUCGUGUAGGGAUGGCUUAGCGCAAUGAGGUGGCCGUAUUUGGAGAACCGAUUGUUGGAGGUAGGGAGGUUGCAUUGGGGAUAGGUAUGGGACGUCGGAGCGUGAGGCUUGUAGCCACAGCGGCAAGGCUGCAACGCCGAGCUAGGGCACCAAAGAGUGAGAGAGACAUACUCAAUCUAUGGCUAAUCUUCUAUUAAGCAAAGUGUUCCAUACUUAUACAAGAAUCCUAACAACCAAUCUGCUAACUUAGGAAUAAGAAACCAAGAUAAUUCUCUUUCCUAAACACUCGGAUCAAAUAACCAAAUGCCGAACUUUGUGCGACACGGUUUGGCGCGCUUCGACUGGUGACCGCGCUGCGGCGUUCCCCAACACAGUCCACACCUCAGCCACUAGCAUUGUCGCGAUGCUGGUAGACAUUGCCCACCAUAGCAGUAACGUACUUCCUAUACGAUGUUGCGAACAUGAGAUUGAGGUUGUGUAACAGCAACUACCUUGUGCACUAUCUGAUUUUCCAUGCAAAUAUCUAGGUUUACCCCUCUCAUUGCGAAGAUUCACAAAAUAGCAUGUUCAGGUCAUCAUUGACCUUAUAGCUGAUCAACUGCCAGGAUGGAAAGCAGACUUGUUGACACGAGCUGGGAGGCAAAUCCAUGUGCAGUUUGUUCUUACUGCAAUGCUCAUUUAUCUUGUGAUGGCCAUUGAUUUGCCUCAAUGGGCCAUUAAAGUGAUUGACAAAAUCCGAAGAAGCUAUCUGUGGAGAGGGCACAAGGAAGCACGUGGAGGGCACUGUCUCGUGGCAUGGGAGACAGCUUGCUCUCCAACUGAACCGGGUGGUUUGGGCAUUUCCAAUCUCAAAAAUCUUGGCUGAAAAAAGGAGCCACACCGCCCUUGGUCUGCACUGUCUAUACAUGUACCUGUUCAGGUUCAAAAGCUUUGUUCAAUGCAAUGGCGAGAAUACUUUGUUCUGAACUGAUAGAUGGCUUCAUGAGCAUUGCAUUAAGGAUCUCGCACCUCGACUCUUUGCUGUGAUUCUGCAGAGAAAGAGAAAGUUGCGUACUGUGCAGCAGGCUCUAACCAACCAAACUUGGGUCUCAGACAUCCAAGGUGCUCUCACAGUGGGGGUCAUCGUGGAGUAUUUUCAGCUUUGGGACCUCUAUGAUUUUGAGUUACAACCUGAGAUGGAGGACUCACAUUUGGAAAUUAUCAAAUAGUGGACGGUACUCCGACGAAUCCGCAUAUGAUAGCUUAUUCAUGGGGAAAAUUCUUUUCAGGCCAUGGGAAAGAAUUUGGAAAACUUGGGCGCUAGCUAAAUGCCGCUUCUUCCUAUGGCUUGUAGCGCAGAAGCGCUGCUGGACCUCAGAUCGUCUUGCACGACAAGGGCUGCCUAAUCCCAAGAAGUGUCCACUUGUGAUCAAGCUAAUGAAAGCAUUGAUCAUCUUCUAAUCGAAUGUGUAUUUUCAAGGCAAUUUUGGUACUAUAUCUUGAGGCAGGUCGGUCUCCACUCUCUAGCUCCACAGCCAUCUGACACUUCAUUCGAUGAUUGGUGGAAAAAAGCAAGCGCAGCAACUUCUGGUUUAACACAAAAAGGUUUGAAUUCCCUAAUAGUUCCAGGAGCAUGGAUAAUUUGGAAUCAUCGCAAUAGCUGCAUCCAAUGUUUUCUGAUCGUCCUAUUAAUCACGAUUAAUCAUCCUUAUCGGUACUUAGCACUCGAUUAGGGCCUCCGAUUCGAUCAGAGCAAUCAGAAACCUGAUUGUCCGAUUAAUCGUGAUUAAUCGUCUGAUCAGGCCUCUUGGUCGAUCAGAGCUGAAUUGGCAGAUGGGCUGCUUUUGGCCUGGGCUAUAUUUAUUUGGGCCAAGCCCAUUAGGGUUUCUCUUAUACACCUCACGCCCACCCUCUCUCUCCUCAGUCCUCAAUCCCAACUCCACCUUUCAUCUGCUGAGCUGUUGAGCCUCCUCCCUCCCUUCCAGUUCCAAUCCAAGCAGCCCACUGCUGCUUGCUGCUUGCUGCUUCCUCCUCCCUCUUCCCUGCUGCCUGCUUUCUCCUCCCUCUUUCCUACUGCAACUGCAAGUCUGCAACUAUAUACAUAUAUAUGAUAUAUAGUCUUGCUAUAUGUUGGACGAUUAUAUGGACGAUUAGUUCGAUCAGAGGUCGAUUAAUCGUCCUGAUCGUCGAUUAAUCGUCCUGUUCGUCCUGAUCGGUACCAGACCGAUUAGAAACGAUAAGCCGAUCAGAAAACAUUGGCUGCAUCUUUGAUGGAGCAAUUCCUAACAUAGCUGAAACCUUGAAGUUGGCCGGUGAUGAGCGUCAACGGUGGACAACGGCAGGGGCUCAUGGGCUAUCCCCAAAUGUAACUUAUGAGAUAAAGAUAAGGGUGUGUGUUGUACUAAGGGUUCUACUUGUUACGAACAAUCACAAUCNNNNNNNNNNNNNNNNNNNNNNNNNNNNNNNNNNNNNNNNNNNNNNNNNNNNNNNNNNNNNNNNNNNNNNNNNNNNNNNNNNNNNNNNNNNNNNNNNNNNCACUUGUUGGUAGUUCGGUGAAGAGGCUCAAGUGGAAGCUCGGUUUGAUCUGUUUGGAGAUAGUGCUAAAAUUGAUGCAAGAUAGUGUGGCAGAACCUCCUGAAUUAAGUGGCCCACAUGCACACAUCAUUGUCCCAAAGACUUCUGAUCGACGUGCACGAGUUCCAAAUGACUCAAGAAGUCUGUCGGGUGUCCUCGGGAAACCCGAAUCAUCCACGUAACAUUCUUUUCAGGAAUUCCCUCAUCAAGCAUCACAGUAUUACAACAUUUCAUAGAUAAGAGAAAUCAGAGUAAAAGCGGAAAGGUUACAUAACGUAGAUUGAAACUUAAGUUCAUAGUUUACAAACCAUAAGUAUUUGAUACAUAAAAGCUUCGGAACUUUAUAUUACAUAAACCAUAGAUCACACAACAAGUUUUUACUUGCCCAAGGUCACACAUCAGAUUCCUCAUCAUCAUUACUCUCCUCCACAAGAGUAAAGUAACCAUGACCAUCAAAAGGAUUCUCAAGAGGUUCACCUGCAACAGGGGUUAAUAAACCCUGAGUACAAAAGUACUCAACAAGACUUAACCGACUAUAAAAGAGGUGGAAACUCAGGUAUGCAGGCUAUAGGGAUUCAAGGUAAAGCUUUAUCAAGAUCAAGUAUUUCUUUUGCAUAAAAGCUUACUAAGAGUAAAGCCUACUUUCAAGUUUUAACUCAAGAUUAUCACUUAUAACUAACCAAGAUCAUUAUCCUACUUUCAUAACCAAAUCACCUCUUUCUUAUACCAAAGAUUCACUUAUUACUACGAUGAUGGGGUGAGGAUUGAGGCUCCAUAUCCGAGGAAACACGGCGAUUCGAAUCGAUUAAACCCAGCUGGGGAUUCAGUACCACACGACAUAUGUAGAACUUAAUCUUGCAUAUGUCAACCUGUUUCUAUAGAUCCUCCCAUACAAGAACGGGUCCAGCGUCACCCGAGAGUACAGUACACCACCAUCCUACAGCCAAUCUAGAUGUUUUCCGGUCAUCUCAGAUCCGUAAGGUGGGUACACGCUACUCUCGCCAUCUCUCCACUCCCAGUACGCGGUUAGCCGUUCUCAAGUAUCGGAAUAGCUAUAGGUAAGGCUUACCAGCGCAUGUGGGCUGUACUCAAAGGUCUCAAUCACAACAGGCCAACAAUGGUACGGUCCUUAAUCGACACAGUCGGAGACACUACUUUAAGACUCCAUUCUUAAAGCAAGUCCACCGACCGGUCUCAAGUUUAAACAUUAUUAACCAUAAAAGUAUUCCACAACAACCCUUCAAACUUUCUCAUUUGAAAACUUAUCUAAUGAGCAGGGCUAAGCAUACUAAGUAUUUUCAUAAAACAAGUAUCAAAGUUAAUAUGGAAUCAUCAAGGUAGAUAAUGCAGCAAAUAGGAUUCACUCAAUUCCUAUUCACCUAAUGCAUCAUAUUAACUCAAGUGAUAUAAAUAACUUUAUGAAAAUACAAGGAUAGGGUUUAAUGUCCGGGGCUUGCCUUGACCGGAAGGGACGUUCGACAACUCAGCAAAACCCGAAGGAUCCACAAACUCGGAAGCAACCCACUGAGGAUCAGAUUCUUCCGGAGCGUAUUCUAUACGUAAAAGUGCAUAUGCAUGAUUAUGCUAUACUCAAGGCAUAAUAAAGACAGGUUACAUGUUCUUGGACGACAACAAUAAACAUGACUACCUCGAGUACAAUUUACCUUCAUGGUAAAGAAAUAAACUAAUCUAGCUAUCAAAGCAUGGGUUAUUACUAAAUCAAUUUUAUUAUUUUUAUUAAACAAUGUUGUGGACUUAACAUAUCACAAGGAUCAUUUACAUGAAUUAAACCAUAACCAGGGAGCAUAUCAUGCUAAGUAACCACUGGUUGCCAAUCAAUCCAAAAUAUCACACAAAGCCUAAAGGAAUAAUUAUUUCUAUUUCUUUUAUAAUUAUUUUAAAUAGCUUUAUUAAGAGACAGAGCAUACUUUAUCAAAAAGAGUUGAAAUUAUUCAUGGAGAUAAAUAACAGUAACACAAACCCACAUGUCAAAUUUCAUAAUUUUUGGACUUUUACAGAGAGCUAGAUAAAUCAUCAAAGCUUCAUUUAUUAAUUAAAGCAUGGAUUUAAUUAUCACAGAAAAAUUACUCAAUAUACAAGUUUGAUAAUUUUUAUAUUAUCACAGACAUAUCAUAAGAUAGCAUGUAAAUUUUCAUGAACAUCAGAGCUAUAGAUUAAAUAUAGCAAAAAUAACAAAACUAGCUACUGUUUAAAUCAUACAAAAAAGAAAAAUGCAGAUUUUAGCCCUAACUGGGCUUUCAGCCCAGCACUAGCCCAGCUGAGCAGCCCACUGCGCGCGCACAGCGGCCCAACCGGCCAAACACCCGCGUCCCAUGGCGAUCUUGCAAAAAGAUCCCUCGGCUUAAGCUAAACUAACCCGCAGUCCAGCCAACUAUUCACAUGAGUCUACGGCUUCGCAAACAAACCCCUCCCUUUUCUCAUCUCUACAACUGCGAGGUCCCCGACGCCCCGGCCGUCCAGAGCGCGACAUCACGCGGCGGCGCGGCUUACGCCGGCCAACUCCGGCCACCCCAAACCAAACGGAGGCGAGCACAAGCACUAGCAAGCAACCCGCAACCGAAAGAGCUAGAAAACCCUAACUCUACUGUUCUAGCGAACUCUGGCCACGAGCGGCGGCGGACAUGGCCGCGGCGGUGCUUACGCCGGGGGCUCUAGACUGGUAGAGAAAGAAUGGAGAGGUCAGGAAGCAUUGGCGUCUCACCCUGGGUGUGCUGACGCAGAGAGAAGGAGCGGAGAACAGCCGGGUGUUGCUCGUCCACGCGACCAGUGACUCCGGCGGCGAGCUCCGACGAAGAAGCCGACGUUCCGGUGACAGCUGUGAAGCAACGGAGAAAAGAACGAGCUGAUGAGCAUCACAAGGUCAUGACGAAGCAAAGACGAGAGAAAGAGAGAGCAGAAAGUUGCCCGGAUGGGCUGACCACGACGAGCUUGACCACGGUGGCGCUCUGUCGCCGGCGGGGAGAAAGACGACGAACGCCGGGGCUCUGGUGCGAUAGAGAUAGGAAGGAUGGGUUCGGAAGGUGCGCAAGGAAGUAACCACUUUAUGUCCGUGGUGAAUUUGGAUGAGGAUCACUGGUUUCGAUGAAUUUGGAUUGGAAUGGGUCACUGCUCGUCGGUGCUCCGGUGGCGUAAAUGGCGUCGGUGAGCGCAGGAUGGAACGCCACGAAGCAAGCAGAGGCGCCAGCAGCUGCUACUCGAUGCCACGGAGACGGAUGCGCGCUGGGACGAGUUGACACGGUGCUCACGCGCUGGCAAACGCCGAUUCCAGCUCGGCGGUCCACCGCCAUGAACAGGGACCGAGCUUAUCCCCCUUUUCCCCAAAAGCCCUUUCUGUUCUUUAGCGAAAAACAACCAAAAUUUGAACAGAAGUCAAAUUUCUGUCAAAAUAAAAUUUGUACAAAAUUUUGUGAGCUACAAAACAUCUUUAAUGACCAAAGACAGAUUUGAAAUGGAAAGGGAUGAAUUUGAGCCAAACAGUUUGAAAUCAAAUCUCAAUUUGGGAAGAAUUUUCAAUUUUUAAUUGGAGCAGAUUAGAAAUUCCAAAAUUACUUUUGAUUUUCCAAAACAACUUGAAAAACUUCCAACAUGAAAGUUGUUCAACUUUUCAAGCCCUACAACUCUCAUGUUGACCAUUUUUCAAAAUUCCAAACAGAUUUUGAAUUGGGGAUUUAAGUUUGAAAAGGGGACACUUUCCGGAAAUCUGUAUUUUUAAAAUUACUUUGAAUUUUGUACUAAAUCUUCAAAAACUCAAAACACCAAAGUUGUACAUCUUGACAAGAUCUACAACUUUGCUUUUAAACUUAACUUCAAAUUUUGCUUGGUUUUUGAAUUGCACAAAAGGGGGCAAAUCUAGGGUUUUGAAAACUAGGGUUCCCCCCUAAGCCUUUCGGAAAAACAUUCACCCAUGGUUUUUAAACUCCAAAACAAGCAUCCAUACAUAAAAUAAACACACUUUAAUUCUUAAGCACAUUCAACCAAAUGUGAACUUAUUUUAAGUUAAUGCAUCAGGGUUUACUUAACAAUAAACUAUGCAAUGCUCAUGAUGACAUGUCAUGUUUUAGUUCGCUUAACACAAGAGUGUUACAGCUAGAUGCACGGUCUGCAUGGAACAUACCAUAUGCUUAGAAAUUAAUUUGGACACAAACAAUAGAACUCCUUGAUGACGUGUGUCAUAUGGAAUCUUGCUUCGGUUCGUUUGCAGACAUUGUAAGUUUUAGUGCAAGAUAGGUGCACAGUUUGCGCCUAAUGCACCAUAGUCUAAGAAACCAUUUUGGAUACACUGUUUGGUACUCCUUGGUGAAGAGGCUCAAGUGGAAGCUUGGUUCGGUCAGUUUGGAGAUAGUGCUAAUCCUUAUGCAAGGUAGGUGCAUGGUUUGCAUGGAACAUACCAUAUGCUUGGAAAUCAAUUUCGAUGCACUCGAUGGAACUCCUUGAUGACGUGUGUCAUAUGGAAUCUCGCUUUUGUCCAUUUAGAGACAUUGUAAGUUUCGGUGCAAGAUAGGUGCACAAUUUGCACCUAACACUACAAGAAAAAGUGGCAUUAACGACGGGAUAUGUGGUCGCUAAAGGUUGAUAUGUGGUCGUAAAUAGUUUUUAACGACCACAAAAAUGUGGUCGUCCAUGGUCGUUAAAGGCUCCGUCGUUAAUACAAUUAACGACCACGUACAAUUUCCCGUCGUUAACUUUUCAACGACGGGAUAAUAUGUGGUCGUUGAUACUUUAGCAUUAACGACCAUGUUUACAGUAACAACGACCACAUUUGUCAUCGUUAAUAUCAUAGUGCCAUCUUGCAUAAUGCAUUAACAACCACAUUUGUGGUCGCAAAUUGUUUCUACAAAGUAGUAUAGAGAGUAUUAGUGACCACUUCUAUAGCAUCAACCACCACACAUUUAUCACUAAUAAUUUUAUAUCGGAAUGGCACUUCUAUAGCAUCAGCGAUCAAUAUGCGAUAUAACAAUGACAUGUUUUCACAAUAGAAAAUAAAUGUAUUAAUUUUCAACAUUCCACAAAUUCAACUUCACAAUGGUCCUGGAUGGUUCAUGUGACCAAGGGGAAAACACAAUCCAAAACAUGAAACUAAUAUUGGCUAAAAUAAGACCAAUCCUACAAAUAACAAGGUAGUACUACGCUAUGCUUGAAGGGAUCCACCCAUCAAAUGCCUUCUCAUGAACAACUGUGAGGUCAUGCUAGUAAUGUUGCUCUUCAUCUUGCUCCCUGCAAUAUGCAAAUUUCAUAUCAGCAACAAAAAAUAAAAUCAAAUAAAGAGAUCAGGUAUAAAUAAUUAAUCUUUCUUGAUGUCGAUGCUUACAGAUAUUCACUCUUUAUCCAUGAGUUAAACUAGCACUCAUAUUGCGCUUUAAUUCUGCCCAUUCUUCUUCCAUUCGGCUAACACGAUUGGUAAUCAUCCGAUUUUCCUCGUGAAGUGCUCGAUUAUCUUCUUGAAGGUCUUUCUUUUCCUGUUCAGACUGUGUAAGUUUUUCUAUCAGUUCAGCUUUGGUAACAGUCGGACUCCGUAUAUCUCUUGCUCUUAUUCCACCACCAUAACCAACAACAUGGUCACGCCUAUUAGAAUCAAAGCACUUGUCCAUAAGUUCCACAUUAGAAAGGGUAGGGUUCCAUAGCCUUUCCACCUCAAUCUCUGCCUGUGAACAGAGCAAUUGAAAUUAGGUGCUUCUACCAUCACAUGUGUAUUUAUUCUUGUAUAAGAGGGAUAUCGCCAAAUACAAUUGUAACUAAUCUACAAUAAUGUUCAGCAAAAUGAAUUCAAAGGCAACUAUGAACUUACGUGCUUGGUAGAGGUUUCAGAAUCCACAAAGGUGCCAUCCUUCAUGUGAGUGAGAGAAAAUAAUUUAUCCAAAGUUGGAGGAUUAUUUUCCUUGCCACCCUAUUACAGGUAGAACAUUAGAACACAAGUAAUGAGAGUUAAUAACUGAAAAAAGUGAGCACAGAAUACUAUACAUACAUUGUCCCAUAUGAUCUGUCUGUAUGGUUUGCUACCACUGUGAUGAAGAAUUUUCAAGUUGGAUCUAUUUUUGGAGUUUCUCUUGCUCCUAUCCUACAGUUCCACGAAAUACCAUGGUCACUAAGGAUAAAAUAUGCAGCACACAAGUUGUCACUAUGUAACUUAGAAGAUUUAAACUUACUAUGAAAUCCUUGCUGUAGAAACGUUCCUUGACAAGCCACUCCCAAUCAGGUUUUUUAAUCCCUUUAGGGCAAUUCUUAAUAGCUUGCUGCAUAUUCCUUGCUGGCUUAACAAAUUGCCGAUUCAAGUCUCCACGCCAAUUAUUCCAUAGAUCUCUAGCGUGCUCCAUGAUCUCAGCUCUGUAUACAUCAAUUUCAAUGUCCGGAUUUGCAUUUUCAAACUUGUCCUGCAUAAAUAGGUAUUAAACUAAUGUUUCAAUAUGAGUACAAGAUUCAUGAAGGAAAAAACUGAGUAUGCUGGACUUAUAUAUGUAAGGAAGCGUGUACCUUAAUUGCAUCAAAAAUGUGUUUUUGAGCUGCUGGACUUAUAUCAGUCCAUUUCUUCACUCUAAUUGGAGUAAUGUUAGAAUCACGGACUAUUCUACCCAACUGCCUUGGGAAUGUUUUAGAUAAAGCCCGAUUGUUGUAGAACACUACUUUAAUUUUCUCGCCUGUCUUGAGUUUUGCAACCUUCUUACAUUUGUUUCUUCCACGACCUUGCCGUUUUUGUACUGUUUUGCCACCUAAAACAUAUAUAGAAAAGAGUCAAAUUCAUUUUGGUGAAGAAAAGUAUUUUUUUACUUGGUUGAGUGUCCAGACCAUUUGAUUUAUCUGCGGGUUGCUGCUGCUCUUGUACUUCCUCAGUUUCCAUGUUGUCAUUAUCCGAUAAUUCAUCUAAAAGUAAAUGGUCCAGAUGGAGUAUCUUUCAGUAAAUGAGUCUUGUAACAUGUGUGCUAAACAAUAAUUCCUGAUUAUGUUAUUAGCACCUCAUUAAGCUUUUUCAUUAUCCAUGAUUGGUUGUUUUUGUCGCAACAUGCACUUUCAGAAAAUAAAUGUUUAUCUACAAAGUGUUUAACAUAAGUAUUUGUUUCCAUACCAUCCUGCAUUGAAUAUGUAGAACUCUGUGGAAUCUGUCUCCUUUCGGCAUGCAUAUUUUCUUGAUCAAUGGCUCUGUGAUCAAUGCUACUCCUCUCAGCACGUGCCCUGUACUGAUCAAUAGGCCUGUUGUCAUCUCUGCUCCUUCCAGUAAGAAUCCUAUCUUGAUCAACAACCCUAUAGUCAUCUCUAAUGAAGGUGGCUGCAACACAUAAGUGAUAACCGUAAAUAAUGAAAAAAUAGUUCGAUAUAGAUUUUCUACUCAUUUAAGAUGCCAGAGUCUAACAUUUGAACUUCUUUGUUUUCCUAUUCCAUCCAUGCCAUUCAUCUGUUGCUUCGUCAUCAUCUGAAUUGUCGCUAGCAUCUAAAGGACAUGGUUGACUUGCAUAUUUGGAUUUUUUUGCUAUUACUGUCCUAUCAAACAAAGUAUCUGAUGCACCUCCAUGUUCUGAAUCAUCUACAAGAAUACAGAUAGGAGUGAACAACAGGUUAUGUAAACUAUUUCUAAGACAUACAUUGUCAUGAACUUCUAGUUAAUUAGAGAGAACUUAGAUAUAGCAUCCUUAACCUGCUUCUGGUACUUGAGUAGUUUUCCUGACUGAUGUAUGGACAUUAUUAGUGUCUUCAUUUAGACUGUUGUGGAUUGUUCUUUCACUACUAAUGUUUGGGUAGGUUCGCCUCACUUGCUGCUGACGAAGCAAUCCAGGACUUAUGUAUUGUGAUCUCCUCAAUGCUGUGGUUGUGAGAUUUCCAUACCUGCCCGGUUGCAUCGUGAGGACCUGCACAAAUAGAAGCCAUAUCAAUUAAUUUAUAAGUGCAUGAGUACAAGAGUAACAUCAAUGUGGUAAGCACAAAACCCUGCAAUUCCGCUGAAAGUUGAAGAAAGAUUAUGGGAACAAAUAAAUCAUUAAAUAUUAUAAUAGUUGUUGUCUAACUCGACUAGCAAAUGUGACAAAUUCUCCGAUGUCUAGUCUAGCAAUGUGAAACAUUGGAUCAUCGUUUUCUCUUUCCAUUGGACAAUAUGGCUAAGGCAUCUUCAGGCAUGUCCUCUUCAUCGUCGCCAUCAUUAUCCUCAGGUUCAACACCUUCAUCAUCUGAAUCUCCAGGGGGUACAUCAUAAGUGUCACGUGGAUGCAUUUUGGAGACCAUGUGCCAUCCUUUGAUUAGAUUGUCCUUAGCAUAAAAUACUUGGGAGGCUUGGCUAGCUAAGACAAGUGGCUCAUCUGUUUGAAGUAAACAUUUGAAGUUUACACUAACAAGCCCAUAAACAUUUGUCUUUAUCCCUCGGGUUUUAUUAAAUAUAUCAACCCACUUGCAGCGAAAUAAUGGCACACGCCUUCCACCUAAAAACUGAAGCUCAAGUAUCUCUGUCAAGACACCAUAGUAGUCUACAUGGUCACCAUCCAUAUUCUCUUCUGAAAUAACAGCCACCCCACUAUUCUGUGUGCACCGAUUUCUAUCAAGACUUUCAAUGCGAAAUCUAUAUCCAUGCGUGUCAAAGCCAGAAAAACAAGUUAUGUUUGUCAUAGGGCCCCGUGACAGUGACAAUAGGUCUUCCAUUUGUUGACUUCUAUCACUCUCAUGUAACUGAUGUACCUGCAAAUUGAUAAUAAAUCACGUAAAGCUCCUGAAAUAAAUUUACACAACUUUUGUUUUUAAAACAAAAACAUUGUCAUGUACCUUAUCUUUAAACCACAUAAUAAAAUUUUGAUUCCAGCUGGGUGUAAAUGGUGGCAACUUAGAGCCCUCUUGACUGUUGUUGUACUCACUGCAAUUCAACAUAUAUAAACAAUAAUAAGAGUAGGUAGAUAAAACAGUAUGUUAGAAUAAGAAUGACAUAGCAAAAAUAAUACCUUAUAAAUGGUUGGACCUCAUCACAAUUCCUGAGUACAUAAAUAUGAGCCUGUUGUAACUCAAGCAUAUCAAGAUCCCUUGUUUUGUGAGCACCAAGUCGUCGUCUAGUAGAAGAGAAUAUUGAUAAAUAGAAGUUUGCUGGGUCUGAUGUAUCAUUGAUUCGUCCAUCGCGAUUGUGCAUUGUUUCUACAUCAUCCAAGUAUCUCGAACUCAGGUUUAUAAAUUCAUAUGCAAUGUAACCCUCUGCUAUCGAACCCUCAGGUUGUGCAAAGUUGCGAAUUAGAGAUUUUAGAAAUUUUAUUUGUCUCUCAAAUUGAUACUUCCAACGAUAUACUGUAGGUCCACCGAUCAAAUCUUCAUUAGCCAAAUGGACAGGCAAAUGCACCAUUGGAUCAAAAAAAAAGAAGGAGGAAACUCCAUUUCAAGCUUACAUAAUGUUCUUGCUAUUAGAGAGUCAAGUUGCUUCAACUGUUCAACUGAUAAUGCUUUGGAGUUCAAUGUGCAGAAGAAUUGGGAAAGCUCUACCAAAGGUUCAUAAAUACUUGUUGGUAAAAGUCCUCGUAAUGCCAAAGGAAGUAUAUGAUUCAAGAUGACAUGGCAAUAAUGGCUCUUUAAUCCAGAAAGUUUUUGCUCCUUCAAAUUAACGCAUCUACUAAGAUUAGAAGAAAAGCUAUCUGGAACUUUCAAUUCUUUGAAGAACUGUAAUAGUGUUGACUUCUUUUCUGGAGGAAGAACAUAAGGUGCUGGUGGAAAAUUAGUCUUGCCACCAUCUUCAGUAGGAUGCAGAUGUGGCUUUAAAUUCAUUUGUUGCAAAUCAAGACGACUAUUAGCAUUAUCUUUUGUCUUUCCUAUUAUGUUGAGAAGAGUUCCAAGAAUACUCUCACAAAUAUUCUUUUCUAUAUGCAUCACGUCUAGAUUAUGACGCAGCAAAAGUGUGUUGAAAUAAGGUAAACGAAAAAAUAUGCUUUUCUUUAACCAAUUAUCUCCUCUUUCACUAUGUGAUAUCUUGGUCUUCUUGCUAGGAUCUUUUGAUAACACUAUCCCUUCUAGAUUGUUCACCUGCUGUAGCACCUCAUCUCCAGUUAAUGGCUCUGGUGGGUCACGAAACUCUUUAUUACCAUCAAAAGAUGCUUUAUCUUUUCUCCAUUUAUGAUCUUUAGGAAGAAAUCGUCGAUGGCCCAUGUAGCAAAAUUUUUUACCCUUUGAUAACCACAAUGAACAAGUUUUAUUCUGACAAACAGGACAAGCCAGACGCCCCUUAGUGCUAUGUCCAGAUAGAUUUCCAUAUGCUGGGAAGUCAUGAACCAUCCAAAGAAGGGCUACUCGAAGCUUGAAAUUAGUAUUUGUAGAUGCAUCAUAAGUGUCAACACCGUCCUCCCAUAGUGCAAUUAGUUCGUCAAUCAAUGGUUGCAGGUAAGUAUCAAUUGCAUCCCCAGGACCAUCUGGCCCAGAAAUCAACACAGAAAGCAAUACAUUUUGCUGCUUUGUGCACAACCAAGGUGGCAAAUUGAGAGGAACAAGGAAUAUAGGCCAAAUGCUAUAUGAGAUUUUAGUGGUAGAAAAUGGUUGGAAACCAUCACCAGCAAGGCAUAGCCUUAAAUUGCGAGGUUCAGAUUUAAAAUCGGGAUGAGUCUCAUCAAAAUGUUUCCAUGCUUUAGAAUCAGCAGGAUGGCGCAUCACACCAUCAUCAACCCUGCCCUCUAUAUGCCAUCUACAGAAAAAUGCAAUUUUCCUACACAUAUAUAGUCGCUGAAGUCUUGGUGUAAUAGGAAAAUAUCACAUAGUAUGUUCUGCAAUCUUCUUCCCUUUGGUUGACACUAUGUCUUCACCAGAGUGCUUACUUUUCUUCCAUCUUGAUCUUUCACAUACUUUGCAGAACUGAGCACCUAUAUCUUCUCCCAAAUACAACAUGCAAUCAUUUUUGCAAGCAUCAAUUUUUUGGUAACUUAGUCCUAGGUCCUUCAUGAUUUUUUUUGCUUUGUAAUAAGAAUUUGGCAAAGUAGAGUUUUCUGGUAGGAAGUCCUUACAGAUUAAUUCCACUAACAUAGUAUAGGACUUGUUACUCCACUUUCCCAAAUUCUUUGUAUUAAGCAGUUUAACUAUACCAGAUAGUUUGGAAGUACGAGACCCUUCAUGGAGAGGCUGGUUCAAGUCAUCAAGGAGUUUAUAGAACUUUUGUGCUUCAUCAUUUGGCUGUUCUUCAAAUGCUUCAUUUGGAGAUGUAUGUGAUGUACCUUCAUUGAUUGGGCGGUUAAUUUGCUGGGGAAAUAAAUCCAUUAGAAGCUCAUCCAUUGCAUUAUAACCUUCUUCAGUUGCUCCCUGGGAAUCAGGAUGCUCUUCGACUUCUGAAUCUGACUCAGCCUCACCCGAAACUUCUCCAUGAUGAUACCAAAAUCUAUAGUUUCUUAUGAUUCCAAAUAUUUUAAGAUGAGAAUACACUACCUCAUGAGACCUAGAAUAGUGUAUUGCAGCAUCUGACACAUGGACAUUUGAUUUCAACAUCCCCACCAGUCCUACUGAAGGCAUAGUCCAGAAACUUUUUAACACCAGCCAAAUAAAUAUCUUUUUUUGAGGUGUUUCCAUCUAAACAUUCAUCACUAAUACGAUCAUCAACUAGGUCAAUCCAUGCUUUACUUGGUGCCAUAUAGCAUAUAUAUGAUUGACUAUACAACUACCUGUGAGAAUAAAUAUAGAGUCAAAAUAGAGGUAUCUACCAUCCUGAGUGAAUGAAAAUCCACCACCAGGCAACAGUUUCAGAUUCCACAUUCUUUCAAAUUUUCAUAGUAAAGAUGUUUUGAUAAUAAAGAGCAAAUACAUACUGCCUUUUUAGGAUCAGAGGAUGCACUCCCUCUCCCUCCGAGAACAACUUACACCCUUUGCAACUGCAAGAAAAAAAUAAAGAACUAUGAGUAAUCAAAACAAAAUGUGCCCUCAAUUACAAUCCCUGCAUCCAGGACUUUUUAACACAAAUGCCUCAACUUAGAAUCCUUGAAUCAAACUAUAAUCAAGCAAAACGUGUAACUUUGGAUCUCUGUAACAAGAUGGUUAUCAACACAUUGUAACAGAGAUAUCUAUCAUCUACAUUGCAAAAUUAUGAAAUCAAUUUGUAUCUACAACUGCUAUACGUUCAGUUGUUUACACAAUAUCAGAUCGAUAUAGCUAAUUUCAGGUGAACAAAAUGGCAUCAGAUCCUAAGGUGCAGGGUUUUAUAUCAGAUCAAUACAGGGAAACAGGAUUAUGGAGAUGGAAAUUGAAGCUUACUGACCCACAGUAGGCACCGGUGGACAAUGAUGGGGAGGCCACUGCAGUACGAGUAAACAAGUGCUCCUCCCGGCUGGUGCAGGGAUGUGGUACAGGAACUGUUGUAGCGCAGGGACGGAAGGGCGGCGAGGACGGCGACCACAGGAAGGACCGGCGAGGCAGCGGCUCUAGGAUCUGCACCAGGAGGAGAUGACUGCAGGAGGAGGUGCAGGAAAUCGGGACAGGGACUGCUGCGGCAGGAGGUGCAGGGACGGAAGGGCGGCGAGGAUGGCCGCCGCCGGAAGGGCCGGUGAGGCGGCGCCUGUAGGAUCCGUGCCGAAACCGUCCUUGCGGAUCGCUAGGCUCUGUAGAGCUGAGCGGUGGGCAGAGGUCAGAUAGAUACGAGAUUUCUCAUUUAUGUACCUGCAGGAAAAUGAAGUUUGCGCCAAAAAUAAAGAGAUCAGGAUUCCUCAUUUUUUUAGCGCCAAAAAAGAAUAGAUCAGCAUCCCGCGUUUUAUUUAGCGCCAAAAAAAGUACAUACUAUUUUUUAAGGAGGGAACCAAAAUAUACAAGCAGAAUUUUUUUUAUAAUAUAACAAAAUAUAUGCACGUAGAAUUCCUUUUGUCCAAAUCUCACUUCACAUAUUCAAAUACAUAAAUCAUAGUAAUAUCAAAAACAAUGUAAGCAUGAAUUUAGUCAUCUUGGGAUUUCACACUGUGCACGGCUAGCCAUUUUGAACUUGAAACAGUAAGACAAUAUUAUAAAUGAGGGUUUUGUAAUAUCUCAAGACAUUGUCAAUGCAUUUGUUAUGAACUACUCAAUCCGUUCCAAAUUUGUAAGUCGUUUGACUUUUUUAAUAUCAAAUUUGAUCACUCGUCUUAUUUAAAAUUUUGUGCAACACAUCACUUUUUUUUUGUUGUGUAUUGGUUUAUUAAUAAAAGUUCUUCAAGAAUGACUUAAAUUUGCAUAUAUUUACACAAUUUUUUUAAUUAGACGAGUGGUAAAAUUUGAAGUAAAAAAAAGUCAAACGACUUAUAAUUAGGAUGGAGGGAGUAGUAGUCUAAGGUUAAAAAACUCCGAACAUCAUCUGAUCUAUAGCAUUGUGCUUUGGUUGAUUCCUUUUGUUAAAUUUUGUGCUACGUGCAAAGCAGAGGAAGCGUGACAUGCUCAAGCUGCCCACCGUGUUGCGUUUGCUUGUUAGUGCCCUGCAAUGCCAAGAGGAGGAAUCUCGAUUUGGUCUGUUUAGAAACAGUGUUAGUUUCGGUGCAAGAUAUGUGCAUGGUUUGCGCCUAAUGCACCAUAGUUUAAGAAACCAUUUUGGAAGCACCAGUUGGUAGUUCGGUGAAGAGGCUCAAGUGGAAGCUCGGUUUGAUCUGUUUAGAGAUAGUGCUAAACUUGAUGCAAGAUAGAUGUACGGUCUGCAAGGAACAUACCAUAUGCUUAGAAAUUAAUUUGGACACAAACAAUAGAACUCCUUGAUGACGUGUGUCAUAUGGAAUCUCGCUUCGGUCCAUUUGGAGACAUUGUUAGUUUUGGUGCAAGAUAGGUGCAUAGUUUGUACCGAAUGCACCAUAGUCUAAGAAACUAUUUUGGACGCACUUGUUGGUACUCCUAGGUGAAGGGGCUCAAGUGGAAGCUCGAUUCGGUCUGUUUGGAGAUAGUGCUAAUCUUGAUGCAAGGUAGGUGCAUGGAACAUACCAUAUGCUUGGAAAUCAAUUUGGAUGCACCCGAUGGAACUCCUUGAUGAUGUGUAUCAUAUGGAAUCUCUCUUUGGUCUGUUUAGAAACAGUGUUACUUUCGGUGCAAGAUAUGUGCAUGGUUUGCGCCUAAUGCACCAUAGUCUAAGAAACCAUUUUGGAAGCACCUGUUUGUACUUCGGUGAAGAGGCUCAGUGGAAGCUCGGUUUGAUCUGUUUGGAGAUAGUGCUAAUCUUGAUGCAAGAUAGAUGCAUGGUCUGCAUGGAACGUACCAUAUGCUUAGAAAUUAAUUUGGACACACCCGAUAGAACUCCUUGAUGACGUGUGUCAUAUGGAAUCUCGCUUUGGUGUGCUUAGAGAUAGUAUUAGUUUUCGGUGCAAGAUAUGUGCACGGUUUGCGCCUAAUGCACCAAAGUCUAAAAAACCAUUUUGGAAGCAUCUAUUGGUACUCCUAGGUGAAGAUGCUCAAGUGGAGGCUUUGUUCGGUCUGUUUAGAGAUAAUGCUAAUGUUGAUGCAAGAUAGGUGCACGAUUUGCAUGGAACAUACCAUAUGCUCAGAAAUAUAUUUGGAUGCACCAGAUGGAACUCCUAUAUGAUAUGGAAUCUCACUUCGGUCCGUUUAGAGAUUGUGUUAGUUUCGGUGCAAGAUAAGUGCAUGGUUUGCACCUAAUGCACCAUAGGAUAAGAAGCCAUUUUAGACACACCCGAUGGUACUCCUAGGUCAAGGGGCUCAAGUGAAAGCUCGGUUUGGUCUGUUUGGAGAUAGUGCUAAUCUUGAUGCAAGAUAGAUGCACGGUUUGCAUGGAACAUACGAUAUGCUCAGAAAUCAAUUAGGACACACCUGAUAUAACUCCUUGAUGAUGUGUGUCAUAUGGAAUCUUGCUUCGAUUCAUUUAGAGACAGUGUUAGCUUUGGUAUAAGAUAUGUGCACGGUUUACGCCUAAUGCACCAUAGGCUAAGAAACCAUUUUAGACACACCCGAUGGUACUCGUAGUUGAAGAGGCUCAAGUGGAGGCUCUAUUUGGUCUGUUCGGAUAUAGUGCUAAUCUUGAUGCAACAUAGUUGCACAGUUUGCAUGGAACGUACCAUAUGUUAAGAAAUCAAUUUGGACACACCUAAUGGAACUCCUAGAUGACGCGUGUCAUAUGGAAUCUCGUUUUGGUCUGUUUGGAGACAAUGUUAGUUUUGGUGCAAGAUAGGUGCAUAGUUUGUGCCUAAUGCACCAUAGUCUAAGAAACCAUUUUUGAUGCAAUAGUUUGUACUCCUAGAUGAAGAGGCUCAAGUGGAAGCUCGGUUCCGUCUAUUUGGAAAUAGUGCUAAUCUUGAUGCAAGAUAGGUGCACGGUUUGCAUGGAACAUACCAUAUGCAUGGAAAUCAAUUUGUAUGCACCCGAUGGAACUCCUUGAUGACCUGUGUCAUAUGGAAUCUCGAUUUGGUCUGUUUAGAAACAGUGUUAGUUUCGGUGCAAGAUAUGUGCAUGGUUUGCGCCUAAUGCACCAUAGUUUAAGAAACCAUUUUGGAAGAACCAGUUGGUAGUUCGGUGAAGAGGCUCAAGUGGAAGCUCGGUUUGAUCUAUUUGGAGAUAGUGCUAAACUUGAUGUUAGAUAGAUGCCUGCAUGGAACAUACCAUAUGCUUAGAAAUUAAUUUGGACACAAACAAUAGAACUCCUUGAUGACGUGUGUCAUAUGGAAUCUCGCUUCGGUCCAUUUGGAGACAUUGUUAGUUUUGGUGCAAGAUAGGUGCAUAGUUUGCACCGAAUGCACCAUAGUCUAAGAAACUAUUUUGGACGCACUUGUUGGUACUCCUUGGUGAAGGGGCUCAAGUAGAUGCUCGAUUCGGUCUGUUUGGAGAUAGUGCGAAUCUUGAUGCAAGGUAGGUGCAUGGAACAUACCAUAUGCUUGGAAAUCAAUUUGGAUGCACCCGAUGGAACUCCUUGAUGAUGUGUAUCAUAUGGAAUCUCUCUUUGGUCUGGUUAGAAACAGUGUUACUUUCGGUGCAAGAUAUGUGCAUGGUUUGCGCCUAAUGCACCAUAGUCUAAGAAACCAUUUUGGAAGCACCUGUUGGUACUUCGGUGAAGAGGCUCGGUGGAAGCUCGGUUUGAUCUGUUUGCAGAUAGUGCUAAUCUUGAUGCAAGAUAGAUGCACGGUCUGCAUGGAACGUACCAUAUGCUUAGAAAUUAAUUUGGACACACCCGAUAGAACUCCUUGAUGACGUGUGUCAUAUGGAAUCUCGCUUUGGUGUGCUUAGAGAUAGUAUUAGUUUUGGUGCAAGAUAUGUGCACGGUUUGCACCUAAUGCACCAAAGUCUAAAAAACCAUUUUGGAAGCAUCUGUUGGUACUCCUAGGUGAAGAGGCUCAAGUGGAGGCUUUGUUCGGUCUGUUUAGAGAUAAUGCUAAUGUUGAUGCAAGAUAGGUGCACUUGCAUGGAACAUACCAUAUGCUCAGAAAUAUAUUUGGAUGCACCAGAUGGAACUCCUAGAUGACAUGUGUCAUAUGGAAUCUCACUUCGGUCCGUUUAGAGACUGUGUUAGUUUCGGUGCAAGAUAAGUGCACGGUUUGCACCUAAUGCACCAUAGGAUAAGAAGACAUUUUGGACACACCCAAUGGUACUCCGAGGUCAAGGGGCUCAACUGAAAGCUCGGUUUGGUCUGUUUGGAGAUAGUGCUAAUCUUGAUGCAAGACAGAUGCACGGUUUGUAUGGAACAUACGAUAUGCUCAGAAAUCAAUUAGGACACACCUGAUAUAACUCCUUGAUGAUGUGUGUCACAUGGAAUCUUGGUUCGAUUCGUUUAGAGACAGUGUUAGCUUUGGUAUAAGAUAUGUGCACGGUUUACGCCUAAUGCACCAUAGGCUAAGAAACCAUUUUAGACACACCCGAUGGUACUCGUAGUUGAAGAGGCUCAAGUGGAGGCUCGAUUUGGUCUGUUCGGAUAUAGUGCUAAUCUUGAUGCAACAUAGUUGCACAGUUUGCAUGGAACGUACCAUAUGUUAAGAAAUCAAUUUGGACAUACCAUAUGCUCAGAAAUAUAUUUGGAUGCACCAGAUGGAACUCCUAGAUGACGUGUGUCAUAUGGAAUCUCGCUUUGGUCUGUUUGGAGACAAUGUUAGUUUUGGUGUAAGAUAGGUGCAUAGUUUGUGCCUAAUGCACCAUAGUCUAAGAAACCAUAUGAAGAGGCUCAAGUGGAAGCUCGGUUCCGUCUAUAUGGAGAUAGUGCUAAUCUUGAUGCAAGAUAGGUGCACGGUUUGCAUGGAACAUACCAUAUGCUUGGAAAUCAAUUUGUAUGCACCCGAUGGAAGUCCUUGAUGACCUGUGUCAUAUGGAAUCUCGAUUUGGUCUGUUUAGAGACAGUGUUAGUUUCGGUACAAGAUAUGUGCAUGGUUUGCGCCUAAUGCACCAUAGUUUAAGAAACCAUUUUGGAAGCACUUGUUGGUAGAUCGGUGAAGAGGCUCUACUAGAAGCUCGGUUUGAUCUGUUUGGAGAUAGUGCUGAACUUAAUGCAAGAUAGAUGCACGGUCUGCAUGGAACAUACCAUAUGCUUAGAAAUUAAUUUGGACACAAACAAUAGAACUCCUUGAUGACGUGUGUCAUAUGGAAUCUUGCUUCGGUUCGUUUGUCGACAUUGUAAGUUUUAGUGCAAGAUAGGUGCAUAGUUUGCGCCUUAUGCACCAUAGUCUAAGAAACCAUUUUGGACGCACUGUUUGGUACUCCUUGGUGAAGAGGCUCAAGUGGAAGCUUGGUUCGGUCAGUUUGGAGAUAGUGCUAAUUGUAACACCCUAGUGUUAUGGUUGCAUCAAUCACAUGCAUAACAUGAGCAUUAUCAUCUACUCAAGCAUAGCAUGAUCAUCAUCUACCUUGAGCCAUUUCAUUUUAUGCUUAAGUGUGCUUUAACUUGUUUAAUCAUGUUUCCUUUGCUUGUGUUGGUGUGUACCAUGCUUAUAUUUGUGUGCUAUGUCUUGGUAAUUAGCUUAUCUAUGCUUAACUCAACCUUAGGAACAAUGUUCAUGUUGAUCACUUCUCCAAAAUAAUUACUUAAGUCAUACUUACAAGUAUAGGCCCUAGAAACCUCUUUUGCUUAGGCUUUUAAAAAGUGUUUCAUAAAAUGUUUGCAUGUCAAAACUUUCUACAGCAAAGUUGUAGCAAAUUUUAUAAGGAACAAAAGUUGUUUUAUGGCCAUCUCAUAAACAUGAACACAACUAGCUCAAAAGUGACCCACAAGGCAGGAUUGGGGGCCGUUUCCAACACUUAGAAAAAUUUUCUAAGUCUGGGGAUGCUGCAGUUUGCUUGAUUGAUUUUGAAAACUUCAUAUCUUUCAAACCAGGCCGAUCUAGCUCUUGCUCUAGUUGACAAUGUGGUAUAACUCAGCUAGUACUCCAACUUUGUCAACUACACCAUCUCCUAAUUCGUUUUGGUUUUGGAGAUAAUCGUUGUCAAAGUAGCUGUGUCAGUCGGUCAUCGUUUUGUCUGAAUCAGACUCGAGCUCGCCGUCGUGGUCACCCGGCGCGACACCUGUCCGCCAUUUGUCGCCCGUACGCCGGCAUUGGCCCCGCCCGUCAGGCCGUCGGUGUCGUCAUGGACGCCACGACACACCGCACUCACUCAGCGCCUGUCCAUUCUCUCCCUGUCUCUCUCUCGCGCUCCGCCUGGCGAAAACGCCGUCGCCAUUGCCGCCGUGAGCUUCGCGAGCUCCUCGCGCCCUCGCCUCUGCGUUUCGCCUCGCCUCCGAGCGUCUCCGAGCCCGCCUCGAGCUCCUCCAUCUCCUCCGCCUCUCGGCUAGACGAGAUCUUCCCUAGGUAAGCGACAUUUCGCGAGUUCGUCGUCGUCGGGUUCGCGGCCGUCGCGACACCGAUUCCGGCGAACCUUGCCGCUGCUCCGUUCUCGCCUCCUUUCUUCCUUUUGAGUCGCGUUAAGGUUUGCUUAGGUCUUGGCGUCGGUUCACGCCACGCCAUUCUGGCUGAAACACCAUCGUCGUGCGGGAACACGGCUGCCGCACCGCCGUGCUCACCGCCGACGAGCACCUCGCACGUAAGCAGACUCACCGGAGUCAUUAGGGUUAGGCGUUUCUACCUAGAAAGCUCCGCGCUAGCUCACUGAUGCUUAAGCCACCCUUCCCCGACGCUCUACCGGUCGGAGGUGGCCGGCGUAAGCCGGGGUAGCUCCGCCGUGCCGGCAUGGCCGACGGCGACCCCUCUCCGUUACUAGAACCCUAGCGCCACCUACCUCCAUCGAUGCGGAAUCACUCUAGGAUCACGCUGGUGCCCUUGGAUCCGCUGGAGAAGCUCACCGUCGGCGAGCAUUCACCGACGAAGGCGUCCUCUGUUCUUUGGGUGGCUGACGCGCGGGACCCGCUGUCAGUGACUCAACGGUCUUCUCCUUUCUUUUGUUCAAAUCCAGAUUUUUAGCUUUCUUACAAAAAUCAUAUCUCCUGUUUCUGAGAUCCAAAAAUUGUGAAACCAAUUAUGUGAGAUUCCUUAAGAUGGCUAUUGUUUUGUAAAAAUAUAAAAUGAACCAUGUUUUCUGGGAAAAAUAUUUAUUAGGAUUUAAUCUUAUUAUUUAUGAGUGAAUUCAUAUCUCUUGUUAUACUGCUCAUCUGGCUAUGAAAUUUUUAUGGUAGUCUCUAAGUGGUAUGAGAAUGCAAUGACAAAUAUUUCAUGAUUUUUGGAGUACUACAUCUGUGAUAUAUAAUUCAUGAUUGAGAUAUGGCUUGUUUUCUUAAUUAAAUCAUAGUAAAUAAUUGAUGCUUAUGCUGGUGCUCUACUUUGGUGUCACACUUCUUUAUGGUAAUAGUAGUAUGUAAAUAAUCUGAAAUCUGUUGUUUGACACUAAAUAAGCCACGUUUCUGAAUUUAUGAAAUAAACACCUUGUCACAUGUUAAAUGCUUAUCUCAAUUUUGGCAUGUGCAAUUUCUCUGAAAAUUUUAUGGUAAGGUAUAGAUGCUAUGCUUGUGCUUCUGUAAUUUUUGUAGAUUUUUCUAAGCACCUUUGCUGGUAUCUUGUAAUAAUGCUCUUUUAUAGAAUUAAAUUGAUAAAUGCUUUAUUAGUUAAUAUCUAGGGGUUAACAAAUGAUGUUCUAGUUGUCUUAUGAUAUGCUUGUGCUUGUAAGCCAUUUGGCUGGUACUAGAUGUGUUUUGGUUAUGUCAUCAAAUAAUUAAUUAGAGGGUUAAGAGCUGCCCUGGACAGCAAGGGGGUAAUCUAACCUUUACAUGUUGAUAACUUGGUUUGCUGGAAGACUUGUCUAAAUCAAAGUUGUUGUAAACUGUAUAAUCUAGCUGUGGUUUAAUUUUGGGAUCAUUUGGUUCAAUAAUUUGAAAGAUAUAGCUUAUCCAAGUUGGGUUCCAGAAAUAGGUGCUUUCUGUUUUCUGGGACAGAACCUGGAACUUUGUUUAUAUGACUUGUUUAACUUAUGAAUCUUGCUGUGAUGUUUAAAGAUGAGUUGUAGACAAUUUCAUAAGCUUUUAACUUAAGAGGAGUUGUGAUGAAACCCUUGCUGCAUGUUACUCAAUCCUUGUCCAGAUAUCUUACCACUACCUGGUUAUAGAGUUAGGAUCGAGUAGCAGCUUAGUCAUGCUUUAAUCGGUAGAAGUCGGGUGAUAUCCUGUCACCUGCGCGAGAUAGGGUUGAGUCGGAUCACGAUUGUCUAUAUGUGCUAUCGUGUAAAGAAUCUGAUUAAAUUGACAUAAGCCGGGUGGAGUUUUGCAAGGUUGUAGUAACUCCGUCUGUGGCAGCUAAGGACCGACCGUUGUACGUCCUCUUGUCAUUUUGAACGCAUGCCUAACACUUAGUUGGCCGGAUAACUCGUUCCGACCGCGAAGCCUAGUAGUAUGACUCAGGCCGGAAGACCGGCAAGUAUAAAGUGCGCACUACCAGAGGAAGUGCGGUGUGCGGGGGACCAUUGGCGUAAGACCAAAGGAAGGUGAGUUAAAAUUCCUGACCUCCCUGGCAGAGUGGUAGCCCUGGGAGUGCGGCGCUGAUCGGAGCCGCGAUUCCUGAGUCGUACCAAAGGUGACCCGUUGGCUCUCCGACGAGGGAUGCUUGGGUGAGUACUAGGAAUAACCCUCCAGCUGGAUAGGAAUCGAUUCGAAUCGGCGUCUCUCCCGGAUAGUGAGAACUUGACAGAGCAGCGGCAAACGUAGCAUUCACUAAAGGACAAUGGUUCAUAAUAAUGAUGAUAGCAAGGAAGAGCAUAUGAUGAACAUGAUAUGGUUAUUAUUGCUUGUAAUAAUCAAGUGAUGUGUUUAGUAUAGGUGCUAAUCUAGUGAUAGGCUAAUAAUGAUUAAUAUGAUGCUUUUACAAUAAUAUAGCUAUCAGUUAAGCUUUUGGCAAUUGUUAAGUCAAACCAGCUCCACUAUAUACUUAGCCUUGCAUGAUCCUUGGUGUCUUUUAUGUUUUACUAGACGGGUAAGUCUAGCUGAGUACAUCCUCGUACUCAGGGUUUAUUCCCACCUAUUGUAGAUGAUAUCUUUUAUGAUGGCUUCUGCAAGACCUGUCUCCAUCCCGCUGGGGAUGAGGACUAAACCGUUGGGCACGGUUCUCUAACUACUUCGUACCUGUUGCUUUUGGAUGGAUGGCAUGAGACCCUGGCUGAACAUGAACUUGUGAAAUGAACUUUGGAAAGUGUGUGUAACUAUUUUGCUUCCACUACUACAAACAUGUGUUUUAAUAACUAAGUAACUCCGAUGUGGUGCCGCUUCGACGGCAUUGAGUGACUAUGUAACAUUCGCUGUGUUAUGUUCAACUAUUACGAUCUUGGUUUGUUGCAAGUUGGUUUGAAGUCCUUCGUGAUUUCAGUGGACUACCGGGAUUAUAUGGGCUCAAGUUUGGAAACUUGAUUGCUUGCCGAUCGUUUCUACACUUGAACUCUUAUAAUUUGGUCAGUUCUGUGACAGCUGGCAUCAGAGCAAGUUCAGCAUUAUAAAUGCAGCGUUUGUGUAUUUUAAAACAAAAGAGUUUUUAAAUAACAUUGUGAAAAUCAAUAUUGAAGUUAUGCCAGUGGUUGAAUCCUCCUUGCCCAUAUAAGGACUAUAGGUGGCUAUUUAAGUACUGACUUGGGGGGGGGUUUAUUUUAUGCAUCUCCGGCAGUACUCAGGUAUGGAUGUGUGAUGACCGCACUAUGCUACCCUGUGGUCUAAUGGUAGAGGUAGCCUUCAUAUGUGAAUUAGCCACAUAUGUCGCUAGAUUUAAAUUAUACAAUGUCGCACCUACGAUCUGGUAAGUGUGAGCUGUGAGAGCAUGAUCGUCCAAAUGGCGGUCUAGGGGAGUGUUCGCGGUGGUUUUCUGGAGUGGUUACAUGUCUGACCUUGGAACCACGAAAGAAACUUAAUUGGGGAGCAUUUAAUUUCUCGGGUAGUUGUGGUGUCAUUGUUUGUGCAUGUGGGGCAAGUCCAAGCAAUGUGCACUUAGUUUACUGCUUUCUUGAGUGAUAUAUUGGGAACUGUUAGGCUGCAAUGAAGUUUUCUGCAGGUACUCUAAUAGCGCACGUGUAAAUCGAUAGUUAUCGUAUCGAGAGACGAAUGUAUGCCUGUAACAUCCCCGAUGUUACGGUUACUAAAAACGGAUCAUGUCAUCAUGAGCAUUGCAAAUCAUAUUUGUUAAGCAUAUUAGUAUGCAUCAACUUAAAACCAGUUUACUUUGAUUGCUUGAGCUUAGGGAGGUAGAGUGUGCUUAUGUGGUGUGUUGAUGCUUGUGUGGUUGCUAAACCCUAGGGUGGAAAUUUUCCGAAAAGCUAAGGGGGGAAAACCCUGAUUUCUGGAUCCUAGAUUUGCCCCCUUUUGCAUAAGUCAAAAACUAAGCAAAAUUUGAGGUUGAGUUCAAAAGCAAAGUUGUAGCUCUUGGCAAGAUGUACAACUUUGGUGUUUUGAGUUUUUGAAGUUUCAAUACAAAAUUCAAAGUAAUUUUGAAAAUACAGAUUUCCGAAAAGUGUCCCCUUUUCCAAAUUAAACCUCCAAUUCAAAAUCCAUUGGGAAUUUUAAAAAGUGGUCAAGACGAAAGUUGUAGAGCACAAAAAGUUGAGCAACUUUCAUGUUGGGAGUUUUUCAAGUUGUUUAGGAAAAACAAAAGUAAUUUUGGAAAUUCUAAUCUGCCCCAAUGCAAAAAUUUGAAUCCUCUCAAAUUGAAUUUUGAUUUCCAAACUGUUUUGGCCAAAUUCACCCUGUUACACUCAAAAUCAGCUCUGGUCACCGAAAUAUGUUGUGUAGCUUAUAAAAUUUGGAACAACUUUUGUUUUGACACAAAUUUGACUCCAGUUCAAAUUUCAGUCGAAAUUUGCAAAACCCCAAACUGAGUGGAUAUGCACUGCUACAGUGAUCGGCAGGGGGGGUGCUCUACCGCCGGGGCAGAGCCGCCUCCGCGCGCGACGCCACGCAGCUGGCCACGCAGCUGCUUGCUGCUGUGCUUCGCGUGGACGUCCUCAUCCGCGAACCGCCUUCUGUCGUGGGGAUAAAGCCCCGAGUGGCCGGAGUCCCCUCUUUCUUUUCUUGAACCCCGACGCCGACGAGUUUCCUGCGCCGACCAAAUUCGCCUCACCCGUUGCCAUUCCAAGCCAUUUGAGCACCCCAGCAGCUCCGCCUUGAGCCCCGCCACCGUUUGCACCCCUAAACGCACGCUCUAUCCUACCGUAGCUCCCACCCGAGCCGUUUCCCUUCUCAACUCCGGCCGAGCGCCACCGCAAGCACGUCAUCAUGGCCAGCGUCAACCAGAGCCUCUCUGCUGCCGCUUCUUGCUCGGUUGAAGUUGUGGUGAGCCCCUGGUGCUUUUGCGCUGCUCAAGUCACGCUCUACUCGCUCGUAGUGGCCGGCGUUUGCUCGGCCGAGACGGCCGUCCGUCGUGCCCGUGGUCACAGGGGUUAGGAUAGAGGAGAGUGGGAGAAAAGGGUGCCCCUGGGUGCGCGGGAGGUCGAGGAAGCUAACGCGUCUCACCGCGGAGGCCGAGAGCUCGCCGACGGCUCACUGGAGCUCGCCGGAGCCGCGGCGCUAGGAAGGAGACGGAGCUGACGGGCGGGACCCGCCCGUCAGCGACCGCGUGAGAGAGAGAGGGAGAGGGCGCUGAGCGCGGGAGAGCUCGCGGGCCGUCUUGGGCCGGGUCCGAGCAGGCCGCCAGCACUGCACAGUGCACUUUUCUUUUUCCUUUUUGUUUAAAAAUGUUUGAUAUUUGAAUUUAAAUAUUGAAUUGUGUAGUGGUCCAAAAAUAGUGAAACUUUUUGGGUAGGUUCCAGAAAAUGUAUAGAGCCUAGGAAAAAUAUUAGAAUUUAUUUCUCUGAUAGUUUGCAUGUCUAUAAAAAUUGGCUCUUUAAUUAGUGAAUAAAACUUCUAGGAAUUUUAGUAAUUUAUUAGGAGGUCCAAAAAUCACCAAAAAUUGUGGAGAGCCUCUGAGUGGUAUUCCCUGGCUCCACACAAAAUUUGGUGGCAUUUGGAUAAUAUUUGAUUAAAACAUUAAUAAAUCCUUAUUUAGCACUUAAAUAAUAAUUCCAAAAUAAUUAUAUAGUGAUUAGUUAAAUCCUCAUAAUUAGGGUUGAGUGAUUUUGGGAUUUUGUGAUGACCUGAGGUCAUUAACCCUAAUGACCUUUGGCAUUUAAAUAUUGUUUGGCCUUAUGCUUAAUUACUGUCAUUGAUGAUUAAUUAAGAGUUAAUUGAGGUAAAUAGGAUUAAUAAUUAGUUAAUUCAGAAUAAUUAUGAAUUAAAUAAAGUCUUAGUUUACAGAUGCAACCUCUUGGGUAAAGACACUAAGUUGUUAAACAACUUUAUUUAUUAUUUAUUCUGUAAUGCACCAAGAAGGCAAGUUAUGCUCGACUUAGUCCUUCUUGCACAUUUGUCAUAUGCAUAUCACGAGCAUUCAUCAUCUUGCGUAUAGUGCACCUGACCGAAGGAGCACCCGUUGAACCGAACCCCGAGGUCGGUGCUCCGUUCGAGGAAGUCGGAUCCGAGACUUGGGAAGUCUCCGAGGGUCCCUCUCUGCCCUGCAACCAAGGCAAGCCCCGGAUGCAUUACCCCUCCUUGAAUGUUUUAAAUCUUUUAUCACUUAUGAAUUGAAAAUGCUGCAUUAGAUAGUUGAGAAUUGGGUGAACCUACUUGCUGCAUUUACUACCUUGAUAUUUGUUAUCUUGUCCUUGGCACCUGUUUUACUUUAAAAACUGCGUAGGGAUGCUUAGCCCUGCUACUAGAUAGGUUUCCAAUCAAAGUUUGAAGGGUUGUUGUGGAAUACACUUAUGAUCAAUGAUGUUUCAAUUUGAGACCGGUCAGUGGACUUGCUUUAAGAAUGGAAUCUUAAAGUAGUGUCUCCAACUGUGUCGAUUAAGGACCGUUCCGUUGAUGGCCUGCUGGGUUGAGAAUUUAUAGUACUAACCACUUGCCCUCGGUAAGCCCGGUCUUGUGAUCCCUCGACGCGAACAGCUACUCGCGCACUGGGAGUGGAAAGAUGGCGAGAGUAGUGUGUACCCACCUUACGGAUCUGAGAUGACCGGAAAACAUCUAGAUCGGCUGUAGGAUGGUGGAGUACUGUGCUCUCGGGUGCCGCGAACCUGGUCAAAUCUGGGGAGAGCCUGACUUGGGUUGGUAUAUGCAAGAUUUGGUUCUACAUAUGUCGGGUGGUUAGGAACUCCAGCUGGAUUGCUAAGCGAUUCGAAUCGUCGUUGCUCCCCGAUUGGGAGACUCAAUUCCGUCGACCCUCAUCGUAGUUAAAUAAGCAACUGAAUGAUAAAAUGAGAAAGGGGAAAAUGUCUCAUGAGGUUCGGAUCCCAAUUCCCGGACUCAUAGCGACAUGAAGCUAUGGCCAUCGAUAAAUAAUACUUGACGUUAGGAUUAGGAACUCCCGGAUUCGUCUGUGGGGUACAACUAGUUAAACUAUCCUCGAACUCCUCGGCCUCUGCGGGAGAGGAAUUCGCGGUUAAAACUUGAAAAUAAGGAUGCACUACUAGUAAGCUUUUAGCAAAACAUUUUGGCUCCUUGCUCAGCCACCCCUUGUCUACCCUAAGCCUGCAUCCCUAAGUUCUCCUCUUUUCCAUCGGGUAAGUCUUGUUGAGUACUCCCGUACUCAGGGUUUCAAUACCCCUGUUGCAGGUGAAGCACAUGAGCCGACUUGCUUCGGACCCUGUUGUGUGACCGUCGUCGAGGUUGACGACGAAGAAGAGUGAGCGUGACCCAUGGGCAGGGUCUGUAAAAUUGUACUGUCUGUACUAAAGUUUCAGUUGCUCCGCUGGACCAGGCUCGUAAUAACACUCUACUAUUUGGAAGAACUCCUUUUGUAAAUUAAGUUAUGUAAUACUUCCGCUGUUUUACUCUGAAAUAUUAUUUUAGUCUUGUGUCGUUGGAGUUACUGCUUUAUCUUCGCAACGAAUGAUCCUGGUGUUAAGGUGGCCACUUGCUAUCCUGUAAGGGCGAGAAGAAGAAGUUCUCGUUAAUUGACCAUCGCCAGUGGUCAGAACGAGCUUGCUUAAUACGCCACAGGUGGCGAUGGAAUGAGCGUCCUAAGAUGCUCAUCGGACUUCUAGAGUGGGAGGAUCCCCGGCAUCACCGUCAGAGGUCCUUAGGACAAUGACAGGUGUCGGUGGGCCCAAACACUUACGAGGUUCUGCCACAGCUGAUAUCAGAGCAUUCGUUGCUAAGAUGACUGUUGUAUCCUUUGAAAAACUUCAAAACCAUUUGGAUUCAAUACUGUAAAGUUGACUAAUUUGAGUCCAAGUGCUUUAGUCCUAUCUUACCCCUGUCUGUAGGCUUGUUAGAAUUUUUGAAGUGGUGUGGAGGAGCAACAUAAUGUAUUGCCCUAUGUUGUAAUGUCUUAAGUGAUAUCAUUAUGAAUUGCAAAUAGGAAUCGUAAGUACGUGCAUGCAUCAUGAUAUAUCACUUGGUUAAAUUCCUUCCUCUUUAAGUGGGUUGGGUUGUAUAGAAUCAAUCCCAUUCUUGCUAACCUCUAAGGUCUCCCUUACUAAUCCAAACUUACCCUCUACGGGAUGGGCCGUUGGAAACAGACUUCGCGCAAGAGGACUGGUCCUAAAGGGGUGCCUAGACACUAGUUGGCCCCGCGAAGCGAUCAAGCAAGCAGUAGUCGUUCACCAUCUCGGCAAGAGGUGGAAAGGUUGUCCGCCGAGCUAACCGAAGUAACGAGAGAAAGGAUGUACAAUGUCAUGGAUAUCGGUGAACUUAAAGCUCAACUAACAAAACAAAAACAAGCCACCGAGAACUGAGAGGCAAUGUUGUCCCGUAUGGUGGAAGAAAGGAAUGCCGCUAUUGCCCGAGAAGAGGAGGCUAGGAGCGCACACAGGCACGAGCUGACCAGAAUGAAGGCGAAGCUGGAUAAAACUAAGUACCUUAAAGAUCUGUACGUGAAGAUGGCGGCCACUGUCACCGCGCAGAGGGAUGUUGCGUGGCAGCGGGAAGACCAGCUACAGGUGGAGAAGCUCGAGCUGGCACAUCAUCUAGAUACCGUCAACGACUUGGCAAUGCAGUACCGUGAUAUUGCAUUCGACCAAUAUCAUCAGCUCCAUCCACCUCCAGGUGAAGGGGAGAUGGACACGGACGGAGAGUUGGCGGAUGAUGGGGAAUCCGACCAAGACCUGAGUGACGAGGAGGAAUCCGACUCCGGUGACGAUAACCCGGGGGGUAACCAUGACGAUGGCAAUGACGACCCGGGCUACGGCUCUGACCACACCGACUAGUUCGGUGAAGUCGCGGGCAACGUCGUUGUAGGAUUUCUAGUCUACCGUAGUGGGGUCGGGUCUGUAGUAUCGAGUUUUCUUUCAGUUUAAGAAGUUGUACUCGUUUGUUUUCAGUGUGUUGAACUGAUGUUUGAUAAAUAAAUGGAAGUAUGUAAGAUAUGUCUUAAGUUAUGGAUUCCAUGUGGUAACAAGUACCUAUGAUUCUUGUAGUCGAUGCCGAUGCGUACUCGUGGAUCUGAUGGAGCCGGGUCCUCUCUGGGAGGGGAUGACAUCCCCAACCCUCCACCUGCUCCACCUUCCCUGGCUGAUGCCAUUGCUGUUCUUUUGAGUGCCACUACCGACAACGCUCGCUUGUUGCGCAAGUUAGCACAACGCCAACCACACCCUGCCCCAAACUUCAGAGCACAGCACAAUGGGGAGGGAGAAACUCGGUACGUGGACUUUACCGAGACAAGGCCCCCGGUAUUCACCAAGGCUGAUGAGCCGUUAGAGGCCGACGACUGGCUCCGGACCAUGGAGCACAAGUUCAAUCUGAUCCGAUGUUCGGAAACUCAGAAGCCCAUGUUCGCAGCUCAACAGCUUCGGGGAGCUGCGGGUGCCUAGUGGGAGAAUUUUCUAGCUAUCCAAGAUCCAGGGCACCAGGUCACCUGGACAGAGUUUAAGGACGCGUUCCACGCCCAUUAUAUCCCUGAAGGGCUUAUGGCCAUGAAGGCCGAAGAAUUUCUCGCCUUGCAGCAAGGCGAUAAGAGUGUCAUGGAAUACGUGGCAAAAUGUAAUCAUCUUUCUCAGUAUGCCACAGACCAUGUGAACACGGAUAGAAAGAAGAAGGCCUGCUUCAUGCGUGGUCUCAAUACCAAACUUCAGACCAUGAUGACCACAUGUGAAAAUGCAACUUUCUACGAGGCGGUAAAUAUUGCCAUCGCCUUGGAAGAAAAGAAUAGAAAACACAAAGAAGCCAAGAAGAAGGCUGCUUCUUCCUCCUUCUCUGGUCGCGGUCAAAAGCGCCAGAGAAUCAUUUAUCAUCCACAAGGACACGGACGCUUUCCAGCGCUGUCACCUUAUCGUGGUCCUUUUCCCCCUCCACAAUAUAGACCAGGGCAGCAGGUAUAUCCUUGACCAACUGCCAUCGCCACUGCACCACGCCAGCCGAACGCCCCAAGUGUUCGCCCCACUGCUCCGCCCAACCACAAUUAUCCUUGUUUCAAUUGUGGUAAGCCUGAGCAUUUUUCUAAAGAAUGCCCCUACCCCGCCAAACCAACCCCACUUUCCAAAGGCCACCCAUUGGCCAACCCCAGCCGAGCCAAUUUAGGACUGGGGCUUAGAAAGGACAACAUGUGCAAAGGGGUAAACCCGUAAAGAAAACAGGACAAGUCUUCCAUACAGAGGUGGAGAUGAUACCGGAAGGAGAACUGGUAAUGAUGGGUACGUUUCCUGUUGCGAACCAUCCUACUUUAAUACUUUUCGAUUCUGGUGCAUCUCAUACAUUCAUCAACCGCACCUUUGUGAUAAAGCAUGGCAUACCCAUUGGGGAAACAAAAGAUCAUUUUUAUAUACAGUCGCCAGGAGGACGGCUGAGUUCUAAAGAAAUGGUUCACUAGAUACCCAUCGAAUUUGGUGGGCAUAGUUUUCCCACUAGCAUGAUUGUUCUUAAAGACCAGGAGAUUGAUGUCAUACUAGGCAUGAACUGGAUGGCACAACGAGGGCUUGUGCUAGACACUUUGCAUCGAACCAUCAAAAUACCCUUGCCCAAUGAGAAUUCUUACCUUCUAAUCCAGUUAGCUACUCCCAAACGGGCAAUUGGGCAGGUUCAUGCCACUAAGUUGGCUACAGUCAAAAAUAUCCCGGUGGUUCGGGAUUUUCCGGAUGUAUUUCCUGAGGAUCUACCAGGUCUGCCACAGGACCGGGAUGUCCAGUUCAGCAUAGAAUUGAAACCAGGGACAGCCCCAAUAUCUCGAAGGGCCUACCGAAUGGCACCGAAAGAACUGGCCGAAUUAAAAACCCAACUACAAGAGUUGUUGCAAAAAGGUUUUAUUCAGCCCAGUUCCUCUCCAUGGGGUUGCCCAGCCUUAUUUGUGAAAAAGAAAGAUCAAACAUUAAGGCUGUGUGUCGAUUAUCGUCCCCUGAAUGAGGUGACGAUUAAGAACAAGUACCCAUUGCCCCGUAUUGACUUACUAUUUGACCAGUUAGCCGGGGCCAAAGUAUUCUCAAAGAUUGAUUUGAGAUCAGGGUACCAUCAAAUCAAAAUCAGGCCGGAGGAUGUACCCAAAACGGCUUUUACAACCCGUUAUGGGCUGUACGAAUACUUGGUGAUGUCUUUUGGGUUGACCAAUGCACCGGCCCAUUUCAUGUACUUGAUGAACUCUGUCUUCAUGCCAAAGCUGGACAAAUUCGUGGUCGUCUUCAUUGAUGACAUUUUGAUCUAUUCCAAAACUAAGAAAGAACAUGCUGAACAUCUGAGAAUUAUGCUGACCCGUCUUAGGGAGCAUCAACUAUAUGCCAAGUUCAGCAAAUGUGAGUUCUGGCUGGACAAAGUCCAUUUCCUGGGUCAUGUAUUAUCAGUGGAGGGAGUCGCUGUAAACCCAGGUAAAGUAGAUGUGUUAAAUUGGAAGCCCCCGACUACGGUACAUGAGGUCCGUAGUUUUCUAGGUAUGGCGGGAUAUUACCGUCGCUUUAUCCCGGACUUUUCAAGAGUCGCUAAACCAAUCACGACCUUGCUCAAGAAUCAAACAAAAUUUGUUUGGUCACCUGAAUGUGAGCAAGCCUUCCAGACUCUGAAAAGAUUAUUGACAACUGCACCUGUCUUAGCCCAGCCAGAUAUUGAAAAACCAUUUGAUGUGUACUGUGACGCAUCAGGGAUAGCGAUAAGCUGUGUGCUAAUGCAGGAGGGUCGAGUAAUUGCAUAUGCUUCCAGACAGCUUAAACCACAUGAAGAGCAUUACCCGACCCAUGAUCUUGAACUACCCGCCGUAGUACAUGCAUUAAAGAUCUGGCGCCAUUAUCUGUUGGGGAACACAUGUCAUCUAUACACAGAUCACAAGAGCUUGAAGUACAUCUUUACUCAAGCUGAACUUAAUAUGCGCCAGCGAAGGUGGCUAGAAUUAAUCAAAGAUUACGACCUUGAGGUGCAUUAUCACCCUGGCAAGGCGAAUGUAGUAGCUGAUGCCCUCAGUCGUAAGGCUCACUGUAAUUGCUUAAUAGUGACGCCUAAAGAUAUAACUUUGUGCCAAGAGCUAGAGAACCUGGGGAUAGAAAUGAUUUCCCAAGGAAGCCUUGCCAAUCUAACGAUUGAUUUCAAUCUCGAAGCUCAAAGCAUAGAGGCACAAAAAGAAGACAAAGGCAUGAAAUAUCUUAAAGAGAAAAUUUCUAACAGAGCACCCACAGACUUUAAAGUGGAUGAUGCAGGCGUAAUCUGGUUCAAAAUCCGGUUAGUGGUUCCAAAGAUACCUGGGCUACGUCAGCAAAUCCUGGAGGAAGCUCAUACCACGAGAUAUUCUAUUCAUCCGGGAAGCAAUAAGAUGUAUCAGGACCUGAAGCAAAGGUUUUGGUGGACGAAAAUGAAGAUAGAAAUAGUCCGCUAUGUGGCCCAAUGCGACACAUGCCGAAAGGUCAAAGCUAUUCAUCUCAAAUCUGCUAGAGAGUUGCAACCUUUGCCUAUUCCAGCAUGGAAAUGUGAUGAUAUUAGCAUGGAUUUCAUAGUAGGAUUGCCCAAGACGACCAAAGGCUUCGAUUCUAUUUGGAAAAUUGUGGAUCGUCUCACCAAAACAGCACACUUCUUGCCUGUAAAGAUAUUAUAUCCUGCCUCCACUUAUGCUAAGAUUUAUUUUGACCAUAUACUAAGUCUGCAUGGGGUGCCAAAGGCAAUAGUGUCAGAUAGAGGCACACAAUUUGUCUCCCAGUUCUGGAAAUGCUUACAUGAAUCUUUGGGCACUAAGCUUUUAUACAGUUGUUGACGGUCCUUAAUGCUUAACCAUCAAUUAAUCAUAGAAAAGGAUCCAAAUGCAACCAACACCUAGACUUAGGGUUUUAUCUGACAGAAUUCCACAAGUUUUGGUGUUUGUCUAUUUCUGCAGGGGGUUAUCAGGAAAUAUGGAAGAAAGGCCCACACGUCGGGUUUACAUAGAGAUAUUAACGUGCUGCGCAAUUUUCUAUCAUCUAGAAGACUUCAGAAGCCACGGGACCGAAGCGGAAGCCGAGAGGCCUCAGGGACAGGGCGCCCGCCCUAGUCCUGAGGGCGCCCGCCCACCUCUUUCCACCAAUCAGGGUGAAGUUCGAGGAUCAUGCUCCACCGACCUAAUACUUCAAGGAAAACCACACAAUCAAUGUCGGUUUGAUCCGACGGCCCAGAUUCACUUGAAGGGACUAUAAAACCAGACCCCCCUGGCCCCUAGAGAUCAUACCUCUUCUACAGAAUGAAAGUUAGGGUUUCAAUUCUUCAUCCAAGUAGAGAGGAUCCCUCUAGUUCAUCUAGAUCUAGCUCUAGUUCAUCUAGUUCUAGUUCUAGUUCCUCUAGUUCUAGUUCUAGUUAGUUCUAGUUGUAAUCUAGAAAAUAGGGAGAGAGAAGAGGAGAGCGGAGGAGGAGCCGGAUCUGUCGGAUCUUCCUCAACAUUAUACUUUUGCAGCAUCUGGUUCGUUCUCCAGGUUCUUCAAUUCAUAUCUCCUGAGUUCUCUAAUUACUUUUAUUUACAUUCAAGUUAUUUAUUGGAUUCCCGCUUGCAUCAAGUGCUCUAGUCUUUAUAACGCUAGAGUAGUAAUUAAUAGAUUAGACGUGGUGUUUAGUCUUGCGAUUACCUGGAAUUGCACCCAAUCCUGCGGAUUGUUGUGGUAGCCUUAGGGUAGUGACAGCUCUAAUGGUCGACGUAUUCCACCACGUUCGGAUCGGUGUUUGUAGGACCGUAGUCAGACCUUUCUAGGCCCCUUCUCAUCUCUUUCUGUGGUUAGUGCUCUGAUGUCCCGAUAUAGAUAGUCUUGAAGUAAUUCUUGAUUCUUAGAUCAACUAGAGAACUCUCAGGAAACUUCCUCUCUUCCCACCAAAAAUAAUUAUGUAGUUAUCCUUGGGCGAUCUUGAUUCUUAAUUAGUACACUCACGUUCUCUGUGGAAAAUCGAUACUCUGGAAUACUCCUGGGUGAAAGCUACAUCGGUAUCCGUGCGCUUGCGGAUUUUUCUGUUUGCGUUUAAAAUACCCAACAAGCUUUCUGGCGCCGUUGUCGGGGAACGGUAGCUGUGCUAGUUUCGAACCAAGUCGUCCGUGUAUCCUUUUUCUUUUCCUUUUUUACCACACUGACCUUACCAUUUUUACCAUACCACAUGGAUUUCACUCUAAGCAUUAAUGAGCAUGGAAUUUAUUUCAUAGCCACUUCAUUUACUCCAUGCUCAUAUGCAACAUCUUCACAAUCCAUUGGUUUUUCCAACAUCACCGCAUUCGAGAUCUCCAACCCCCUCAUCCUUUCUAUUUAUAAAAACUUUAAAAGGGCGGUUGUCGAUGCAUAUGUCUAUAUUAAAUAUUGCAGAUCUCGUUGAGUUGAUCUUGAUAUAGGUCAGCGUUGGAGGGGAAACCACUUCGCCGACAUAAAUUGAUGGUUUCCCAAGGACAAGCUUAGUGUCCUAAAAUAAGCACUGAUCAGAUUGUAACAUGAGCUUUUAAUUAUUUGCAACAUUACCUUAUGUGUUGAGCAUAUAAAGAUAAUUGUAGAAAAAUUCCUUCGGGUAUUCUUGUCACUAACCUUUCUAGGAUUGGAGCAAGAAGAUCGGAUGAAUGACAAGCACAAGGUAUGUUCAACCAAUCAUCAUACAACAUUGAAUUAAAUUCAUCCAAACUUGAAUUUUGCUAAAUUCAAGCUUGGGGGAGUACUUUAUAUAAAAACAUCCUUUGCCAUGUUGCUAUGUUGGUUGUCCCUACCUUUGAGACAUGCUCAAUUUGUUAAAUAGUAAUCACACUACUUCAUCUCCACUUGAGUAGAUCUCUAUAAAAGCCAACACGCUACCUUUGUUUGUCCUAGUAAGUGUUAGUUUCGAAGUACUGUACAUACUUCUAUUGGUUUUUAAAUUAAGCAUGGUGCUUAGGUUAAACAACCUUCCUUAAUCUAAUUAGACAUGGAGUCUAGUUUGGUUAUUGAACUAAAAACUGCUUGUGUAGACAUUGGAUAUUUUGUUGGACUAACCCCUGCAGGAAAACUUUCAAUAUCGACCUGGGAAGUUCUGAGAUAAACUCACAUUGGAGACAAAGAGAGAGACACAUGAAGGUUAACAAUUUACACAAGGAAUGCAUAGCUCACAAGAGAUGAUCCAUGGAGGGUGCCACAAACACGAUGCACAACCACUAAGAAAGGAAAGCUUCCACAAGGUGAUACUGUACCAUCACUCUUCAAGUAAGGUGACAUCUUAAAGUACUUGACUAUAACUUUUAUAAGCUUCUCCUUGGUUCUGACGUUUACAUGAAUAAAAGAGACAAACAUGUAUGAUUUAUAACUCUAGAUUAACCAACCCAAUUGAUUCAAUAUGUUUAGUCCUUCCACCUUUGUGAUCCCACACUCCUAAUCAUAUGAGCUAAAAUGUUGCACAUUCAAUCUUUGGAAGAUAUAUAUAAAAGAAACAACAUAAAUAUAGAUAGAUUAUCUUUCCAUUAGGUUGAGCGAUCUGAUCUGACAAAUGUUUUAAAUGCUACACUCAUGAUCUUAUUAUCCAUCAACUUUGUCUUGCUCACUAUGCUUAAGGAUAGAGAAGAACAAAUACACUUUUGGUUCUGUUGGUGUUUUCCACCAACAGGGCCCAUGCACUUGAUCUCUACCUUGUCUCUAUGAGUAGGUACACUUUGAGCAAAAUAUGAAGGAGUUUUAUAACUUCCAGACUCCACCAAAGUGAAGAACCUAGAUCUAUGAGCACAAACACGCUGGAGAUACUAGACACUCAUGCAAACACUGCCCUGAGAUGCUUGAGGAUGUAACUACUGGAGUAACCCCGUUGUGGAAGUAAUUACUGACCUUCUGCCGGUCAAGAGAGACAAUCUAGGACGCCCCAUCAUCCCGAUCUCCUUCGGCAUGGUGGACUUCCUAGAAGCACUCUGCGACUUUGGCUCCAGUGUCAACAUUAUUCCCAGGACUUCGUAGAGACUAGUAGUGAUGAGAGGGCACCCAUCAUCCUAGGGAGACCAUUCCUGAACACCUCGGGAGCUAUCAUCUACGCUAGUGCUGCCAAGAUCAGUUUCUACAUCAAGGGGAGGAAGGAGACGUUUUCCUUCAAGAACAAGACUACACAAAUCUCAGAGCAAUCCCGACAUGAACCAAGAAAGAGGACCAACAGGAGGAAUAGGAACAAAAAAAUAUAGACCAAGUCAGCUAAGAUGGUCACUGCAAUUCAAGGAGGUCAAGAUCGUCGACUUAAGUGACCGUUCCUGACCAAGAAGGACGACCCUGGUGUUCCAAGCAUCGAGUGCACAAUCAACGGAUAUUCUUUUCAGAAGACACUCUACGACACCGGAUCUGACGUCAACAAAAUGGCCGCAGUCACUUAUCAGCUCCUGCAUGGAACCAUGCCCCUACAACCAACAUACAUUCAGCUCUAGAUGAUUUUAAGGUUAUUGACAUGGGAGAAGACGAGUACAAUCCACCCAUCACCAUUGGAAGACCGUUCCUCAGCACCGUUAAAGCAAUCAUCUACAUUGGAACUGGAGAAGUCCACAUGCAUUUCCCCUUUGAGAAGGUACGCCGCUAUUUUAUUGACCCUAACUAUAUAGUUGAAGACUCUAAGCAGGUCAGGACAAGAAGAAGACGACGCAACCGUAACCAGAGGAGGAAAAUCAUAAAGGACGGAUGGGCAGAGUACGAAGGAGAAGUGCACCAAGGCAGGUGUGGAGAAAGAAGAUAGUUAUAUAUGAAGAGUACGCGCCGCCGGAACCACCGACUACGCCAUCCAGCGAAUUCCAGGAUGAUUGAGAAAACGGAGAAUCCUAUUCGGAGGACUUAAAGACACCGAACGCCUUGCUAAGAGGUAAACUUGGUAGUUAUCUUUUUCCUUUCAACUAUUUAAAAUAGUUUGCUUCGUUAAUCAGGUUCAUAUCAUCUUGAAAAGAAAAUAAAAAUGUUGAAGAUAGUAAGCCCCAUGUGAGUAUGCUCAUGACAUAAAACCCAUAAGUACAUUCACUGUGGUGGCAUAAAAAUGAAAUAAAUAUAUUCCUGUCCUAUAAAAAUAAAAUUAUAAAAAUAAAAUUAUGAUCCUACUAAUGAGUAACAUUUAUUGAGGAGGCUCAACAUGAUAAAGGCUAGAUAUUUAUGCUAACACUUAACUAGUUCCACAAAGCUUUGUUGUCUAUUUGAGCUCCACAGAAUUCAAGGAUCAAAGAAGACUAGCAGACGGAGGACAUCCUAAUCGCGGUCAGGGUGCUGCCGACAUUCAAAUACACCUCCACCACCUGCUAGCUACAUCAGAAGAAAUUGCGUCAAAAUCCAGCUUGGGGGAGAGCACCCCCAUUUAUCCAGCUAAGUGUUUCUACUCACGUUUAUACUUUACUCAAAUAAUAAAAAGAUGCAUAAUCAUAAAAACCCAAAUAAAGAUUUUGUGCUUAUAUAUAUAUAUAUCUCUGCUUAGUUUGCUAAAUAAAUAAAUAAAUAAAGUUUGCUAUGAACCCUCAUGAUAAGCUCUCACAUGGAAAUGAUGAGUAGUUGCUCUACCAUGAUUAGUUCUAAAAAUUGAAAUCUCUCUCAAGUUGAGGCCUGGCUGUUAUUAAUUUGCUCUAAACCUUAACUUGUGGGAAGAGUACUUGAUCUGAAGUCUAAGUCGUUAACGGAUACGAUAUGGGAAGGUUGAGCUGCUGUUUAUCUGUUCCUAGAGAUGCUAGAAUUCUGGAGAAUUUAAUCUUUGAAAAUCUUUAAAAUGUUGCAUGAUGAGUUCCUGUAUGAUGAGAGUUUAAAUUCCUACCACAGCCAUAUAUACAUGCUUGCUAGACUUUGAGCCACACAUUUACUUUUUACUGCUUAUGAGCAUUGAGUGUGGUCAAGCUGUGUAGACCCUUAGGAGCUUAUCAUGUGGUUAAGUCAAUAUUCACUUGCACGUUCACUCAUACAUGUUGCUUCUACUCCGGAAGUACCAUCCACAUAUACCCAUUUCCAUCUCCAGAACCACCCAAAAAUAUUCUACUCCUAAUCCGGGAGAGAAUAGCCAAAAAUAUUUCUGUUUUUCCCCUGUGAAAUAAAUGCUCAAGUUAUCUUGUUACUACCACUUGCUAUAUUAUCUCAUGAGAUGAGUGCUCUAAAAAAAGAAAAAAAAUAUAUAUACGAGGAAAUAAAAAGGGGCAAGUGCCCGGAACCUCGAAGAAAAGAAAAAGUGAGACGAGAGGUAAAAAUGGACAAGUGUCCGAUAGUAGAAUUAGGGGUACAAGAUACCCACCUGAGAGAAAAGAAAAAGAAAACAUAGAGCAUCUCAUUCUCCUCAAAAAGUUUCAAAAGAGCAAGAAAGGUAUGUAUCCGUUCAAAAGAGCACAAGUAGAAUUAAACGUUCAUCAUUGUUAUCACCAUCAUCACCAUACACCAUUCAUUCGCCACACAUGCACAUCUUGAUUUGACUUAUUGACUUGUUCUUCUGGAUCCAUGGUUUGACUAUGCAAUAAAUGUCUUGUAAGUAUGUAUUAGCUAUCUCCCACCUAUGAGCUCCAGAUAUCAAAACCCUAUUAGAGUAGGGUGAGAGAGAAGGCAAUGCCACUAUGCCUUAUACCACAAAUACCACAUACUUUGAGAGAAGGCAUAUACCAUUACUGCCUUGGUAAGGAUCCAGAAAUACCACAAAAGAGAGACUAGAGAGAGUCAUACAAGGAAUCUCUGAGUUUUAUUUGAAAAUCUGCAAAAACUCCAGAGCUAUAGUUGAUCAAGAAAAUGAGACAUGGCGCUUGAUUAGACCGUUCUAUCAUUUAACUGCUCAAGACACAAGUGAUGGUCGCAAGCCCCAUGGUGAAAGGUAAAUGAGUAAGUUUUAAGUCUUAACAGUUUACUCUAACCAUAGAUGAGAUCUUGUUUAAACGCAUGUGUAUCUUUAAGUUAUGAAACCACUGCAGAAACUCUUGAGUUCAUCUUUGCUCAGGGACGAGCAAAGGUUAAGCUUGGGG